rnacentral:lncRNA from 1 species
GAAGAUGUUGUAUCUUGAAAGAAAUCGAUACUUGUACCUGGAAAUACAGACAUAAGUAGAGAGUUCCCCUGCUCCUACGAGAAUCACCUUUACCCUGAUUACCCAGAUAAUAUAUCUAUACUAUAGGAGAACUCCGUAAGCUGAAGAAGGAAUUGACCCAACUCUUUGAACUCUAUCUGGCAAACCACUUGUUGCUGACUUUUUUGUUACCACUGAUUCUCUCUACUCCCCACCUCGAACGGAAAGACAAGAAGUGUAGUUACCAACCCUCACUGGAACCGACUAAACUGUAAACCCAACCGUCCGGUCCUCUGUCUUCGGGAGCUGCUGCUGAUUCUUGUUAUUCCAAUUCUUCUGGUUGAGAUCCAGCUCUAUCUUAUUCUGUUGCUUUCUAAGACUUAACAAGAACGUAAAUAUACUAUACGAAUCUCUACUCGACACAGAAGUCAACUUGCUUAACCGCUACGUGGGCUCCUUGAUACAAUGACAGCACUGCCGGCUUCUUAAUCCUAUGAAGUACAUCGCGCUUAAACGCUCACUAUAUUCCUCACCUGCUGCUUUGUGAAACCACUAAGACCAACUUGAUAUGUAUAGGACUACCUAGGGUAUAGUCAAAUAUCCAAAUGAAUCAGAUUGUUCUUCCGGGUUAGUACACCGCCUUUGGUCCAAGGCUUAGGGGGCUGUCAAGCAUAGGAGAAAAGAUGGUUACGCAUAGGUCAGUAGUUAGCAACGAAGCGGGUCUCUAGGUACAAUAGUCAUUCCUUUUUUUAGGAGAGGAGAAGCCAAUGAAUAGUUAGUCUGAAUUGAUAAGGAAAGAAAGAGUUGGUAAGCCCGGAUCUCAAUCCAAUGGGGUUAGUUCGGAGUGUGAUAUUUGGCAUUUCGUCUCGAGGCUGAAUCCGCUUUACUUGAAAUCUCCCGCUUCUGAGAGCGGUGAAACGGAAUCUCUUGCAUACUGAGCCUUCGACUGCGCUCCGGUAGUUAAGCCUUCCCCUGCCCUCCUGUAGUUAAGCCCUGAUUCAACCGUUUCAAAUUGAAGUAGGUGGCGAAGAGGCAGCAAAGAAGCGAAAGAAGUAAUAUGGGGAUCCUCCUUUAUGAGUCCGACUUCUCAUCCUUUCCUUUAUGAGUCCGACUUCUCAUCCUUCUUCAAUGAGGCAUUUGAUAAGAAUGGAGAGAUGCAGGGCCCGGAAAGAUUACUUACAACAUGGGUGACUUCGUAAUGCCCAUGCGAUCGAAAGACGAAGAGGCUUCGAUCACAAGAUGAACAAGCUUCGAUCUAAACAUUAACAAGCAAAAAAGAAGGUGUAAAGCACGGUGUCGAUGUCCCGAUUUCACCAAUGGGAGUAUAAAGAACACUAGAUGGCCCGACUUACCCCCUAGUACUAGAUUGUGGAAGUCCAGAGAUAGUCGAAGCGGAAGCACGUGUUCAACUAGCAACGCAGCAGCUUAGGGUUUGAAAGCCGUCUCGAGGUCGAAAUGGGAAAGAGUAGAGAAUGAGCCCGUCCUGUCCUGCUAAGAAGGCCUACGAUUCGAAUGCUUACUUCUAGUUCUUAGCUCACAGCUUAUCCUUCUAUGAGAACUUCAUCGAAUGCUUACUUCUAGUUCUUAGCUCACAGCUUAUCCUUCUAUGAGAACUUCAGUGGUGAGGGCAAUCUUCCAGAUUGACUUCCCCGGCAGGAUUCUCUCCUUUUCACACACACCACACCCUUCACUACGGAAAUAAAGGAACCGAGAGAAAGAGUUCUACCUGAGCGAACACUAUUACAGGGAGAAAAGAGGUUUUUGCGCUUAGAACGUGGUGUGCAAUUCUACAUUUCGUGCCUAUCGUUUCUAUCCCGACGGGGGGAAUCGCCUACUUGGCGAGACUAAGCAAAGAGAACAUAUUGAAAAAGGAUUGAACUUCUCGAACGAGGCCUAUUCCACUACUAGAAUGGAUUCUAGUUCGGUUAUUUGUAUUGAUAUUAUGAGCCAGCUCGAUCUCUCUCUCGAUCCGGGGACCACCUUCUUUCUACCGUGAAAAUGACCCACCCAGAGGGCAGGGCGUCUAUCUCGGGCUCACAACUAGAUCGAUGCAAAUAUGCUUAAUACAUGCAUUUCUCACUCAUGGAUUCAUUCAUUCAUCACUAAACUUGGUCGAUCUUAACUUGGUCCACAACAUGGGCUUCUCAUGAAUAUUUAUACCUUUACAUCCUAAGCUAACAUAGCAACCGUGACGAGUCAAAAGAUGUAUACUAAGCUAACAUAGCAACCGUGACGAGUCAAAAGAAAGCGUCGGAUAAAACAACCAAAAGUAAUAGAUUCUAACGAACAACAAGAAAUUCCAUAUCCAAUGUCGAUAUCGAUAUAUAAACACGAUUGGAAGAGUUGGUUAACAUUGUUGUUACUCAUAGCAAGGAUACAAGACAGAAAAGUCGGACAUACAAUUACUGCUAGAAGCGCAAUCUUGCUUUUAUCAUCCUAUUUAGCUUGACAGCCCUAGCCUGGUUUCAACACUACUAGCGCCUCCUUCACUCUAUUUCUCUGAUCGAUCGGCUCUUGAACAGCUUUCCCGCUAUGCCCUUUGAUCCAUCUUGGUCGAUUGAAGGUUAAGUUCCCGAAAACUCACAGGACUACUUAGUUGCUCAAGCUGUCAGGAAGCAAGGGAGCAAGCCUUAUAAGUGGAGUUCUCAAACCGGCGAUUCAUAAAGUCAAGUUCGAGUUAAGUGGACCCGAGAGAGAGAAUAAGAGGUAUGGCCCUAGUAUGGAAUCCCAGUAAUAAGAGAAUCAUCUAUGUUCGAAUUGCCUAAUUUCUCUCUUUCUGUUUGAGUGGAAUAUAGAAUGCAAUCCUUUUCGACAAGAUCAUAAGCGGGAGCAGAGGCUGGGCGAGGAAAUCGUUCUGGGAAAUCCAAUAGUACUGGCUCAGCGCGGAAGCCAGAGAAGGAUCCGUUGACAGUUGCUAACUUCUAUUAAGGUUUUCGAUUCCACAAAUCAUGUUCGGGAUGCGUAUGCGCCUAUUUCCAUUUAAGGAAGAGUAAUGGAACCAGCUCUAAGUCAAGUUACCCUUUUGAAUUGAACCGUUACACUUCAUACUCCGAUUCCAGAAUUACCACAUUCUAUCAAAAACUCAAUCAACUCCCGUUAGCACAACCUUAGUAUUCCCUGACUGAAUGAAACUUCCCUUUCCGAGUGUACUCUCUUGUUACUAUCAAAUCUAGACUAACCAUUGCUCUUAUCUAGAUGCUUCUAAUUGCAUAGAUGCUUCUAAUUGAACUUGCACCUUCGCAUUCAAAAGGUGAAACACUGAUGGAAUUCCUAUUUGCUCCUGCAGUACAAUCUGUUGAACAAGGAGAAGCAGCGGGACAAGAGGUGACGUUACCAACAAGAGAAGAAAGAGGUGUUAUCGACCCGAACAAGACACUGUGAUUGAAUUGUGCCGGGUAUACCGCCUUACUAAGCAUUCUUGAUGAUCUUCCUCUCCAGCUGAUGAGCUCGGCGCCAACACAGAUGUAGAUUCCAGUCGAACAGAUACAUCAUUUCCAGAUCCUGCUUUGACUAAUGAAACAAGAGGUGAUUCGGCUUACUUAUACUACGAUGAAACUCAAACUGGUCAUUCAUAAGCAGACUUUAGCACAGUGCGCCGGCAAACUCUACUUCUUAUGCAUCUCUCCCUUGGACUUCGCUUUUAGCUGACUUUCUACUUCACUUAAUAGCGGAUUCCCUUUCUUGUUGCAGGGUUAGGUAAAUGUUAUGAGCUUUCCGAAUGGAAUCUUUCUUGUGGCGAGUCAAUACCAUCAUUUCUUAUCGAGCACAUAUAGGAAGAUUGCAGAGUCUCUCUAUCAACAGAAGAUUGCGGAGUCUCUCUAUCAGUCACCUAAGACUUCAUUGAUUAAGAUUGCGGAGUCUCUCUAUCAGUCACCUAAGACUUCAUUGAUUAUAGUGCGCCAAGUAAACCAGUCAUUGAACUUGCAGAGAGCCAACCUGGAUAAGAAUAUCUCUCUUACUAUGAUUACAAUUUCUUUAUAAUGGAAUAGAUUUCUAAUAGAAUAGACCCUUAUUUCCUUAUUGAUCUAAAUCUUUGCUUUCGAACUCCCUAAUACGUUUCUCCCGCGAGGCAAAGACCUGUUCCUAAUAUGUACUCCCGCUAGACAUUGCCCUGUUCCUUUGACUUUUGGACAUAGACCUUUGCGGCUGGGCCUUCUUAACAUUGACCUGAGCUGAGAGUCAAGUCAGUAAUAUAUCCUAAUACAUCAUUUCCAUUGCCGAUUCAUAUGAUGUUUAUUCCAUGGGCACUGCUUCUUGAGACUUCUCGGUUAAAGCUAGAAAAUUGGCCCUAAGAGUAUUUUAAGCCAGGGUCAACUAAUCAAAUAGGGAAUCCUCUUUUGCCCCACAACUAAUAAGGAAUUGGAUCUUUCACUUGCUUACGCUUAAGCAUAAGAUCCGCUCGAACAAAACUUUCCUCUUAAGAGCUUAGGGUUGUAUAGAACAACUAUGUAACAGGAGGCUCCAAAGAUCAAAGAUGCUGUUCGUAAACUAGCAAGUCAGAAUGGAAAGACUCUUACGCAACACAAGCACCCGAACUAAACUGAACUAGCAGAUCCGCUUGCUGCUGAUAAUGGAACUGACACCUUAGCACUUAGUCUUUUGGCUCACCCCCACCUUAUCAGUAUUCAUAUCUUUCUUCCUCAACACCAUAACUUUACUUUCGAACAGAGCUUGAUAGUUCCAUUGCUGGUUUCGGCAAAUUGACCUCUUCUUCCAUAUUACCCUGUCGAUUCUAUACCAAAAAUCCUUUAUGUUGCUGAUCCACCAGUUGCUUUCGCUUCACCCAGCUUUCCAGGCAAAAAGUCCAAAGAUCGCCUUCAAAGGAAAAUAUGUAGAAGACCAGCCAGAUAAGUAAUAAAAGACUGACUCAUAAGAUCAAUUGACGAUUCUUAUGGACGAAAGACUUUGCUUUGUAUAGGCGCCACUCAUACUUUACAACGGAAUAAGUCUCUUCCACCAAAGGUGUGUGUUCGAAAACCAGAAGCCUGUGGCAGACUUUGCUGAUAAACCUCUUCACGAUUGCAGAGAUAACACACUAUUUGAAAAGAGAAGUCAGAGCUAAGCAAGAAACUCAAGUCACAGAAUUAAUAUAGCACCGGGCACUAUGGUAGGACGUGGCGUGGAGAAUUCCCAGCAUGCCGAGACUGGACUUAAUAAGAGUUAACAGUCCAGGGCUUUCUCCCUUCUCGACCAGACUCCUAAGAUAUGAAUUCCAUUCAGGCGGGUCAAUAAUGGAUAGUAACUCUUCACUAGCAACUUUACUUCUUUGAUGCCUCCAGAGCAGAGGACUUUCAUAUCCAAUCUUGCUUGUCGGAAAGAAGGGUUUCAGGGCCGAUGGUUUUUCGGUUUGUUAAUACCUUCUGAAGUAGGAAUCAGAAAGAAGCUAGCUACUGCCUAAGUCAAUCAAAUGCUGGCAACGAAUAAUCCAUCGAGGAAUCGAAACUCCUUGGUUCGGAAGCCACAUCGAUGUUCAAUUUCUUCUUUGAUUUGAUUGAACUGGUCGGAUGCUUCCCUGUAGUAAUAAUAAAUAGAAUGCAACUCAAGUGUUGUACUCCAUCUUGCACUUUCCCAAUUCACUGGAAGAGGACUUCCUAGAAUUGCUGAGUCUGUAUCCGUGUAGUAGUCUGGAAAUGUAUUUUGACAUAUGAAGCAGAGAACCAAAUGUAUUUGUAUAUAUGAAGUAGAGAACAAGCUGUUAUAGCUGCGGACAAUGGAACAGCUGAUAUCAUAUCUUAGGAGGAUGAAACUAAGAGUCGUCAACAUGUACUGUAUUGCUAACGUCAGAUGGAAUAUAUAUAUUAUCUUAUCUCUCAGUAAGACAGCAUUUCGAAAUGUGUCCUUCUUUAGCAAUGUAAUACAUCUUUUAUCAUCUCCUAUUUCAGCAUCUUUUAUCAUCUCCUAUUUCUGUAAUUAGACUUUCUCUGGAUUUCAUCCAUGCUAUCAUCAUGAUACAGGGACCAUAAUUCCGCAGCAGUAACAGAGCAUAUUACUAGGUUUAGGCAACUGAAAUGCUGGUUAAGGUUGUUAGGGAUGAGUUGCUCCCACACUGGCCCUGCUAUAGGACAGUCCCUUAGAAUGUGUAGGCAGUUUAGUACUGGGAAUCCACAGCUUUUGCACGAGCAAUUAGUGGUCAAGUGCCUGGUGAGACGCACUUUCUUUAUUUGUUAACAAUCUGUCUUGUCUGGCUAGCGCAGUGCUUUAGUUUAGGCGGGAUCUUCCACUUCCAGAGACUAACCCACUCUGCCUCUUCAUCACAACUGGCUUCUUUUCUUCCUCCAAGAGAUCAGCAGCAGCUUUUUCAUUGAAUUAGCCGGACCCUUUCUCCAGCUCAUAGUCUAAGCAGUCCUCUGGCGUAUACAUUUGAUCACAUCUUCAGGUAACCAAUGAUAGAACCUUUCCUAGUUCCAACAGCCUCUUCAAUCAGUGUAGUCCCGGAGAGUCCAUUUCCUCAGCCCAAAGCGCAGGCUAACAACGGUGGGUCCCAUAUCCAUAGAUCUUUCUUUCCAUAACUAGAUUCUUUUCCCAUCUUCCAUAAUCCACUUAGUUCCUUUCUUCAGCAACUCUUGACUCCUGAAGCUCCUCCAUGUAUAUGAAGAGUGAGAAGUGGCCUUCCAUUCCUGCAUGAAUUUCAGUAUAUACUUGACUUUUCGCACUGCAGCCCAUAAUGAGUCUGGUUCAGAGAAGAGAGGAUUUUCCGUCCCAUACGUGCCGUGCCAUUGAGGCAGUCGGGCUAUACCUUCAAUUGCCUACUCCCCUGACUUUUUGGCUUUACACACCUUCUCCCCAGCCACUAAAUGUUGACUCUUUUUGUAAUCCUUGUUCCCCCAUACUAAUCCGCUGUUCGUAAUUGGCUUCCGGAAUACGCGUUGUUUGCAUGGUGUAUACUUGUAUUGCAGAAGUGACAGACUGAACCAGCAAUGUUUAAGUAGAAAGUAUAGGUCAAUUGUUGUUGUAGUAUAAGCUAAAGGUUUUAAACGGACGUUGUGAUCAAGCCAGCCAGUUUACUUAUAUGUAGUUUCGGGGUUUUUUAGAAGUUGUAGAUUUGUCUAUCCAUAUACUUAUUUGUUUUCCAUGUACUCCAAAGGGGAUUAGUAUAAGUGCGUCCUGUGCUUGAAGGAAGUAGUUCAUUUUGAUAGAAAUCAUAUAGCUAUUUGUUGCAGUUCCCCAUCCCGUUGUGAAACUAUAUUCCUCUUUUUCUUUGACUAUGGUACUAUACACGUGUUACGCCUCGCCGUAAAAGUGCUUCUAAAUAACACAAUAAGAAUAGGUUGUUGCUGUUUUUCACAAUGGUAAUGGUCCAAUCGCUUAGAGUUAUGACCAGAGGACUCGACCCGCCAAGCUUAAGCUUAGUAGUUGUGUAGGCGGAAAAAAGAGAGUGACAAUCAAAUAGCAUACUGACUUCCUGUUCUCGUGGGUGGCGUGCCCUUCCCACUAUUAAUUCAAAUAAAAGGAAGCUGCCUCCAAAUUAAUGGCUAGCUAAGAUAAGAGCACUUAAAGCUAUUCAAAUGGAUCCAGUCCAGAGUAGUGGUGUGUUACUGGGUCGGUACUUCCAGUUUUUUCCCCCGACACUAAAAGCUUGGAAGCCAUGGCAACCUUUUCUCCUGAUCGUACAGGUUCCUGGAAGCUAGGAGUGACAUCCGUUCCAUAUCUCUCCUCUCCAUUCUUUGAGUUCACAUUCACAUUUCCUACUCUGUCUUGUAGGGCUCGUAGGGCAUUUCUAUGUUUCAAGAAGCUCUGUUCAAUCAAUCUUAUAGGGAACUGCAGCAAAGCAAGAAGAACUAUCGAUAAUCGCGCCUUUCUUUUAGGCAUAGAAGUAACACUGGAAUGAUACCUUCCGGGUUAUAAGCGAUGGAAGUAUUUAAGUUCAGUAUCUUUCUUUUAUGUAUUACACACCAUAAGGAAUAUAGUUCUUCAUCGGGAAGCCUGCUCCUCGGUCGGUACUUUAUAUGCGAAGAUAAAGACGACUUUCCUAUUCGCUUGCCAGCGCGCCUCUACUCAUGCGGGACCUCCCCCCGAGAAUGGAAGUAUUGCACAUGCAGCGCGAAAGUCAGAGAAAUUGGAAAGUGGAGUUCUCGAAAGGAAGCAGAAAACCCUAGACAAGUGGGUAAGGAAACACAUGAAGCCAAUCAUAGUUUGUUUGUAACUACUAGUUCCAUCAGUCAGAAGCUUUUCCAUCCUACUAAUCCUCAUGUUGUUGUAUAUAAGCCCUUUCUUUAGUUACGUCGUUUACUACAGCUUACUCUCAUCUAAUAUCAUCUCAAAGCCAAAACCUAUAACGUACAGAGCCCCUAACGCUAACACCAGCCUAACGAACAGACGGUAAAGAAUGGGGAAAGCCCCCACUAAACCAAACAGAAGCCUACCUAUAAGAUAGACUGUGCCGGUGGGGUCGGAUAGAAGUGAGCAACCCGAGGAGUGGUAACGGAAGCUUAUGUAUGAUAGAUAGUAUGUGCUCCAGGCGUCAAGCGUUAAAGCCUUUAUAUAAGCUUUUUGGAUAGGCACAGUGAUGGUUAACGUAUCGGCCCACAGAGCAGUAGUUCAUAGGCGCUGUUCAGGUAGUAGGAAGAGCUCACGUGUGCCAGUGCUACUAUACUUUACUAAAGCUGUGCCCACUAUACUAUACUUUUCCGCAGUCCUACCAUACUCGACUUUACGCCGAGUUAAGAUCUAUACUUAAGCAAACAAGGAACCGAACCUCCCGCUAGCAAACUACAGCAUAGCAUAGCUAACCUAUGAGAAAAGAAUGGAAUCUCCCCGCACCCUAUACAAACAUUCAUAAGCUUUCAUUCCACCUUAGCCUAUCAAACUAACAAUGAAAGAAAGAUAGAAAGAGACUAAGAAAUUGCUACCCGGCAAAACAGAGCUUCAAAGAAAGAGUGCUCACUACCAGGAGCAUUGUGUUUUGGUGACCUAUGAGAUGGCCUUUCCCAUAAAGCAAAGCGGUGCUGUUCCUUUCAGUAUACAGUUGCUGUAGUUGUAGUUCUAUAAGGGUUGUAGAGUUCACCUACGUUCUAUAAGGGUUGCUAGAGUUCACCAGUUGCUAGCGGUGAUCCAGCCAGUUGUUGGAGGUGGGGAAGGGUUUCAACAAUAUCCCAAGCAACCUGAUUGCGCCAUAAAGACUUGAUUGAUCUAUCUAUAAUGGAUUAUGAUUGAUUUAUUCUAUCUAUAGUGGAUUAUGAUUGAUCUAUCUAUAGUGGAUUAUGGGAAUGCGUCAGGUCAAGGGCUAUCAAUAAAGAAUAUAAUGAAUUAUACCCGAAGACCAAUGUGAUGGUUAGCUAGGCAGGUUGGUUCUUUCAGUUCUGGUUAGUUGCUGUGAAGGUUAGUUGAUGAACAAAAGGUAACAAGAGCUUACUCUCAGGUGAAAGCCCUACUUUAUAAAUAUGUCAAAAGGAGUCUCUUUCUUUAGGUUAGUCAUCAGAUAGGAUAUACUUAACAAGCGGAUAGUCAGAGUGCGGAUCACCUUAACAAGCGGAUAGUCAGAGUGCGGAUCAACACGUGCGAAAUAAAAGCAGUCAGAAACAAACUAAUGGUAGCCUAAACUAUACUACUACUAAGUGAAACUAUCCUUUCUGGUUACUACUUUGCUCCUAAACUGAGUGAGUUUGCCAGUACGGUUACCUCACUCUAUCCAGCCUAGUUUCAGAAGUGCUAAAGUAUCCAGCUGGCAUCCCUUCCCCUACUAAUCGCUAAGGCCAGCCCGAACUCACCGUUAGUGAACUUCUGCCCUAUCUCCGAACUCACCGUUCAUUCACUUCUGCCUUAUCUAUUAGGUUCAUUCACUUCUUCCCUAUCUAUAGUAUUUGCGUACGUACAAACCUAACCUCCCGUCACUGCUUCUGUGAGGGAUGUGAUUAACUUACAAUCCUGGGGGGCAACUCAUGUUCUUUCGCGAUGGCUGUCCUUACUAUAAAAUCAGUAUAACCGGCAAAGCAAACCACCACUAUGUGGCAUCGACAAACUAUAGCAUCAAAUCAUUGCUCCCAUACUCAACUAUGCAUCAAAUGUAAGCCGUAACCUGGCAAACAACCUACCCUAACUACCCAUCCUAAACUCUACUCUUGCAAACAAACCCUUGUAGCUGUCUAAAACUAACCAAUUGUUAUCCAACCAACUAGAGCAUAAAGGAGUGCGCCGAGCUAGCAAACUCAAGCAUCAAAGCUUAUGUGCGCGUUAGCUGGCAGUUAUUCAAAGAAGCAUUACUCCCUUUAAUGAAGCCCUACAAAACGGACUGAGACUCGCGAAGGAGCUUGUCACUAUCACAAGAACAGGCAGGCUUAAGAACUAGCUUCCAGGGGCAAAACCCAAUAAUCUGGAUGGACGGGUUCUUUACUUGAAGACUGGACGGACUAUAGAUCCCUUUCUCGAUAGUAUAGUGAAAGUCUCAAUCGCUUGUGUAUGUUAGUGUACGAAAUGAGGUGAAGGCCUAACCUAAGGUCUCCUCAAUAGGGAAAAGCCUCCACAGCAUACAAUACAACUAAGGCACCGAUCAACUCUUUCUAUACAAUAGCUUCUGUAUUAUCUUACUAUCGCACCUUUAUGUAUUCUCUUCCAUGACAUACUAGUGGAAGGCAAAAAAGUGUGUUACACAUGUCCUAACCAUGAAAAACGAAUAUGCUUUUAGCUCCACCCAAUGAAUAUCGAGCCUUAUUGAAGUGAAGGCACCGAGCUCUAUAUCUUUUCCAAGGCAAUCUUCCCAAUCCAAUCGUUAGGCUACUUUCUCUCUUGCAGACCCAGAAAUCUAACAUAAAUAGCUAUAUCUCAAUCUUCACCUUUCUAGGUUAAUGCACUCCUUUAUUAGUCUGAGUUUCCAUAUCCAUAUCCGCUUCGUUAGAGCUCCCAAGUCAACCACUACUUCCCUAUCUAUUGAGCACUACCUACUAAGGGAAAGCUUCUUCCAAUCAAGUUCCAGUUUCAAGGUUAGGAUCAAUCAAUCUAGCCAGCCAUAAAUCAUACCCUACAAUCAAUCCAAGUCUCAAGCAAGAAAAAGCCUUUCUUUAAGUGGGUCCAGCCAAUCAAAGGGAGGGAAAGCACUUGGCAGUUAAAGCAUAUUCUCUCUUUGUCUCUAGCCUGUAAGCCAUUCUCUAUCCAGAUCCUAUCCUGAGGUGCCCUCGAUUAUCCUAUUGGGCAGUCAAACUGGAAGUAAGUGAUAUUAUUUUGUCUCCUCUGAAAGAAAGCAAACACUUCAAAGGAAGAUUGGUCAACUAAUUAACUGUGAGUCAGAGUCAAUGAAAGAAUACUGUAUGCUUGAAGGGAUAGGCAGGAUUGUCAUUAAGCUCUCUGGUUCAAGAUUGAAGGGAUAGGCAGACUGGUAAAAGAAGGAUCCGGCUCGCCACUUAUGAAAGGCUCGGAUCGCCCCUUAUUAAAGAAAUCCUACUAUUAUCCUUAUUAAAGAAAUCCUACUCUUAUUCCAUUAUGGUUUGGCAUGAUUAGUUAGAGAGUGAAUCUGUCUUUAUAGGUAAUCCUUCCUUACAGAAACUUGAGAAUAGAAAACACCACUUAGCACUCACUUCGAUUAUAGCCUUUCUGACCCUCUCCAGAAUGAUUCAAUGCUUUCCUUCCCUUACUUUGUUUGAGUUUUGUAAUACUUCUUUUCAUUCACGCUUCUGUGUUUUAUUAUUAUCCGUACUUAUCCGUAGUAGUUCUAUCCGUACUGGCUACCAUUCUUACUGUCUUCCCGUCUACAUUGCCACUCGAACAGCAGCUAAUCAGAAUGUAACACUACCUAAUAAGACCUUAGGCUUACUGCCAUAACCUCUCUUUGUUGGCGGAAGCUGCUUCUGCUUCUUCUGAUUCUCUCCCUCCAGAUUUAGAUUAAGGUUGCACUCGCAUAUAGGCAUUGAAGUCAUCAGUGCGUUUCUCAUUAGCAGUGAUGGAAGCUGUCAACUUAGCGCCAAGAAGGGAGACUGCAAGUCAGUAGUUAGAGCAUGAAAGCGGGUAGUUCUACCGUGAACUCCGAGGGGGCAGUGCCGGGCUGGCAGUUAGUAGUUCAAGUCUGCUUGCCCGCACAAACACAUUCUUUUUGAGAGUUAUUCGAUUCUCGUAGUAAGUAGCCCGGGAGGCAGUAGCUGGGGAAUGAGAAACAGACAGUCAAGUUAGGCUUAGGUAUAACUGUAGAAGCCUAAAAGCCUAUAAGCGACAAUGUGGGUGGGAAUGAAAGAAAGCAGUAUAAGAGUUAGAGUUUGGAAUGUAAGAUACAAAUACGGAUAUUAGAUCGGGAGUUGAAGAGGGUGCGGAAGAGUCGGCUAGUUAUUUCUGAAUUGAAGACAGUGGUGUCAGCUUGAUCUACAUUGGAAUGAGGCUUGGAAUACCGAUAUAGAUAGUACGAUUGACGGACAGCCACACAGGGAUAAGGCUCGGUCUUAUCAGGCAUGUAAGAAGGCUUUGACAGCAGUGGGACACAUAAUAUGUCUUUUGUUCUGCGCGCCAGUUCACUAUGCUAGUAACUUGUUUCAUUCUCUUACCUUGGACUGGGGGACCGGACCUUUUAUUAGAAUGACAUUAUUGGAUGCGCUGGGCCAUAUACAUAUUAUCUAUCCCCGGCCGGGUUCUAUGUCCUACCACAUAUAUCCCUUAUUACCAAUCCAUGGUCUACUACCCAUAUUCUUAUUCCUAUUUCUUAUUAUAGCAGAUGCUGUGCUACAUUGUACUCCGGAGUAACAGAACGAUAGGCAGGAAAGCAAGGGGCGUUGCCAAGCGAGUAAGAGAGUGAAUAUCAAAAUCAAGAAGCAAACAAGUAAUUAUCAGACUGAACUAAAGGAUAGACAGCCUUAUUAGGAGUAGACACAUUCUUCUAUAAUGAGUUAAAGAACCCAUGCCGGGGACUAGCAUUAAAGCGAGUAGAUACAAACGGAUUUAAAGGACAGUCGGAAUAGGAUUCUUGUUGACUAAUAGUUGUUGACCAGACAUAAAGGCUAUCCAAACAAGACUCUGAACUGAAGCGGGAAGUAUAGAAGAGUUUCCAGUUGCCGGAGGUAUUGUAGCCUGAGUUAGCUGAGUCUGCCUUCUUGCCAUUAACCUUAUUAGUAGUUGCUAAGGGAGUAGUAACAAACACCUCUGAACUCAAAUCAUUCUUUCUCUUUAUCCUUUAUUCCCGAAAUAGGAAAUACAGGAAACUCAUAAUUGAAUUGCCAAUUGACCAUAGUAUAGCUCCACUACUUGUUUGAUUGGAUCCUUUCCCAGGCAUAAAAGAAAGGUAGGUCUGUAGGUAGUGAUGUUCCCGCUCCUUCUAUUCCAGCCUAUUGAAGGCACCGGGAAGAAUGGACCACCAAUUCAUCCUGCUUCCUUAUAUUCUUAUUCCCCCAUUUAGUGGAUUGGUUCCAACAGAAAGACCAGUGGAGGAGAACUAAAGUAAAUGCGCUUACCAACUCCUUAUCGACCUUCCAAUCUCUUAUCUGGACAGGAUAAGAGCAAAUGAAACAACACCUAUUGUCUAUUCUGACUCCUGGCUCACUGCCGGUGGGCAUUAACUAAACCUGUUAUCAUAGCUAUCUAUUGGUGCUCUCGGCAUAGGAAGUAUCUUAAGGUUGAUCCCUUGCUAAGCGAAGUCUCUUUAAUCCCUUGCUAAGUAUCCAUUUAUGUUGCAUAGCCAUAUACUUUUGUAGUUCCAGCUGAUCCAGUCGUUGAUCCUGCAGCUUAUCCAAAUGAGCACCAGCAGACAGAGGUAGAUACAGAGCCAGUAGCUUACCCAGGAGCAUACUUCGGUGUUGCAUAUAUAGCGAAAUACCCCUUUCACCUAGGUGGAAAAGAGAUCUAUUGAUACCCACCAUAAGUUUACCCAUAAGCCCACAGAGCGGUAGCGAACGAGACAGCAAAUGGAUGGAAAUUAGAUACUUAAUUGCUGGCAGCAGCUUUCUAGCUCCGGCGCUCAGAAUAUCGGGUAUGAUUCUCACUUUCUUGCCCUGCUUCUAUUGACAUUUGGAAAAAGAACCUUGCUCGACUAGUAGCUGGCAUCGCCUUACUGGUAAAGUAAUUGGACUAAGAUUUAGGGACCUGCCACACUCCAACCUCUUCCGAAAAGACAAGCUUACCUCGAUCUGUCAUUACAUAUGAUAUCUCGAGAGUUCCAGACCAUCACGUAAUGAAUUUAGAGAAUGCCGAUGAUAACCGAGAUCUGGAAAGCGGUGAAUACUGUUAGUGAAGCUAGACCUGUUAUCGUUAUUAGAGAGAUUGAUUAGAUGGAAGCGGGAGCCAACGAAGGGAGCAUGCGUAGCUACGUCGGUUCAGAGAUGAGAUCAAUUUGACCUUUAGCAGAAGGGCCGAUGCAAUUGAGCAAGCACUAGCUUAGCUUCAAUAGGUAUAAGAGUGGGAUAUAAUAUAUAUUAGGUAUAAGAGUUGGAUAUAAUCUAUAUCUAUAUAGGAGGACUUUCUUUCUGAAUCUACUCUCAUAUAUAAGAGGACUUUCUUUCUGAAUUGACUCCCAUAUAUAAGAGGACUUUCUUUCUGAAUUGACUCCCAUGCAUGGGCCAAAAGACAUAGAACUCGCAGCCUUAUACUGGCAUUUAAGGAAUAGAACUCGCAGCCUUAUACUGGCAUUUAAGGAGAGAUCCCUAUUGUAUGUAUUAGUUGAUCAAGGGGAACCCAACAAUGGUGAAGUGGGUCUAUUUCGCAUAGGUCAGUCAUCAAUAAUCUCAGUAACCACAGGACAAAAGCCAAGAGCUCCUAUUGGUAACUCUGGCAGUAUAGCUUAUGUGGGUGGGCUUGGAAAAAAGAAAUCCUCAAAUAUAAAGAAACAUUUCCGCAGCCUACUUGUUUGGGUCUAUGCCUCUGCCAAAUACACCAGAGCAGCAAGUCCUAGUAUCUAAACUCAAGCAAUAUUUCUUCUUCUAAUUUCUCUAUAUCUAUGAUGAAUCUUCUAAUUUCUCUAUCUCUAUGAUGAAAGGAUCUAUAUCUAUGAUGAAAGGGACUCUACCAAUAUCCUCUGGAGCAAGGAAAAGCAACUCUGUUUGAUAUCGGUAACGAUUCACAUAUUCUUUGGAUUGAUAGAUGGGAAACCCUUACUUCAUGUGGGUAGUUGGGUUAGAAGUCAAAUCUACAGCUUUCAAUAAUAGUUUCACUGUGACACCGAAGGAAAUCUGGUAAAGCGGAAAGGGAGUUUGUCUACUCGACCAAUAACUAGGACGGAUAGGAACUAUUCUUAGUCUGGGACAGGGUUCGAAGAAGCUAUUAGAUAAGUAUAGGGUUACAAGCUAUUAGUGAGUCGCUAGUGUCAAGAACCAGAUCGAUGGGAUAUUAUGACCUUGGGUACGAUAGUUUCUCAACCGACUAACAAAGGGAUAUCGGAUAGGCUCGGCCAACUCAAUCAACCGGUACAGCUCUCACUCUUCCUGCUCUAUUUUCUUUCUUAACGAAACUAGAUUGGAAGUUUUGAACCGAUUGCUGCUGAUCGAUCCUGUUUAUUCUCUAUAACCCGCCUAUCUAAUAGGAAGAAUGUAAUCAAGCAGCUCCUCUCUCUAACCCGCCUAUCUAAUAGGAAGAAUGUAAUCAAGCAGCUCCUCUCUCUGGCAACCAACCAUGAAUUCUGUAUUUCCUUUCUCGCGGUCAGGUCAAGUCAACCCACUUUCCUUUCCAGCCAAACACCUCACCUACUUUUGCUCCGAGUCAACUCAUAGAUUCAUUUCAGAACUGGACAUUCAAACUGGUUCUCUUUCUCAUAUACCUAUGGCUCUGGUAACAAUGUAGUAAUCAAUAACCCUUUGAGUGAAAAUAACCCUUUGCCACACUUAAGAAUUUCCCCUAAACUUCUUCUAUAGGCCUAAACUAUGGCUCUGUACUAUUUACUACUCUACUACUUACUGGAUAACUACUGAUUCUCUGGUCGACCACACCUCGCUGCAAAGCCAACUCGUACACUUCCUACUGCCAUGCCAGGUAGUAGAGUGAAGUAGUAUCACCUAUGUGUUCAGUAGGAAACCUGAAGUUCCAGAGUCCGGAGAAAGUACCAAUUCCUUGAGUUUAAGACCGCUCCCUUUCCCUUAGUAAAAGUAUGAUUACUCCACUUAUGUAUCGAGGUAGACAAUUGUUAUUAAAGAUGAAAGAAAUCCUAUCCUACUAAACUACACUUGAAUAACUUACCUCGAACUACACUUGAAGAACCGCGAAAACCAGAACUGUAAGAACUUCGCGAAAGUAAGCUGCAAAGAAAUUGGACUUUAAUCGUAUUAAGUAAUAUUAGACAGAAUGCUCAUUUAAACUAUAAGACUUAAUAGAAUGCUCAUCUCAACUGACUGCUAAGGUCAAGUCUCAAGGAAGCGGGAAAUAACUUCUGUAUACCGUAUAAGAGGGCGCGGGGUAUACUAACACGCUAUAGUAAUAACUAUUGAAUCGAGUGUUUCAUCUGUCUUUGGUGUCGACUCUCAAUCUUAAGUUCAAGCAGGGCUCAUAGCUCCACUUCCCCUCAAUCUUAAGUUCAAGCAGGGCUCAUAGCUCCACUUCCCCUCAAUCUUAAGUUCAAGCAGGGCUCAUAGAAAGGCUUAUUUCCAAGUCCGGGCAAGAAGGCUCCGGCAAUAGGAUCGGAAGCAACAAAGGAAAAGAUUCAUUUAUUAACUGCAUGCUCUACACGGUUUCUGAACUACACGCUCUACUCUAUAACUUCCGUUUCCGAACUAAAUGCUCCUACGCAGAAUGUAAACUCCCUCUCGCCAACCUACCCUCUGUUAACUAAUUCCAUUCUUAAGCCAAACUCACUGACGCUAUUAAUGAGGACUCGCUAACAGCUACCGCACAACUACUAACACGGCCAAACAACUCCAAAGUAUUAUUGCCUUUGAUGCGAGGUCAAGUACUUGCUUUGAGGCUAGGUCUAGGUCUACUUAAUCGGAAGGAUUGGUCAUAAUACACAUCCACUACAAGACUACUUGAAGGGGCAGGCAACCACGGAGGAGUAGCAAUCAGACUCAACAAACAUAGAUAUAGAUUCCACCUUAUUAUAAAGAACAAAGUGAGCGUCUACAAGCAACUACGUAAGGUAGAAAACCACUUGCAUUCUAUCUUAGAGCAGGAGCGGGAGCUGUACAAGGUAGGCGAGAAAGAGGAUAGGUAGGCACCCCUUGUUUAAUCAGUACUGGGCUGGGCCACUACUUGUUCUUUCACUUAUAUUCAAGCAGUUUCUUGCUCUAGUAAAGGAAGCAGUUAGAGCGGGAAGGGAAGUUGACUCGGUUAAAGGCUAAAGAAGGCUAUAAUUAUAGUAUUACACCCUAACUCGAACAUAGGAAUUAGGGGGACAACUACUAGCAUGGAGGUAAGUCAAGUAAGCCUCUAAAGCAAGUGAAGUAAGCUUAAGAUGGAGUCAGAGCAGGCUCAUCGUUAGUCAAGUAAGGAUCCGAUCCGGGCCUUUGUUUAAAGAAAAGCAGUAAGGAAGAGGGCGGACUCAAACAGUAGAUAUGGGCGCAUAGGCGGUUCGGCUAGAGUCAAUGGGAAAUAGAGAAUCAAAGGCGAAAUCGAGCUUUCAAGCAAGGGGAUCUAGGCGGAGAGGCCGGGAAGGCAUAGCUGUCACUUAUAUUUUAGGUAGGGAGCCCGGGCCCAAUAUCCAGUAACUAUACAUAUGUGCUGUGCGGGUUUGCCGACUUAGUUAUAGUCAAGGCAGGCUAACACUACAGGAACAAUGGAAGGAAUCUGGUUUAGGGAUCGGACUAUUGAGUUUCAUUCACUGAGCUAAAGUGCUUGUAGCACAGGUUUCGUUCUCUUACUUUGGUUAUCAUUAUAAUCAAAAUCAAAUAAUAAUCAUAAUGGAAGGUAAUAAUAAUAAUAGAAGUCAAUAAAAUAAGUAAGCACAGAAUACAAGGCGGGAGUAUCGGGUUGAGAUGAGAGCUUGGAGAUAUAGAUUCAAGCAAGUAAGCACAGGUUAACAUCAAGGUUCGGAGUGUAAAAAGGGGCAGUGCUUAAUUCCCAGUUGAUAGUAUAGAUAUGAUUAGUUGGGAUUUCAUUCCUAUAGUAGUAAAGUCAGUUCAAGUAUUAGUUUGUCUGGUGGAUCCAUAUCAGUAAAUAUAGAAUAAGAGUAUUUAUUUGAAGGAUAAGAUAAAGCAAAGUAAGCUCGAGAUCGAGGAAGGGCAGACUAAAGCUAGCAAGUGGGGAUCCGAACCGGUAAUUCCAGAAAGAAAGUAUGGAGCGGGGGCCUAUAACUAACUACCGGAUGAAUAGCUAACGAGGGGCGGACAAAAACCAUGGGAAUGGGAGUGGCAAGUCAGGGAACGAAUCUACUACACUACCCGGGGAACCUACUACUGCUACACAGGUCUGCCACUAGUGAUGUUAACUACUCUUACUACACAUUAAUAAUAAUGAAAAACCUAGUAAGCAAGGCAAUAGGAAAGAUAGAGGUAUAUUCCAUCUAGCAAGCAAGGUUUCAAAGAAAGGAAAGGUAGACGGAGCAAGAUGAACUACAGUCAAUAAGCAAGGCAGGGCAGGCUCGAAGGUGAACAUAGGAAUUAGUGUGCUCAAAGAGGAGACUUACAGGUUCAAUCAAGAAAGCGAGUAAGUAGCUCAGUUCUAAUAGAAAGUCAAGCCAAGCUCUAAGCAAAGAGACAUAGGUUGUUUUCCAGUAGCUCCAUUAUGAGAAGUACUCUUUUGAUUCCUUAUUCUAAGAUAAAAGAUCCGAAUCCAGAGUGUUAGUUUGGGAGAUAGGAUAGUCAGAGUGCUCGUUAGUCUCAGGAGUAUUUGAGUUAGACCAGUAAGACCGUAUAGGCAGUUUGCUGGUGGGGCAAGUAAGCCUAAAAGCCAUUCAAAAAGCAAAACUAGUAUAACGGGGGGCAGUACAGAGAAUGAAGGGCCUCAGUAAAAGCCUUGUUACCAAAAGUGCUAGUGGUAAUUCCUAGUUCCGAGUCGGGUUCUUUAGCUCUAUUUUCAUUAUUAGCAGCAUAGUACCAAUUCUCAUUAGUUGUAAUAGGAUUCCUCAUUUCAAGUCGGCUGCACUACAUUAGUUAUUUGUCCUUGUAUUGAUUCUUAUCGGUAUUGGGUCAAGCCCGAGUUCCGAGCUAAGGUCUUAUAUGUCGCAGUUUUACCCUGUGUCCUAGCUGUUGGAUCCUUUAUAUUCCGGUAUUGAUUCUUUUUCUCAUUAGUUUCUUCUAUUCCUGUAUACAACAUAUCUCAUCAAUAGACUCCACAUUCAAUAAGAACAAGAGAAAAGAGUCUUAUUAACGUUGAUUUCAGUCUUUAUAAGCACUAGCUAAAGCUUUGGAAGCAAAGGAUAUAGGCUGAUAGGCCGGAGUACUUGUUUGGAAAGAAAGAAUCCAAAUAAGUAGUUUCGGCUUUAAAGCAAGGGGAGGGGAGGUAGAAUCCAAAUAAGCAAAGUGAGUUUUAGAGCGAGUAAAGCCAAGAUCUGGAUCAGCUGCUAAGGAACAAAAGAGGGGAAAGGUAGCGAAUGAGGGGAAGUAGGGACAGUAUUACUGGCAUUAGUAUCAGUUUAGUUUAAAGGCAAGUGGAGGAUCCGGGGAUCGGUAGGCAAAGAAUCCUAUAGUAUCGAGUGGGAGAGUGAAAGCAGCGGUAGGGAAUGAAGGUAAGGAAAGGCAUAGACACCCUAGGCAUUGAGAUCGGCCGUUUCAGUAUUCUAGUUAGGAGUUUGGGACCUGGAGCUAGUAGCGUUAGAGUCAAAGACAGGAGCACGGGAUUAAGGGAUGAACUACAAAGUCAAAGUAUCGAUUUUCAGAAUCCAAGUAAAGCAAGGCAGGCGCCCGUGUUUUCAUUCUCAUCAGUAGUAGGCUUUCAGCACCUUGUUUCUAGCAUCAAUAUUGGAAGUAGUAGUCGGCUCCCUGGUUGUUCGUUUGAUUCUGACUUUCAGGAUUCGAUUUCCAGUUUCCAUUGAGAGUAUUGUUGGCAUUGGUAGCAAUCUUUCCAUUAGUAGCUGCAUUCUAAUAGAGUGGAUAGCAGCGGAUAGUCACUAUAGUUAAAGAGUCAAAGUAAGGAGAGGCUGCCUUGGUUACAGUAAAGAAAGAAUAAAGGACCCUUACAUUGGAGAAUGAGAUAAAGCAGCACAGGGCUAAAACAGCAGAUAGGGAAUGUAGGGGACAGGUGUAGAUUAGGUUGGCGCCUAAGCUGUAAGGAUCCGGAUCCGCAGUUAAAGGAUAUAAGGCAGGGAUAUCAGCUUCGAAAUCAGUAGCGGAAGGAUUGAACUCAUAGCUUGGAAUCAAAGUUGUACUGUGGGAAUGAAACUCCUUCUUGCCAACCAACCCUAGUGCUCUCUCCUCAUCUUAGUAGUUAAGGGCUGAACCAACAAAUACUUCUUGAAACUCACAUAACUCCCGAGCACAUAGAAAGUAGGCAAGCUAGCGGAUUCAGGGUAUUAGUAUAAGUACAGGUAAGUAUAUGAAUGGUAUUAGUACUGGCCAUAAGACAUAACUUGCUAGCGAGCUGGUAGUAGUGAGUGACUUAUCACAAGUAGGAAAGGAGGAUACAAGCAACUACGGAAGGGGGAAGGUAUAAAACCAAAUAAGAAACCCCGAACACAGGUUAACUCUGAAGUAGAUGAUUCAAAGUUAGGAAAGGAAGCAGUUAGAGCUAAGUCUCCAAGAGAGGAAAGAGUAAGAGUUGACCUAGAGGAGAAAGUCUAUAUAUGGAGUGGCCAACUCCGCUAAGGUAGUAGGAGAGUAACAGGUGAAAUACAUAAUUCCAGAAGUCAGUAUUAGACUCAUUAGGUGUGGGCAGGGAUACAUAAUGGAAUAGGCAAGUAGCCAACUCAAACUCAUAGGCAAGGAUCAGGUCGUCGAGUUAGAGUCUCGCAGCUAGUAGUUUUAGAGGGAAGUCGGACUAAUAGCGAUUGCAGUAAGAGUCAAAGAUCUGAGUAGAAGAAUCGAGGUUUCACUACAGUUUUCAAGUGAGUUAAGUAAUUGUGUGUUUGUUGGGCGCGUCUCGAGAAUAGAAGGCAGGAAUCCCAGUUCGAGUUAUCAUAUUCUAGAUAGUCGCCCCAUUCCUAUUUGCUAGUUCAAGUCGUAGCUCCAUUCUAAUCAGCAGUAGUUCGCUUCUUUAUUCCUAUAGGUCGAUCCCCAGCUCCAAGUUCCGCUCUUAUUUAUAAAAGCAACAGUCUUGUCAGCACUAGUUCGAAUCUAAUUGAUGGCAGUGUCAGCUUUCAAGUAAGUAUAGCUAAGAUCCGGAUCAGUCGUCCUAGAAAGGAACGAUAGGCUUUAAGCCGGUAGCUGGAAUAGCAGUAAGUAAGGCUUGCUCCACUAAGUUCCACUCUUAUCGGUAUUGAUUUGAUUCUGAUAGUUAGCAGUCACAGGCCGAGAGAAUCGACAUUAAAGCAAGGUUUUCUCUCAGGCCAGCACCAGUUGCAUUCUAUAGUGAAUAGCAAAAUCCCCAGUUGAUAGUUCAAGUUCCAGAGUCGUCGUUGGUUUCCCAGCUAGUGGCCUUAUGCUCAUAAGUCACAGUUCUCUUUCUUUUGAGAGUUAGUAAUUACAGAAUAGAAGUCAGUCAAGUAAGACAGCUUAGUGGAAUUAAGAGUUCGCUCCAAGUCGGUUAGUUUUAAAGCACAAGGGCAGGUGGAGUGAAACAGGUACAUAGGGAUAUGGAAUGUGUUAAGCAGUACGAGAACAAGAGGCUGUAAAGUCUGAUUUCGAGUUUAGGGGGAUAUAGGCAGAUAGGACCGACCUGAGUUCCAGCUUUGAAGACGGGAGAGGUGACCUUAGAGCAAAGAGGGGCGUACUGGAACAAGAGAUAUAGAAGGAAAGAAAAGGUAGUAAGCCUCGGAAGCACUAGUUUUAAGGUACAGAAAGUUAGGAACAUGCUCCCACUAGGAAAGAAUCCAAGUGAGUAGCUCCAUUCUGAGAGUUAUUAGUUUCAAUACAAUACCCUCAAUGGUGUGGUUGGUUUAUUUGCCAUUCUCUAAGUUUCCCCGGGGUUGAGUCAGCCCUUUGUAACUAGUAUUUUAGUAGCUCGAGUUCCUAGUUAAAGUCCAUUAGGUGCUAGUUCGCUUCUUGCUAGUACUAAUUCAUUUAUAUACUAUAGGAGAAAGUAUUCGAAGCUGUAGCAGCAGUCCCAGUUGCUAGUUAAGUCAAGAGUGAGAAGACAGGAUAGCUAGGCUUAGAAGCUAAUAAGUAGGGAUCCGGGGAUCAGUAGCUAAGAAAUGAAAAGAGAAAGUCACAGGCCAAUAGACCAUUAAAGUAAGGCGGAUAACAAAGCAUACAAAGACAAGAAGGGCAGGCUAUAAAGAGCUAACAAGCAAGAAUAGAAGAGGGGAUAGUAAGGCUUCAUAGUCAUUUAGUUAAAGAAUAUCAUAUAGGCGGGGCGGCUUUUAGUUCAAUAGUUUCAGAAUAGUUAGUAAGACCAAUAGUAAGGAAAGAGAGAAAGAGAAACAGGAGAAGUAGGCUCAGAUUAAGUAGCGGCAGGCUUAGAUCAAAUAGGUAAUAAGGCUCGGAAGCCUAAGCAUGAUAAGGCUUGGACACCUACGUUCCAUUCAGUUUGAGUUAAGACAAGGGCAUUCUUAUACUAUUGAGUUAUCUUCUGUACUCUCAUCUUAUUUAUUAGUCUCUUUAGACCCGUACCCUUACUUAUAGGUUUAGACUUACUUGUUUGAUUCUUACUUGAGAGCAGUUGUCUUACUCGCAUUGGUGGAAUUCCAUACAAUAAGGAACAGUAUAAGAAGCAGCAGUUUUCGGUCUAAGAAACAGUAAAGUAAGCCUCAUAGACAGAAAGGGUAGACUCUGCAAAUGGUGAAUUUCAGACUUGUAGGCAUUAGUAUAAGUUUCGGAUAGAGGAAAGUAAUACUCAAAAGGUAGUGGCAUACUUCCAUAAAGCGGCAGUUAGGUUUCAAGCAACUGAUAGGGAAUGUAGCUAACGAGCUAGGGGCUCAUAGACAUUAUUUAAAGAAUAUAAGUUUUGCUCUGGGGUGUAAAGAAUAGAAGUGAGUAUAUGUAGGAUCAAACCAAGUAGGGGAAGAACGAAAGUGGAUAGUGUUAGGUUGAAAGCAGAGAUGCAGUUUCAGAGAUAGUAAAGCAAGCCUGAUUGAUGCAAGCAAAAGAGCAUUAAGGUAAUAAGGAAAGGAUCCGAUGAAGUGUUUAGAGAAUAGAAGUAAAGUCACCACUGCGAAGUAAGAAUGAGAUUGAGUACUGGCAGCUCUAUAGUGAACCACGUAUUUGAGGUGGGAUUAUCUGUUUUGAAAUACGGGAGCGGGGAUGAAAGAAAACUGUGCUAGGCGAAUGCUAACCAAUAGGCCUGUAAGAAGGAAGGAUAUCUCUCUUAGGGUAGAGCUUCCUCCUGAACGGAUCACUUAGUAUAGUUUGAACAGAAACUAUCGAAAGACUUCUCUGGUCACGAAUAGGAGGCAAUAAUAGAGCCACGAAUAGGGGGCAAUGCUAUAAUAGAAGCGCCCAAGCGAAGCGUCAAUUCUGUCAGAGAGAUUCUCAACUCCGAUAAUAUCGAUCGAAACUUGGUCACUGUAAAGCACUGAAGUUAAGCAGAGGAGUCUCUUUAUACUUUCUUUAUACUACGAAAAUAUGAUGAGAUGGAAAAGAAGGGGAUGGGUUCAGUAUCAAAGAUGGAAUCUAAAUCACAGGAUGGAAAGAAUGUUGUAUAAGUAUCGGGUCUCAGUAUAGUCUUUCAAGUGGCAUGUUUCGGUCCUCUUUACCCCGUAUAGAAAUCAUACCAUGGGCUCUGAAUCCUCCAUAAGCGCAAUCAUAUCUAUCUCAUUCCUAUAAAUCAUACCCCUCCAUAAGCGCACUCAUAUCUAUCUCAUUCUCAGAGGGAAUCUAAGGUCUCAUACCAUACAGUAAAUUGGGGUCUGUCUCAUACCAUACAGUAAUUUAGGGAAUCUCAGGUCUCAUACUGUAAAUCCAUUCUUAUAAAGAAUUGCUCAUGCCCACAACUUCCAUAUUGAUUAUCGCCUGAGCUGCUCUUGUAAGAGAAUUGAUUAUCGCUUGAUCUCGUAAGAGAAAGAGAAGACAGAGAGAAAGCACACGAUCCAGGAACUUCCAUAACGUUGGUGUGAUUCGGUUUGAGCAACCGAAGGCUGUUAUUAAUGCGAACUUACUUCCAAAAUGAGCAUAUUCUAGUGGGGAACUCACAUCUUUCCUUCCUAUUGCCAAGGGGAUUUCUCUUUCUUAUUAGGAAUUGGAGGUCUUCCUCUGGCUAUUGGCCACUACGCUUCACUUGUCUCUGUCUGCUCUCUUGGAAUUCUUUACCCGUGCUUCAAUAAGUGAGAUGAGAAACCGCCCCAAGGUGCUUUAACAAGCCUAUAAUGAAUUCCCUAUCCUUGGCAGUAGAGAUGUUCUUGGUCGAGUCUUCGGUAGCCUUCACUUUGCAUUUCCUGAAUGGCGGGCCGGGGAUCUUGUCUUUCUAAUCUGGAUAGAAUCAGCAGAGCUUUAGGUUUUUAAUGACAGGGAUCUUUUGCUUCCUUUCUAAUCUGGAUAGAAUCAGCGGAGUUUUAGGCAUGAAUAGAGAUUUCUAGUAAACCCACAAAUGAACGGGAAGGACCGCCCCACAGAGCUGCAACAAUAGAAUAUGCCGAUGGUUCCAGUAAACCCAAACACAUAUGAUUUGCCUGAGUCAGUCUGGGAAAACCUUCCGACCAUCACUUUAUAGAAACACUAUGAAAACGGCCAAGUCACGACUACUGUGACGCGGCAGCCGGCCAAGCAACGACUGUCGACUUACUGGUUCUCGUGGUUCUCUUUCUCUAUUUACCCUAUGCACUUCUAUAAUGGUAUAUUAUUUGGAACGGUGCGCUCACGCUUGUGUAGCAUCUUCGCCUCUUUCUCCUGCUCCUUGUCAAAGCCUUGAAGCCAUGCGUCUUCGACCAACCAGGACCCGCCUAUAGCGUUUGGGUAGCUACCUACUAGCGUAGUAACAGAAAGGCAUCGACGUAGGCAUGUUCCAUCACAAAGAAAGGGAUUGUCGUUAUCUAAGUCAUUCCCAUUGGCAGGAGGCACGCCAGCAUCUCUACUAAUUAGUCGAGGAAGAGAAAAGAGUUCGACCUUGACAGCACCACCGCUCGACCCAAUCUUGCUAUUUCCAACGAAGAAGGACUAGACUGAUUCGACUGCUCUCACAGGCUCAGCUGCUCGAUAGGAAUACCACUUCCAGGACAUUCACUCUCAAAAGCAUGAUCGUAACUCUAACUCGCGCCAAAUGCCUCUCAUAGGGAAAGCUUGUUCCCUCCCGCCCUAGUAUAACUAUUCCAUUAGACCUACCUAAUCCCUUGAAACUCGGGGAUUCACCAGCCAUCGUGUGCCUUGUCUUGAUUUCAACCAAUUGAAUGCAUAAGGAUCAAUUUAGUAUCGAUGGGAUCAAAAAAGGAUUAACGAGGGAGAAGACAUAUAUUGUAAUAACUUGUUAUAACUAUUUAUUUACUGCCGCUACACUUACAUAGUUACUUGGCCGGGAUUCACUAACACUUUCAAAACAGCUAAUGAAUAGGAAAGCUUCUGUGUUUAUUCUGAAAUCGAAGGAGAGUUCGGGUGCUAAGCCUACGAUGGGGCUGGAAGCAGUGAGAAAUUCCAAUCUCUAAGUUGAGUCAAAGUAGUAAAAACCUAGUAAGUUGAUGUGCUCGUAAGUUGAUGUGCCUACUCCCUUCUUAAGUAUAGAGAAGAGAAGGUUCUGCGAUCAAAAACAAAGAAAAGUGGAUAAUUCCAGGUACCAGAUUGGGUAUUGAAUAAAACUCCUAACUCGGCAAACACAUAGAGAGUAGGCAAGCUGUGCUUAAUAAUAGGGCUGAAGGAGAGGCCAGUUCAGUGCUAGUUUCAUCCGUAUUUAUUGCAAGAGGAGAGGCGAGUGUACGAUAACCAUAAGUAGGAUCGAUCGGUAUCUUCAGCUGUGCUCGGAAAGUCUAUCAGAGAAUAAUCAGCAGCGGUGUCAAAGUAAAGCGGUAAGCGGGUCUAUUCUAGUUCUGGUUUUGUCUCCGAUAGAAGUGCUCGGCUUGUUUCAAUAAGUAUUUGUUGCAAGAGGGAUAGGAGAGUGCUUAUUGUUCUCCGGCUUUUCUUUCUUAUAGAAUUUCACUCAGUUGUUUCAUCCGUUCUCCUAUAUAAGAUAGAAAUUAGAUCCAUUGAGAAGGUGGUCUGGUCCAGUGAAAUCUUUAUUAGUUGACAAAGGUAGCUGAGAAAGAGUUCACAGAGACAUAGCAAGUAGGCAAGGAGGCAAAGGCAAGGAGGCAAAGGCAAAGAGAGCAACCAAGCCACUCCUUUUGGAUCAAAUGAAGGAGCUGGGGGAUUAGAGUCUAGAUCGGGUAUCUAUAAGUGGGAUUAGAGUCUAGAUCGGGUACCUAUAAUUCAAUAAGUAAACUCUCUUCUAUAUCUUUAUUACCUUGAAGACUUAGCGAGAACUGAUUCCACUAUUCACUGACGCCCAGUACAAAGGACUUGGUUAUAACUCAGAGACGGACUUCUUUCUAUAUAUGAGAUGAGAACAAAGAGCAUAAGUGGAAGUCAAGUGAGAGUUUCAUCCCAUCCCGGUAGUCCAGGUAGUCCUGCUCGAGUUGCAUCCCCGAGUUGAAUCUGUAUUUGUUUACAGAGGGGAGGUCUAGUAGCAAGAUGUUGGGAUGGCAGAGUUUUCGUUUCUCAGUUCAAUGUUAGAUGCGGGGUAUGGUAUGCUACCCUAUUAAGAAUUCAUUAUGCUUACCCUAUUAAGAAUUCAUAUAUAUAUUAUAUGCAAAGGGAAGAAUCUUAGGUUAAUCCCUUGGGGCUUGCAGUUUACCACCCGAAACAAGACUUGGAGCUAGGCUAGAGCACCAAACAAGCAGUCUUACCCCGGUAAGGUAUUUCAUGAGUGAAAAGAACCAGAGGGAUAGGUCAGAGCCCUAACUGUAUUAGUAGCCCUAGGUAAGAGAAGAGGUCGGGCAAGAAAGAGAAUAGUUCUUGUUUUCAGAGCAAUAGUUGAGGUCGGGUCAGGUGCUUGUAUUUCUAUAGUCAUAAGUCUGGAAAGUAGGAAUUACUGAAUUCGUUGACAGAACACUAGCGGUAGGAGCUCUUCCCACUCCGAUCCUAACACUCAGGUAGAAAUUCCCCGCAGCUAUAGUAUAAGAUCCAGUAUAAGACCUAGUAGUUUCGGUAUUAAUUCCCAAUGCCUAGAGGUAUAAGAUAAGAAUACAACCACUAAAAACAAGACUGAAACCAGGAAUGGAAAGAAGCAGAAUCAAACUCCGUAGUCACAGUCUUAACCUAUGAAAAGACAUGCGAGGACUGAUAGUGCUAACAACUAGAAUGAAACUCACUAGCUACAUUCCUACCUAAACUAAGACUGAACCAAGUAACAACAAGCCUGACACCCUGUUUGACUGGAUAAGAAUGCACCUAGUCAGGGCAAGAAUCCAACUAGCUUGUAGCGCCGAGAAUCCCAUGUCAAUUGAAGAAAGAAUGAUCAACACACAGCUUUCAAAGUCAAGGUAGAAGAAACAGCUUUCAAAGUCAAGGUAGAAAGGUGUUCAGUGCUGUAAACUCCUAACGCGCACACAACGGAAAAACUCCGUAUAUUACUUUCUAUUUACACAUUGUAUAGAUUCAGUCAAUAAACAACUUAUUAAUCUUUAUGCUUAUUCUUCUCGGCUUGGCUUAGCUUCUUAAUAUAUCCGAUGAAACUAAACUUCGCAUUGAAAUGAUAUCUUCUUUCAACUUCGCAUUGAAAUGAUAUCUUCUUUAUUGUAUAUGAAACUCUCACUUUUCAACUGAACAAAGAGACUUAACCAUAAAAUAAAUACACUCAAAUUCGAGUCCACUGGGCUAAGGGAAAUAAUAGAAUAAGUAUAAGAAUCUUCAGCAGUAAAUUCAGAAAUUGAUGUUAGAGUUGCGCCCGGUGGGUCAGGGAAGGGAGUUUCACUUCACUAUUAUUGGCCUGCAAGAUGAGCAGCUUUCCUCAACUCCUAUUUUGUAGAGUAUCCGUAAAUCAAUUCAUCUUUUAUUGGGUUGCGCGUAUAGUUUCUUUCAUUCAAUUAGUAAGUAUAGAUAAGUGCAUCGACCUAGGACAAAGGCAGAGGCAACACACCUACUCAUAUAGGACAGAUAGGACAGAUAGGACAGAGGCUGAGUACUCAUAUAGGACAGAUAGGACAGAGGCUGAGUGGAGUUAUGAAACAAAAGGCAUAGGCAGAGUGGAGUUAUGAGUUAUAUUAAAUACCAGAACUCAGGUGCCUUAUUUUCUAUAAUCAAUCUAGUUUACCGAGCUAGCGCAUUACUUACUUGAGUAGGAGAUCAGUUAUGAGCGCAUUACUUACUUGAGUAGAAGAUCAGUUAUGAGCAAGUCCGCCAAGCGUAUACUAUAACUAUAACUCGUAUUCUUUACCUUUAAAGUCAUUCGCUUCAGUAGUUUCGCAUUCCAUUAGAAAUUCCGUAUUUAGAGAAAGAGCAUGUAGGUUAGGAAGAAAGAGCCCUGGGUGGGGAGUUUCAAUAUUAUAUUACUUCAUGCGUUAGAUCGGACCCGCUUAUACCCUGACUUCAUUCUUACGCAUCAACCUACAAACUCAGAAUUUCAAGGGCGCGGAACAUGGUUAGUUCCCUUUUUCUAUUGCUGAAGCUAGUGCAGUUCGAGAGCUGAUAGUGGAAGAGAGAGAAUCCACAGUGCCAGUUAGGUCUACCAGAUCAGAAGCUUUGGAAGCUGUUAUGACUUCAAGUGGAGAGUCAAGAUCUGGAUAUUGGUAUGAAUCUCAGUAAAGAGUUCCUGUUUUAUGGGCAUCAGCGUAAGUUCCAUCUUCUUCUUAAGGAUAGGAACAAGCAACGAGGGAUACAAUAAGGCUUUAACCGAAGAGGUGGGCAUCGUUUCCAAAGUAAGGGAAUGGAUAUGACCCAUUAUCCGCAUUUACUACUAAGAUGAGGUCAAUUCUUCACUGAGCUUCUUUAGAAUUUCACUCACUAGCCUUUUCGAAAGAAAGGAGACCGGGCAGCGUCCUGACCUUUAAGAACGGAGUUUGAUACUUCAAUAUAAGAAUGGAGUUCACCCCUUUCCUACCCUGCUGGCAUACCUCUGUCAACAAAUAAACUGCAUUCUUCUCUUCAACUAAGAAAGUUAUUGCUCUGGACCACUAAUGGCAAAUUCCCUAUCUUAUGAAUCUGCUCCUUAUCUAGUUUAUUAUUAUCAUCAAAAAAGCAAGUAGAGGCGGAACCCCGCCGGAAUAGAAUAGAAGCAGUGUGAGUGUCAGCAACAAGUGGUGGUGUCGGUUAAGAGUAAUAAUCAGAGUCAAAUCAGUUAUGGAAUCUGUUAUCCUACCCUAUAAGAGAGAAUGAAAUGAAGAAAAGAAAUAGGGGAAGGGAGUUGUUGCCAGCAGCUGGGCUUGUUUACUUACUUAGUUGACUUACUUGGUGUUUACUUACUUGUGGUAGUUGUUUCAUGAAGUGACUUGGCUUAGUUUAUUAUUCAAGUUCUAGGUCUUGUCUAGUCGUUGCUUGGCCCUUCUCUAGUUUCCAAUCUCGUCUUCGGGGAUAUCCUCACUAUUGAUAGAAUUGCAUUGCCUUAAUUUCAUGGCAGCAGUCAACUGAGGAAAGAUCUAAAGAGAGGAUUCGAACCAUCACACUUAUAGAAUUCCCACAAUACCUCUUGUCUAUACUCAGACCUUAUACUAAGCACUUAUGGUACCGCUGUCCCCUCUUCUUAGUUUCCCCAGUAUAGAAUAAUCUUGAUGAUCAUUAAGGAAGAAAUAAGGUAUGAAAUCACUAAGGGAAAGUAUCUUAUUGUUUGACCACGUAUCUAUAUCAAUUUGAACCAAGUUUCCAUAGAAAAACAAUAGGGGGAGCAGUAAAUCAGACGUUCUCUCUAUUAGGUGUGUGGGCUUUACAUCUAGGGCUCGCUAUCUCUCUCGAGUAUAUCAGUCGUGGUCUUGCUGUCGUGCCGUUCCAGUAGUGUUUGUGAGGAGAACAAAAGGUAAAAAAUACCAUAGCCAAAGUCAUAGGCCAUAUCAGGAACCAAGAUGCCUUUGAUUACAGCAUUCGCUACUUAGCCAAUAGUCAGUAAAGAAUGAAGAGAGAUGCGAACCGAUCCUAGCUUCCCCGAUCGAGAUUCAUGUAAUAAAGGAAGAUAGACCGCUAUCCAAGUAGGAUGGUUAGUAAUCACCUAUUCAGUAGCUCUUCCCUAGUGUCUGACAAGGCUUCCAAAUUGGGUGGAAAGGAAUCCGAGUGUGACAUGAGUACUAUCGAGAGUUGGUAAAGGAAGAUUACCCGUACAUGCUAUUUGUGCAUGAAGUACCGAGGUUCGGGGCAAGGAUGUUAGAACCUAACUACUUUCCAAAGACCAAGACACCAAUGCUGAUAGUAAAGCGAUACCAAAGAGAGAGAGACCAGAUAUAUAGAUAGCGAGAGAGCAAAGAUAAGAGAGAGAAGAGACAGACGUAGGAUUCUAACCAAUGCCAAGACCUGAUAUCGAGAUAGAGCCAGAGAAGGAUGCUGGGUUAGGCGAUUCUCAAACGGAAAGUCAGAGAGGCAGGAUAGGUAAACUGACAUGCAAGGGCUUUGGUCACACUCGUAAAGCGAAAGAAGCCCGUAACUCUCUAUCAAGGAAACUCAAUAAACGAGGAGUCGCUUCUUAGGAAUUCCUCUUCUAGAAUAGACGUUAUGGCAAAGAACAGUGGAAUUACCGAAGACACGUUAGAAAAAUGCCCCUGCGUCUGGUACAUGUGGGUUGCCCAAGUUCCUAAUCUCUUUUACAGGUGCCAAAGUACCCGGUUCCGGAAAUGGGAUAGACGUGAAUCGAUGUCCACCUCCCUCGGUCAGCGCAAUUCGACCGAUUGAUCCAUUAGAACGCUAAGAGAGGAGAUUGACAAGGGGGCGAAGCGGUAUCGCACAAGAAGAGAAGAGUGGAAGGGAAGUAGGACGGUAGGACUGUUUUGCUCACCGCUUGCAUCGAAAAGUAUAAAGAAUGAAAGAAGGAACUUUAACCCGCAGAAGCCCAGCUGCAAAAGAAAGAUAUUGAAAAUAGUUAUGACUUUCUCGAUUGUUAAUAAAAGUAUAAGGCCAUACCUUUUUAGCAAAGGUCAAGCAUACAGACGAUAGAUAAAGAUAAAGCAGAACAGAAGAAUUGCACACGACCGUGUUAAUUAUAGCGAUUCCUUAUAAUCCUAGAUAAUGACCUUUAUAAAUGGAUAUAAUAAACUCGUGGAGAUUGAUACCUUCUCGUCAGACCGUUUACACACCUUCUCGGGCAAGGUUCACUUUACUACCAACUCAGACAACCCCAGACGGGGACACCACCAGAACACCCGAAAAGGAUAUAUUGGAUUUUUCAGCAAUAGGGGGAAUGACUUUCCACGUCUGUCUUACUAAUCAUCUUCCUUAGAUCUCCCCUAUGAGUUGUCUUUUCAAGGGAAGGCUGACUCCGCUGCGGAUAUAUCCGAUGUAUCUCCGAAUAGGUUGUUGAGUCUCCUACCUAUAUAUCUUAUAGGAAGGUAACCAGCCCCCCCCUGCUUAACAAUACAAGGAAAAGACAGAAGGAUUUUCUUUCUUUCUAGGUAAUAGCACUUUCUUGUUAGGGGUUGGGAUAGAUAGUUAGGUAUAUCGGGUCAGAAGCCGUUGGGGGACAGAGCAAUCUAGACGAGAUAAGAAAAGAGUCCGAAUUUGAUUGAGUUCAAAGAGCCAAGCAACGACACACACGGAAUAAGAAUGUAACUGCUAACUAUUGGAUUGAACUACUAGGCUAUCAGGAUCAAAUCGCAGUUUACAAGGCUACCUUUUAGUUAAAGAAACGAGCUACUCUCUUAUUAGCCUGGCACUACUUGACUAAAAUAUGAAUAUUACCCCCGUAACUACUGGCUCUAAAGCUUUGACUCACUUCCGGAAUUCUGUAGUGAAGGUGCGAGUCUGCCUCUAUUGUCUCAGAUUCUGUUACUUAUUACUCUCAUUCUAAAACUCCUGUGUUAUAGACAUCAAAUUCAUUAUAAGCAAUAUUAGGCGCAUUCAAUGAUCUAUUUACCAUCAAAACACCCAAUGAAUGAUGCUCUAGUUCAUUUGUUACUAAUCUAUUUCUGUAUUUAGAAAGCAAUAAUCACAUAGGUCACUCAAAGAAAUAAUAGCAUAGGUCACUCAAAGAAUUGCACCGGGGGGAAUACUCAAAUGCGAAAAUACCUUAGGAGAUUGACUCAGUAGGGGAGGGAACUAGACCGGGGAAUACUCAAAUGCGAAAAUACCUUAGGAGAUUGACUCAGUAGGGGAGGGAACUAGACCUGGCUCAUAACGACUCUACUACUUGCUCCUCUCUGCUAACUUCAUUCCUACUUGCGGAAUUCUUAAUGAGUCUUUCCUUUCCCUUCUUCUCGGCUUUCGAAAAGAGCUAGAUUCUCUUCUUGAUAUGACAAUACAAGCACCUCUGAACCUCCCUCUCGCCAAUCUGACUCUAAGAGGAAUACAUCUUAUUGACUUUACCGGUAGAUGUCUAUUACACCCCCUAUGAUAGGCCAAUUCCCUGGAAACUCACUAGAAAGGCGAAGUUUCUACCUUAUCUAACAAACCGUGCCUCACUGUGGUAGGUACGAAAGACUUGUUAGGAUGGUUUACUUACCUGUAGUGCCAAUAAGAAUGGUGUUUCUUUUAACACCGCGGGAAUCCCGGAACAGCUGCCGCGCUACUAACUACUAAGCUUGGCCCGGACUGACGCACAACUACUAGCUACAUAGCUUGUCGUCUUGGCUCUUUCGCUUUUUUGAAUAUUUGUUCUUUCUUUUCUUGUCUUCCAAAUUGAUUUAUCCCAUCGAUUGGAUUCUGAAGUACACUCUAUUCUUUAGUUCACUACCAGGUGGCAGGCAGCUGCAGCUACGGCAUCAAAAAGGAUUUGGUUUUGCGUCGUUCAUAAGUGGGGGAAUAUCAUAGAAUCGAUUUAUGUUACUAACGCGAGCCCCGCCUCAACUUGGGGGAUUGCUGGUUCCGUUACUUGUUCUCCAUACUGAACUUUCUACCCUAUACAAUAGUAUUUGACUUCGAGCAUAAAGAAUUGGGUAUACAACUGAUGGGUAUACAACUUAUGUCAUAGCGUAAUCUUACCUUGCUGCUGACUCACUUAUUGAAUUGAAUCGUCACCUCCUCACAGAAAGAAACAAACUCUGUUACACCAGCUCACUCUGUAACUCCAGUGCACUCUGUUACUCCAGCUCACUCUAUUCCUCCAGUUCACUCUGUUACACCAGCUCACUCUGUAACUCCAGCCUUUAAGAACUAAUAUCGGCAUAGAACAAGCAGUUCCUUAAAGUCAGAAUGCAUUGAGGGUUCAGAUUCUUAUGCCCUCUCAACCAAUAGCACGUUAGCACCACUCACGUUAGCGAGUUAAUGUUGAGUUGCUUCUGGAAUUGAGAAUUUGGUGCACAUCUAUAUAGAAGCACAGUAACAAGACACCGGACUCCUUCCUUGACACCUUACUCCUUACUUAAAGAAGGAAUAGGCGCCCCGAAUUACUAAUAACCAGAACGAAUGACUUGAAGAACGAAUGGAGUGCUCUCCCAUUAUAGAGUGUUCUCCUAUUAUAGAAAGAAGUAACAUCACUUGCUUCCUUUAUUCUGCCUUACGAACGCUAGACUCCAGUAUAGUAUGGAAUUAUAGCCCUUGUUGUUUGUGUUCUAUAUAAUAAUAUCUAAAACACUCUCCAGGACAACCUCUAGCGCCCAACGUUUGUUGCGCUGUAUUUCGUUUUGAUCUUUCAUCAUGAAUAUCUGUUUUUUAUCUUGAAACUGCUGUUGUUAGGAGUUAUGAGUUUCAUUCCAUACCGGAACCUGGCCAAGCGUAUACUGGAGCAAGAGCCAAGCUACUACAAAAAGUGCUGUUUUCGUCCUCCUACGAGUUAUGAAUAAGUCCUGUGUUUUUGCUGAUUGACUUGAGACUGUUGAUUCUGUUGCUUUCGUUGCCUAUGCUCGAACACAACUCUUUUUCUUUAUGAACUAACGAUACGACAACAAAGGGAAAGCCAAUAGCUACUUCCCUCGCAAACAAUACAAGAACAGAACUAGUAGACAAUGCUCGAACAGCUGCUGAUCCUAAACUUGAACUGGCCUACUUUGAGCUAGAGCGGGACAAUGACUUCUAGCACAAGGGUUUACUGCCAGCCCUGCUUCACCUUUCUACUUAACAGGAGACUUUGGAUCUAAUUCCUGACGCUCCACGAAAGCAGAAUAAGAUUAUCUUACCGUAACACUAGCACCUACAGAUGAAACUUGAACUAGGCGAACAGGAACAGAACUCUACAACUUCACUAGCACGGCUUCAGAUCCUUCCUCAGAUCCAGCUUUCUUAAUUGAAACUACAGGAUAGGUCGGGGAAGAAGAUAGUCGAUCCGAGAAUUCAUCUGCGGGCCCACUGGACGGUUAAGUAGGCAGUAGCUCCUUGUCCGCGAGAGAAGUCCGUUCUUGUUUCACAUUAGUGUGUAACUAGAGAAUCUGAGGCUUAGCUCGCUAACACACAAAUCAUCAAGGGAACUUACUGCUAACUGUAAUUCUAGGGAAGCCAGGGAAGAAUCAUCAGAAUCAUAAGCUUGAGUGUCUCCAGGAAAAUACUCUAAAUCAGGUGUAUAGGGAAGGAAAGAAAGUUCGGUGGAGUUUGGCGCGGUGCGGUGGGAGUUAUCUUCCUUGAGUAAGCUUAAGCAGUGUUUGGAGUUAAUGAUUUCUUUCUAUAUUAAUAGGUGCAACUCAAUUCCAUUCUUCAUGCGUGUAAGAGGAAGCAAGUAGACCAGAGGUCAGAUUAGAUGUUGUUUCUUUACUACUUUUGAUACUAAGUGUAGGAUAAGAUAGAUAUUCCAGAAAAGAGGAUUAGAUGCAGGCGAGGAAAGUGGACUGUAACCUCUAUUUAUAGUUUUGAAGGCUGUUUAUCCAUAUUUCUCUAAGAAGGCUGUUAUCCUAUGUUAUCUAAGAAGGCUGUUAUCCCGAUUGGGGUUAUUUAUCAUUAAGGCCUUGACACCCUCUUGUCUAUGAUCUAGUUGAAGAAGCAGUGCGCAAGUCCGGGUAUGCGGGCAAGUGGGAAGUCUACAUCGACAAGAGAAUCCGCAGUGCUUGUUAAGUAAACUGACUCUUAUUUCCUGGAAGUCAUGGUAGGGUUCAGGGCAGAAGCAUAAGAUAGUCAUAGUUUUGAAACGAGGUCUACUUCAGUAUCGUCUGUUUCUGUUCAAUAGAAUGGAAUUGCAGUUGGAAUGCCACCUCUCGAGAACGAUUGGCAAACGAGAAUAUACUAGAAAGCUGGGUUCAGGAAGGGAGUUUCUAUUUCCAUUCUUAUUUGAGUUGACUCAACAAGUCGACAAGCUUAGUAGUAAGUAGCGACCAAUUUGAGCCCGCCAAGUCCUGUUUUUGGGAGCUGAGUUAUAAACAAGUCCUUCCUUUGAGUAAAGUUUUCGGCGUCAGGAAUUUGGGCUAAUGUUACGCGUUAGCAGGGAGGCGCUCGAAAGAAGGAGAUUCCUGGUCGGUCUUCGUAUAACUUGUCAUUUCAGAGUGUUAGCAGUAGUCGAGCUGAUCCUUCGCAGUUUCUCUGGCGAUCCUCCUUUGAUAUAGUGAUGCUUGACCGGUUCUUCAUUAGCUGUUCUUUGUUCAUUGAUUUCUAGACUCUACUCUCUUCACUGUUUUCUAUGAAGGAUCUAGGUGACAUUAAUUCUUUUCUUGGGAUUGAGCCGUACACCACAGCACUAGCUUUUGACUCAGUAAAAGUAUUGACUUUCUUUGCUUUAUCGUAAUAAUAUGAGAAAUCGAAAACCCGCUUAUACUCGGCUUCUUGCAAUAAACAGUCUCUCUAUGAUGGGACCUUGCUUCCAGAUCCUUCCGUUGCCUUCUACUGCUAGUGGCAAACGAGCCCUUCUAUUCCUUACUUGAUGCUUUCUUUGGUUCCCGAUAUUCAUAGACCUAGCGGCAUCAAUAGUGUUGGCCGGAGCUGGCAGAGCCACCCGCAUAGGCGAUGGAAUCGAAUGCAUGACUUUCACGAUCGUUUUCUAAGUGUAGCUUUACUUGCUUUACAACUUAGGACCCCAAAAGAUGUUUUUCUUCGAUGAAUUCAAAGCUCUUAUUCGCAAUGGGACAUGGGAGCCUCCACUGACCGCUCAAAAUGUCGUUGGAUGCAAGUGGUUGUGUGAAGCGAUACCCAGACGGAAGCAUUGAUCGUUACAAAGCCCGUCGCCAAAGGCUUUCAUCAAGGACCAAGCGUUGAUUAUACUGAUACUUUAUGUCCGGUCCCCACCACCAUUCGGGUUGUUCUUUGCCUUGCACUUUUUCUGGGCUGGCCCUUAAAGCAACUGGAUGUUAAUAAUGCCUUUUUCAUGGUUGUUCCCUUUCGGAAGAGGUGUAUAUGUCCGGAUUCGUUUCUCCUAAUUUCCCAUGUUUGUCGACUCCGGAAGUCUAUCUACGGUCUAAAGCUGGCUCCCAGUGCGUGGUAUAAAUAACUCCGUGCCUUUUUUGGUUUUGUAAACUCCAAAUAAGAAAGCUAACUCUUUAUUGACUCUAACAAUGGCAUUCAAGUCUAUCUUCUUGUUACAAUGGCAUUCAAGUCUAUCUUCUUGUUUAUGUUGAUGAUCUCAUUGUUACCGGGAGUGAUGCUUCCUUCAUUUCCAAGUGCAUUCUGGAUUUCUCUCGUCCCCUCAAGGACUUGGGUGCUCUUCAUUCUUUUCUGGGUGUUGAGGCAAGACCAGCGGGUAUCUUUCUAUCUCAACACAAAGAGAUUCGUGAGCUGCGCACUCUUUUGACUGGUUACAAAGAAGUAAGCACAUCUCCUCCGGACUUGUGUAAGCACUUAUCUUCCGGACUUGUUAUUCAUGAUGGACCGGCUAAUGCCACUGAAUUUGUUAUUUAUGAUGGGCCGGCUAAUGCCACUGAAUUUAGUAGCACCAUUGGCGCCCUACAGUACCUCUACAUCACGCGGCCUGAUAUAGCCUACGCUGUCAAAAAACGAUCGCCAUUUAUGCAUCAGCUAUCUCAGCAGCAUUGGGCCAAACGCCUCCUUCGAUACUGAAAAUGGUACUUAUCUCUUUCAUGGUUGAUUUCUCAAGCGCUACUCCUUUUUGUGCAUGCCUACCCCCAUGCGGAUUGGGUUGGUAACCGACCAUACUUCUACAACGGCUUCUAUUGUUUCUCGGCAAUGCUAUUUCCUAGAGUUAUCGCAAGCAGCAAUCAGUUGCCCGAUCAUCGACGGAAGCUUAGUACCGUGCUGUAGCUGCCUCAGCUGCUAAAUGAGCUUGGGUCCAAUCUCUCUUUGGUGGGGCACUUGGUAUUUCUCUCACCCGUCAUAUACUGCGAUAAGACUAGACUGGCGCUACUUAUCUGUGUGCCAAUCCUAGUUCCCAUUCGCGCAUAAAGCACAUUGCCAUUUCUUAGAAUUUUGUGCGUGAUAAAGUAUCUAAAGCGUCAAGUGUCUCAUGUAUAAACCAAGGAGCAACUCGCUGAUGCUCUUCACUAAAUCAUUAUCAUGGCAACGGUUCUAACUCGUCCAAGAUUGGUGUCUUGUCUCCAAUGGGAGCACCAUCUUUCGGGAGUAAUAAGGAUCAAUCCACAAGGAUUAACAUCACCACAAAUCACGGCCAAAUCAUCUAUAAAGAAAAGAAUCUAUCAAAGAGAUAGUCAUCAUCUCCAAUAAUCUUGGCUAGAUAACCAACUAACAGUAACUGAGAGAAAUUCUCUCUUGUCACUUAGAACUCUAGAUAUAUAGUUGUCAUCUUUGAUUUAUGGAAAAUGGCCUAACAUGUUGUAUCCUGUACUUGACUAUAUACACUGUUUAGAUCAAUGUGAAAUGUGCCUUAAAUCUCUACAAUUAGAUUCUAUUCUUUUCUCUACAAUUAGAUUGUAUUCUUUUAGUAAUAUGAUUAGAUUGUAUUCUUUUAGCAAUAUGAUCCUGUGACUCUGUUGGGCCUAGGCUGUGAGGAAUAAGGGUAUCGUCAAGACCUCUCGAGAAUAGACGAAGUUGAUGAAUGUCAGAAGGCCGGAUUGGAAAGUGCGGUUCGCUUUCUAUGGAGAUAAGAAAAAGUAAGGACUGGCCCAGGCAAGCAUUGGUUUGAAGAAUAGGGCGGAGCUAAUAGUAUGCAUACGGGGGUCGAUCCGGAGACAUGAAAUGCAGGAAAACGACUCUAUUCAAUUCAAUCCGCCUUGAGAGAAAGUCAAACUCAACCCUCCCAAGAAUCAUAGUGUAUGGAAUCCGACGAACUGGAUCAAUACGGCACCAAUGAUGAUAUGGAUUUUGGAAUAAAUGAGUAGGCCCAACACAUGGCAUCCAAGAGCCACCGUGAUCCUGUCCUUAGAAUGCUGGGUAAAACACAUGUUUUAUUGGACACUUAACCAUCUCCGCUAGUCCAGUAAUUGACCACAUCCAGAUAGCAAAUACUAGAACUUCAAGGAUAAGGAUCCGCCGAAGGAAGGAAUUAACCAUAACAAAGCCUUACACAUUACUGUGAUCACUACUGGGAAAAGGGUUCCAAUGGUUCUGGUUGACAAUGGAUCGGCCCUGAACGUGUUCCCAUUCUGAACAGCCACUUGCUUAGGAUAGAAGCCAAAAGAUUUCUAAGUAGUCUUAGGGCAGGCCAUUAGAGCAUAUGACAACACAAGGCGGGGGGUCAUGGGCAUCCUUGGCCUUAGAAUGCACUUUUUGACCUUUAUGAAUUAAUAACAUUACCAAUAACAUAACCCAUUAUAGAAUGAACUGGAGGGAUAGCCCGGUAAGCAAGCCUUUAACCUCGAGGCUCUACCACUAGCAAUGACCUUGGCAAAAUGUCUAGAAAGCCUCGUCCCUACGUUGAUUAGAAAGGGUCAAGCAUUAGUAGUUACUUGGCGGUCGUUAGUAGUUGCUUGGCAGUUUGUAGCAGUGACUUGCCCGUUGCUUGGCCCUUUUCCCACCUUUCCUGUAGCACCAAUCCAUCCCGGAUCGGACUUAUAGCUUCAAUUGCUGCUGCUACAGUCCCUCCAUUAAUCUUAAGGGUUACUUUCCUCUCUACAAUAGUGUAGUUACUGUCAUAACCCUUGGCCUCCGCUUCGUUAGAGUCGAUCCAUCCUUCUAGCUCCUCAGUAUCCGUAUGUGUAUAUGUUACGACAAUACUGUUGGAUACGUGGAAUCUUUCUAUGUAGGCUUGGACCGGCCAUGCGGCAUAAUAUGCCACGGCAUCUAUUUCCUCUAACUAAAACGAUUCUGCCCCCGAUGCUGCAAGCUUCGCCCACGUUUCUGGGUUAUUUGCUGCCUGCUUCGACAUCACCCCUACGCAGAAUGGUCUCCACAGCUUUCGGUAAGUAUGCAUUACGUUCCAUAGCAUACCCUCUUCGCUGGUGAGCUCCUGCUUCAACUGUUUGUGGCUUUUUAGGGGUAGGGGAUAGAAGACGAAUUAUAAGAGUGAGAACGUCUCUUCCCCAGCACUUGAGAAUAUUUCCUCUCCUGCGAGGUUGCUACACAUUUGGUAUACGCGCCCCUGAGCGUAGAAGUGUAUGUACUCAUGUACUGCGAUCGAGCUCCUUUCCAUCAUGCCAGCUAGUACCAUUUGAAAGCUUUGCUGACUUGCGGUAGUUAGUAUUGCCCUAUCUUCUAGGUCUAGUAGUUUCUCUACGUCUCCCAGCACGAGUUGCUUCUGGUUUCCCGUAUUGUUUUGUGGGUUGGGGUAGUUUCUUACCCGCAUGCGUAUCUUUGUAUACUCUUAAUUAUAGCUGAUGGGUAUGGUUUUUGCCUGAUUCCACUGCACUCCUUUCAGAGUUUGCCUCCUCUGUUCUCGUGACGGCUCCUCUCUUUUGGCUUGCAUCCGCUAUUGAUAACGUUACUAAGACAAACUUCCCGAAAUUGGACUUCUUAGCUGUGUUGGCUUCUACAGAAUGGUUCAUUAGAUGCUAUCAACUAUCUUCUGGGCUGGUCUUAUACACAUGUUUUGGAGCUGCUGUUCCUACGCCAGCUCAGCGUGCUUUCUUUCCUCGUUACUAUGAGCGUGCUUUCAUGGUUCCGAGUCCAAGUGCUUGUUUCGUCGCUUUCUAGCGUGUUUCGAGCAUUCCUUGGUUUGCGUUUUCGUUCCUUUCUUAUUACAAUUACUAUCUUUUUCUAUCUUUCUCGAUAUCCGCAUCUAUACACUGUUAGCUGUCUUGCUUUUGAAAGCGAAAAUACGGGUCAAAGGCACGAUAAGAAAUGGCCAUCAUUUGAGAAACACAUUUCGAUGUCUCGUAGGCGAUCUCCGCCAAUCAAAUUCCAGUCGAGAUUUCCGGAUUGGAUUACUUUCGUUUCAUAUUCAAAGAAGCCCAUAUCUGGUCGUACAAAUCGAGCGAGCCUAUCUUUGGAUCUAGCCACCUUAAACCACAUAGUUUCCGUAGGUAGGUUAUGGUUAGCUUGAAGCCCGAAAGCCCAUAGUAUCUGAUCUAAUAAUAUAGAUAUUACAACUCCGGUAUCUUUCCGAGAGUCUGUGAAACUCCCAGGUUGAGAUGGAUUAUGGGGAACGCCCACCAACGCAAGGAUUCAUUAAAGGAGUCAAGAGGCGAGCUCUUAGUGAAGAGACCGUAGGAUUACGUUGCUAAAACAAACUGGAGGGGAGGCUGGAUUGGCUUUGUCCAAUAUAGUUGGGGCAGAUAUCCAACUUUGGACUUUUUGUAGCUAGGUGCGCAUUCCCGAACAGCGGCACCACCUCAUGACGGGAGAGAAUUCCAAUUAGGGGAAUUUUGGAACGGAUGCCAGUUCGAGGCGGGUCGUUUCUUUCUUUUCUGCGAAUGGGGAAGUCAGGAUCAAUCCGUCGAAAGAGAAGCCAAGCCAUCUCAGUCUAAAUAUAAGUAGACCAAGUAGUUUUAUAGGCAGAAAUGUGCAAGUAGGGGACCAGACCGAGAAUUCAUGGAAAAUGGAGUGAAUGGUACCGGUCAAGCAGAAAUAAUCUAAAUAGCGAGCCAGCACUAUAUACUCUAUUUAUUGAUUGGAAAGAAGGGACUCUCAAAAGAUAGGCCCGAGCGGAAUGAAUGAACGAGUUGUCCUAAAUGCCCCUUGUUAGCUGUCACAGGAAGUUCAGCAAACUCGACAAAAAGAAAAGUCUGCUCCCGUAACCUUUACUUAAUGAAGAAAGAGAGUGAAAGAGAAGAGAUCAGUGCAAGAGGGAGAGAAACUGUCUUCGUUCGGUUCGGCAGAAGAAAGCCGAGAAAACCAAUAGGAAGAGCAUUAUGCAUAUAAAUAGGAAGAGCAUUAUGCAUAUAAUUGAGUAAAUAUAUAUAAGCUAUCAUAUAAUUGAGUAAAUAUAUAUAAGCUAUCACCACCUCGAGCAGUAAAACAAAGGCGGCUAUGUUACUAAUAUGGACAGCAAUUAAUGGUAUUCAUUGACAGGAGUGACCGAUUUCUAGUCUUAGUUGGUACCGCCUCUGUUCACUUCAGCAUGCAAGGAAGACCCUCGGGAAUAAUCUCUUUUGGGGAUCCCAUACAAAGCUAUCAAUGCUUUAUUCGACGACAGUGGCUUUCGAAAGCUCGACAUGAAAGAGCCAAGCAACGACUAAGUCCUUUGUUAGAGGCUUUUCCGCGGGGCCAAGCUACUACUUUUAAAGCAUAACUCGUAAGAAAUACAUUCUAACAGUUUCUGGGCAAGUGCUAAUUGAAAGGCGUCAGGAGCCCCCCGGUGCAUUCAUAAGAUACAUAGUUGUUGUUCAAGUCACUGUUUUACUCGCCCUUGCUUUAAGAGAGGAAUUAAUAUCGGCAGUGGAACCCCCAUCCAUACUUUUACUUACAACUUACUUGAGUUCCAGAUGCGCUUGAGCUUAAUGAUUCCUUUGCUUGUUUACCAUGAUCAGACUUAGUGGCAACUGAAUCCGCUGUACGAAAGGAAAGUGGGGGUUGAGUUGAAAGAUAUGAAGCUGUAUGAGGAUAAGAAUAAGAUGUAGUUCGAGGAAGAAGAAAGUAUAGGCAUAGCUGUUUCCGUUAGGGGAAUCAAAUCAUAUCUUACUUCCUUUGAAGCUCCAGUUCCCGAUGUUAGUUAUCUCAAAUCUUACUUGAUAGUUCUAUCUGUCUUUGCAGUCGGUUCAACAAGUCUUGUUCUUUCGUGAGUUAAGUUUCAGUCAAGGUAUCAAGCCAUCGAUUUCUAACUUCAAGUGGGGGUCUGGUCUUCAAGGGGAGUUUAUUGGGGUGCUAGAGAAGCCGAAUACAAGUCAGUUGCAAGAGGAGAAUUCGCCUGGUAUUCUAGAUCUUUUCUAGUUAAGUUUGAUCCUAUCCUAUAUAGUUAAGUGUUAUCAUAGUGAAGUGUUAUUCUAGUUAGUUAGUUUCAAUGAUUAAAGCAAGGGCGGAUCAGGAUACAGAACAGGAUCAUAAGAUGGAUUAGGAGAAGGAAAGGAGACUUCAGCUCUCAAACACAGAACUUUGCGAAAUGGAUUAGGAGAUUGAAGAAUGUAGUUUCAGACUUCGGUGGAAGAGCCCACGGUUGGUUAAGAGCCGGGCAUUGAAGCUACACAACUACAGGAUCAAAGCAAAGACAAUAAGACUCAUAAGUAGGAAAGGGAGCCUUGUUAGUGGUUCUUUCUAGCAGUGGUUCGAGAGCCCUGUUGUUGCUAGGUCAAUUCUGUUACUGCUUCCCUUGACUCCCAGUUGCUAGUUCAAAAGUCAUAGUGGGUUUCCCAGUUUCGAGUUGAGUUCACGGAGCUCCGGGACAGUAGGUCAGUCUUAUUAGCGUUGGUGAAACUCUUUACAGUAGUAGGCGAAGUAUUGUUAGCGCCAGUAGCAGAAUGCAAGUAAUAAGUUUCAGAGUUAGAGCAAAGACAGUAAGAUGUGAGGUCUGGGCUCUAAGAAUGAAGUUAGGGUCGGUCAGUUCUGUUUGAUUCACAAUAAAUAGAGAAUAGAGAUCAUUAAUAUCAGUUUAAAGGCCAGGGAAGGUCAACUGGAAAUAAGUAGAGACAGGCUCGAACUAAGAAGCGGGAAUCCAAGUCAUUAGUUAAAGAGUCAAAGUCACCAAAACACGUUGCUUGGCUGUUUCUAGUUUCAUUCAUUAAGCCAACAAACGACUAUUGAUCCCAUAUUGACAUUAAGUCAACAACUAAUAGAUCCAAAUCGAUAUUCCCUCCCUUCCGGUCUGCCACUACCUACCUCCAGCUCCAGCCUUGCUUUACUUACUUUACCUAAACUAAUCCUAUGAGAAUUGGGCUCAGCCACAAUGGCACUAGACCGGCAUCAACAGCCCGAGCCAACUCCUUUGAUCGAACCCUUAUUGACUUGACUUUCGCUCUGAAACGGAAAGUGUGACUUGUUAGUUAAGGAAUCCGGAGCUAUUAAUACAGACGUUAACUAGUGCUUCUAGGGCUUGAAACUCUCAACUAAGGCUUGCGCUAGUGCUUAUAAGGCUUACUCCCUAUGUUCCUUUCUUACUCAAACUCCCCUGUCUUCAAAGCCAGGAUACCCAGGCAUAGGCCCUUUACUCAUGAGUCUGGGGUGCAAAUCCACCAUUAAGCUACUGUGCCCUAACUACGUAUUCCAGAACUAACUAUGUAUUCCAGAACUCACUAUGUAUUCCAGAACUCACUACCCAACCACAAACUGAGUUCUAUGUCUCGCAUACCAACCCUCAAGUGUGACUUACGACCCUAAAACUCCUGACUUGCAUUCUUGUAUCUGUCCCUUCCUCUCCUGCGGUCCACCCACGCUUCUACUAAUGAGUUGAUUUCUCCUACAUGAGUCGAUUUCUCCUACAUGAGUCGAUUUCUCCUUUGCCUUGGUCGGGUAAUAAGGUCCUAUUUCUUCUGCACGGACGUUCCACUCUCACUUUCCAUACACCUUAGGCUAUUGACUCUGCACUUGCAUUAUUAUUUGUCAUACCAAACAUACAUAUUGAAUCUAUACUUCUAGGCGUAGCACAUAGGUUCUCUUACUAGAAUCUCAUUCUGAUUUCUGGUUCGACAUAACGUUCUUAUUGUUCUAAUUCAUUAUCAUAUUAUAGCCAUUGGUUUUGCAUAUCAUAUUUGCUAUUAGUUUGCUUAUAGUAAUUCCACUAGUUUUCUUAUAGAGUAAUUGGAGCCAACAACACAACUGCUAUACUUUAUUCUUUCAUGGGCUACCAACUGAUCUUAAUGAAUCACAUACUACCAACUGCCCUUCCAGAACUAUACCCAUCAUUCCGAUAUUUCUCAUUUCCUCUAUCCGACCUCGUUACUUAUUGCCAGUAUACUACUUUUUUCUCUUCUCAGUGAAUCCAACUCAGAAGCUGCUUUCUCAGCGAAUCAAACUCAUCCAUCAGUAAGAAAUCCACUACUAAGUAAGAGACCUAAGCUAAAGUAGGGGAAAUCCACUCUUGAGUCGGGAUACCUGGCUGUAUGGGCGAACUCCCUAGUAGUAGUAGUAGCAACGAAAACAGAACAGAGGAACUAAACCCAACAGUAGUAGAAUGGGCAGGGGAAAUCAAGAUUGGAUCAGUAGCCUAAGGGUGAAAGAAGCAAGCAGGGGACUUAGCGGUGAACGGGUCAGUAGCUUCAGAAAGAGAUAAAGUCAAGUAAGGCGUAUAGCCAAGAUAGAUUGCUAAGUGGGUAUUUGAUUCUUAUACUUUUGAGUUGGGAUUUCCUGAUUGCUAGGUUGAUUCCAUAUUACUAUAUAGUCACUUAGUUUGGUAUCUUGACUUUAGAGUGGAAUUCCGAGUUCCCCGAGCUGAGUUCCUUUGCUCUUAUUUCAGUACUAAAAGCAGUAGUUCCUUUCCCAUUAGUAGAAGAAUCAGACUUAGCGGAAAGGGAGUUAGCCUCAUAGGCAGUAAAGGAAGGGCGGGCCCAUAAGUGAAAUACAAGAUAUGAGAUCUGGAAGGACAGGCUAAAAGACAGGUAAUUCGGACUAGGUCGGUUGUCAUUAGUAUUAUUCUCAUAAGUUGUAGUUUGAUUCCGCUGUUAUAGUGUCAUUCCACCAAGUCACUACUAGGACUAGUUUAAGUAGUCAGUACCCGAUUUGAACUAGUAAUAAGGUACAAUGCACAGCCCAUAAAGAAUAUAAGUAUAGGAAAUAAGUAAUCAUGAGAAAAGUCAAAAGAGCGUAGUAAAGUGAGACUCCACCUAGUACAAGCGGGAUUCGUAGCCAUUAGUGAAAGAGUUAGAGUAAGCCGGUUCAGUUUGAAUCAAGAGGUAAUAGGGACAAUUAGGGUCAAGGCCUAUUGUUAGUAGUCGAUUUCCUAGUGUUGAUAGGGCAGUUAUCUAGCUUCCCGCUUCUUAGUGGAAAGUGUUUAUCUCCUACUUGAAUGUCUUAGAGGUCAGGUAUCUUGUAUCAUAUGCUAACAAGAAAACACAUGCUAAUAUACUAUGAUAAGAGAAUAUAUCUAAUGCUUCUAAUGCUGAUUACUAUUAUAAGGGAAUAGAAAAGUGACAAAAUCCACUCUAAUCUACUAAGAACGAAUCCUUUGAAUUAAGAACAUCAAAUAUGGACUAAAAGCAAGUAAAGGUAGAAAAAGAGAAGCAAGUAAAGGUAGAAAAAGAGUGUAGCGGCAGUGUGUUCGGGGUAAGAGCCAGCGCACCUAGGAUAAUAGUAAUGUAGGGCAACUCAUAGGUAUGAUCUAGUGUAUCCAGUAAUAUAAUUAGUAUAGGGGCGGAGGUUAACUCAUAGGGUAUGAUGUAGCACAUCCCCAGGCUAAGACAAAACCCUAAGAAUAAAGAAUCAAGCAAAGAAAUAAGUAUUAGAAUAGAGGUACGCCCCUGCGCAUUAAGUAUAAGAAAUAGAGUGCUAAGGGGCAUAAGCGAAGAAUCAAACCCGUGCUAAUAGGGCUUGAAAUACUCAAUCUAUAGUUACGUGGGGUAGCUUCGUUCCAUCAAUAUAGUAGUAGGUUUCGUUUCGUUCCCCUCUUCUCUUCUUAGUAUGAGUUAAGUCACAUCCCUAUUCUUCUCGAACAUUAGAUUUACCUGAUCAUACCAUACCCUAGAUGCACCGGAUCAUACCUAUUCUACUGACUUGACUCUCACUUUCAUUAUGAUUUGUAAUACCAAAGCUAUAUCUUUCCUCUAACCCCCCGCCGGGUAUUCAUUCUUUCUAGCGGUAGCUCUAUUAUGAGAAGCCACAGUUCGAGCCUUGCUUUAAGCAUUUCGAUUCUAGUAGUAACAGAGUGGAACCAAGGGAUGGUAGGGUAUAGUUGUAGCUUGGUGGCUACUAGUUUCAAUGUGGAAUUUCAGAAGGGGUAGUAAGCCUGCUAUUUUGGGUCAUAUAAACUAACUAUAAAUAAAGGAUGCCAGGUAAGUCGGGAGCCAAUGCAUUGGUUAAAGAAGAAAAGUCAGAAAAGUAAGCCUAUAAGACGAGGUUGGCAGAGCGAGAUAAGUAAGUCAAAGAAGAAACCCGCGGAUAGGUAGACUAACAACCAACUAGACACUGCACUAAGGAAUAGAGUGAGGGAGGUGAGACUCAAAGUCAGUAAGGGUAAGCUUGAGUAAAGGGUAGUAGAGUGAGAUCGAGUAAGGGCCAGACUCAUCAUUAUUAUAGUAAAGUUAGGAGCUCCAUUAUGAUGUAGCGCCCCAGGAGACCAUUCUGAUUAAUUGUUGUUGGAUUCCCGCUAGUAGACUCAGUCUCAUAAGUACCAAUAUCAUUCUUAUGGUUAGUAUAGGCAGGCUCACUUCUGAGUUUAGGUCUGCUACUUACUUGUUUGAUUCUCUAUUAUGAGAUAAGAGGAGAUAAAGCCACGGCUAGGCAGUGGUUCCGGGUAGUAGUCCAUUCUUCCCAGCAGGAUCCCGAUUCUUAUAGGGUAGUGUUUCAAUCUGCAAAGACAUAAGCGGCAAUAACAAAAGAAAAACCCGCGAUUUAUUGGUUUUGACUCUUACAGGUGCCCUUGGUAGCCGAGUUCUUAUUAUUGGUAGUUGGCUUCCCUUAAACUAUUAGAAGCAAGGGUAUCCGUCUCGCUUUUUGCUAGUUGAGUUCUAUAGCUAAUAGCGCAAUUCCCGGUUUUGCUCCGUUUAGUUCUGUAGUUCAUAGUUUCAUUGCUGGUUUUCAAGUGAAAGCCCUAUUUCUCUGCUUUAGUUUAUGGGGCGGUAUUCUAUCCUGGCCCGAUAACUUAAGUUCAAGGCCGCUGCCCGCUACCUAUACUCUGGAUUUCUUUCAUUUAGUCUAAAGUGUCUCGUAUUUGCAUCCUUAUCAUUUGUAGUGAAAGUCUCAUCAGUAGUCGUUGACUUAAUUGCAGUAGCGGCAGUCCUGUUAUCAAUGGUAGAAUUCCCUUUUUUGUCUUACCUGACAGUUGAGUUCCGGGCCUUGGUGGUCUUGUCAGCAGUGGUUCAGGCCUAUUGGGAGAGUCCCCAAGGUAGUGAGACUUGGAUCCGAGAUCGGAGCGUAGAAUAAGGAAUGCUAGUAUUGAGUUGUAGAAUCGAAGAAAGGAGAGGUACACUUUCCGGCAGGAGAGGCAUACUAUAACUACCAAGCAGGGCUUGGCAUCGAUAUGAACUAAUCCGUUUUCUUGUUAGUAACGAAAGACUUCUAGUUUAGAUACAAAAAUGAAGUAAGGCAGGGCUGCUUCAUAGACGGUAGCGGUUAAAGGUCUUGUCAACACUCUAGUAUUUCCUUACUGAAAGGUGCACCACAGAGAACGAAAGCAGAGAGAGAGUUUUCACGUAAAGAGAGGCAGGCUCGGAUCAAGGCGGGGCAGGCCAACUUCUGAACUAAGUCAUGUUAGAGCAGGGACCUAGUCCUAUGUUGUAGGGUAAUGAUGCAGAACUAGCCAAGCGCCUACGACUACUAGAAUAGAACUUUCAAUAAGGGCUUGGACUAGCGCUUCUCGAACUUCCUUUACUUUCCCUUAGGCUUCAUCCACCUUUAGUUGAGUAAAACAAAAUAUCAAUACAUAUAAGUAUAAGUUAACAGAAGAAUUAAUGUAUAUGAAAAGAAUAAUUAAUACAGAUAAGUGAAUGGAAUACUACCUAAUUAAAGGAUAAGUGAAUGGAAUACUACCUAAUUAAAGAAUAAGAUAAAGGAAAGGUAGGAUAAGCUACCCAUAACGAGAAAAGUGGAAAAAAGUAAGGAAAGGAUAAGGUAGGAGCCAAUGCUUCAUACUAAUUCGAAAAAGAAUCCAUAUAGUAGAAUAAAUAAUAUAAGUAGUCAGCCCCCUAUAAGUAAGAAGUCAACUCAUAGCUCUAACACUGGAAUUGCGUAUCUAAUAUGUAUUUUCUAAUAGUAGUAUUUGGAAGCAAGGAAGGUCAGAAUGUAACUAGUUCGUUUUUCGCUCGCUAGUAACAGUCUUGUUAGUAGCAGUUAGAUCCUCUGUCCCCGAGUUCUCGUAUUGGAAGUUGGUGUGGUGACACAGGCCUAUAGCUGGUAGUAGAAGAAAGCAGAAUCUGAGAUGCUGGGCGAAGAAAGCAAGGAGAUAGAGGCUAUGCUAUAGUAAAGCAAGGAUAGGUUUCGUUAGGGGUUUGGAUAAGGAAGAGACUAACAACAGUAUAAUUCAAAUAAGUAUUAGUUCUGAGCUAAGGUCUUGUUAACAUGGGUUUCAAUCUAUUACUGACUUUUUCGAUUACUUGUUCUGAGUCGGGUUCUUUAGCUCCCUCUUCUAUAAAUAAGCUGCCCCUCCUUACUUUCAGUCUAUAGCUAAUGCAUUUCGUUCUUUCCCUCCUGGCACUGAUUCUGACUUUCCCGCUUGCCCUUCUUCAAUUGAUGAUUCCGUCUUUCGAACAUAGUAAUAAGAAUCAGAAUAUAGUAGGGUUAGAUGUAUUGGAUUCACACCAAGCAGUAACAUAAUUGAACUCAGUGAAUCAAACUCAUAAGUAUAAGUAUUUGUAUUAAUAGUUGGUAUCAGUAGUAUUGGUGGAAGUAUUAGUAUAUAGUAUAUGUAAGUAGGAAAGCCUAUCUCGCUAGGGUCCCUUGCUCAGAUAGGAAGAAUGGUGGUGUCAUUUACAAGAAUCAAACUAGAAACUGGGAAAAUCCACCACUGCUGAAAGGAAUCAAAUCAAUACCGAUAAGAGCGGAACACUGCCUCUAUAACCACACUAACGAGAAAAAGAAUGCGACUGAAACUAACAAGGCUCUACUACUAGAGGCCUAAACCAACCUCAAACCAGGGUUCACUGAUAUUUCAUUAUAAUAAUCAAUAAGGUGGUAGCUGAUUCCAAUAGCACCAGUGAAAGUUUGAAACCACGGGGUAGUAUAGACUCGACUCCAAACAAGCAGAGGGUUUAAGAAGAGAGUAUCCAAUGUGCUCUUUAUAGCCUUAAAGCAGUGGUUCGGGAAUGAAACACGGACAUCAGAGGAAUACGUAGUAAGUCAAGUCAGAAAACAAUUCGAAAGUAGGAAUAAGGAGUAGGAUAAUCAAACAAAGAAUCAAUAUUGACACAAGAAAAGGGAAUUCACCAGUGCACUAAGAGACUGAAACUGAACUCGGGAAUGAAAGAAACCGGAAUUCAACCAUCAAGUAAGGGCACCGAGAUUCUACAGUUUUGUAAAGAAUUAGUGGAAAAGCUAGGGUACCAAUAUCAUAUAGAACUGUCAUGGCACCAAUAAGACCUUAGUCGGGAACUCAAACUCUCACGAGGAUAGAAACGAUGUCAACAAGACUGACCUUAGAGCCUUGCUUGUGCUAGUUCGACCUUGUCCCAAGUCUUAUAUACUGAGCUACAAAACGGAGAGUGGAGUUAUUUACCGCGGGAGCACAUUUCCUUAGUGGUACGCUGAGUUGCACUAAGUAGAUAGGAGAAUCCAAAAAGGGGGUAAUAAGGAAUCCAGAUAAUAAGUAGGAGUCAUAAGUAGGAGAGUGACCCCAGUGCUAACAAGAAUAGAGCUCACGGACGGAAAGGUGGAACCCAACUACUGAUAAGAGGAAUCAAACCUAUGCUAAUCGGAAUGACGCAAAGAAGCUUGAAUCCAACUACUAUUAUUAGACCUUAGCUACUUACUUCGAAGCGGAACCUAUUACUUAUGGGAAUCAAACUGUUAACAAACGGAUAGUAGUAGAGGACAUAGAACCAAACUCCGUAUUAGAAGAAUUGCACCCGGAAUGCGACUAGUAAGUCAUAGGCUUAAAUCACUACAGGAAAGAAAGGCAUUAGUAAUAACAAGAAUAGAACAGGGGAAUACGAGAGUAAAGUGUCAAUCAAAAGAAUAGAACGCGAGAGCCAACACCAAGAACUGUAAGCGUUAACCUAGGAGCGGAGCCUAUAUCUACUGCUUUAAGCCUGGGUUCACCUCUUCCUUUCUUUCAAGCUAUUAUUCCUUUCAGAAAGUCUUUCUCAGCUGUAAAAGAGCCUCGAGGCUAUUCUUCCCCACUGAAAUGGUUCCCCCCAUACAAAAUACAUACUAUAGGAAUGAAACAUAGGAAGUCAGAACUCCACUCGAUACAUGGAAUCUGGAGCGUGGGAAUGCAAUAGGAAAACGAGAACCAAACACGUAUUACACAAAACAUACACACAUCAACUUAGGGCUACCUUCGCGCAUUCGGCGAGGAGCCAUUCACUCGUUCUGUGUAGGGAAAGGAAGGCAUACAAAGGUCUUGGAGCAGCACCUUUGCUAUGUCUACGCAAAACACACACAUCAACUUAGGGCUACCUUCGCUAAUUCUGCGAGGAGCCAUUCACUCGUUCUGUGUGUGCGCGGCCGUGUACUCAACUAAGUGUUUGACGUGUACUCCACUAAGCCCUAAGCCCUUGAGUAGCACCAUUCAUUCAGAAAGUCUCUAAGCUAAUUCUGCAAAGUGGCAGAAAGUCUCUAAGCUAAUUCUGCAAAGUGGUAUCGCUCAUUCGGCGAGGAUUCGAAUUACAUACAGACAGCAGAACCGGGUUGGAAGUUGGAAUGAAAGAAUGGAGUUUACCAGCGAAAAACAAAGACUGGCGCCGACACCCUCCCUUAAUUAGGAAACUGAUGGGGUAUGGUCUGGCCUAUCCUUAAGUUGUAGACCCGAAACCCUGUAAUGGCUUUCUACGUAAUGGCUUUCUACCUAAAACUAGGCGAACAGAAGAACGCAACUUAGAACCAAUAACAAAAACACAGAUGUAAGAGCACUGCUUAGGAUCUCGAUGUUACUUAACGAAUACUUAGAAGAGGGGUUCCGACUAAGAGAAUACAAAGAAAGAGACUCCGAAUAGGGAUGUGACUUAACGAUAACCAAUAGGAAAGAGACUCCGAAUAGGGAUGUGACUUAACGAUAACCAAUAGAGAUGUUAUUUGACUUAACACCAAACCAUAGCUCGAUCAUUAAAGUGAGAAACUCGGUACCUUUUUAGACCCCUUAUUGACUUUGUUUCCUUCAUAAAACAUAAGAGAACUACUCUAAUGAAACAUAAGAGAACUACUCCAAAUAUUCUAAUGAGAAAAGAAAGAUUCAAUUAGAAUGAGAACACUGUCCACUACUACUGUCUUGAAGCCUUUGUUCUGUGUUUUCGCCGUGUUAGUUACCACCUAUUAAUACUGCUAUUAAUACAGAUUGAAAUCAAUGAUCAAAAGAUUGUGGAACACUGUCCACUACGACUGAAACCAGCGCAGAAUAUAGAAGCGUCUACCACUGUAAUAAAGAAAGCAACCACAUUACUAGAUCUCGGGCUUACAACCAUGACUUUGAUUCCCGAACUAUGGUAAUUUGCUUGGCGAAUCAAACACUCAAGUCAGAACUAAUCCACCCUUACAAGAAUAUGGCUCCCAUGGAAUAAGGGCAGAGAGGCGACAUCAUAAUUGACCUCUACAGACAGGAUAUAAGCAUGAGGAUAGGGAUGCUAACUACUGAUACUGAACCCAAUAUCUACUUUUACACCGAUGUGAAGCUGGCAACUGAUGCGCAUGGGAUAGAAUAGCACCAAGGCCAGUGAAACCCAGGCUAGUGAGAAGCAAAUGCUAACCAACAAGACAGCCGUUGUUGAAUAGGAAGAAAAGCCAGCUUUUGUCCUCAUUUCUCUAGAAGCACACGAACAAUUAGGAUUUCUCUAGAAGCAUACGAACAAUUAGGAUACCACACACACACACACAGCUACUUAACUUCGCUUAGAUCGCUCAUUCCACGAGUAGACAAAACGGGAGUAGACAAACCGGAUGUAAACAUAAACACGAGUAGAAAACGUUAUUAAACACGAGUAGAAACCUACUUCUUUCUUAUUAUUAUUGUAUAUAUCGUAGCAUGUGCUUAACGCGCCAAAACUCUAUCUUGAAGAGCGCGCCCCCUCCAUCUACGAGAAUGCAACAUAAGAUACCAUGGAACGCACCAAAAGAAAUAAGGGUCAUUGUACGAGAUAGAAUUCACCCCCAAAUACAUGAAUGUAGCCGCUCCCCACAGACAAGUGGCUGAGUACGGCAGAAGAAAACUAGCAAUAAGGAACUCUUUUUCAUUGUACAGGAAUGACUCCUCUAAUGGGUGCUCUAAGAGUGGGUUGAACCUUGAAUCAUACCGAAAUGAAUUAAGGGCACAGCACUUGGUCUAACUACUAAGCUUGUCGACUUGGCCGGCUCACCGUUGCUUGGCUAGUCCUAAUUAAGCCCUCUUCCUAUUACACUUUCUUUCAUUGCUCCUCUCUUGCUUGGCAUUCCCUCUCUCUUCCUAUUCUACUUCCAUUGGAACCAGUUGUCGCUGCAAUUCUCGCCUGUUACGGUGCUGGUCAACCAACAGGUGUUUUUUAUGGACUAGUUGUUCCUGCAUGCAAUUCUCGCCUGUUACGGUGCUGGUCAACCAACAGGUGUUUUUUUAUGGACUAGUUCUUUCCUUGAAGGCAGUUACCUUGGAUGUGGGUCUAUCCGAUUUGGAGAGCUACCCCGUUUGGCUAAAAACGGACUUUUCUGGAGCACCCCUCUAUAAGGAAGGUUUAGUUGAAUGCCUUUCUCUCUAAAAGGUUUAGUUGAAUGCCUUUUCAUUAACAGACAGAGUGUAUGGCGGCGUGACGCUGUCUAAGGUCAAUUUAGAAGUCUUUGUUUCAAGUGCUUGCUUCAAGUGUCUUUGUUCAAGUGCUUGCUUCAAGUAAUGUAAUAAGAUGGUUGUCGAACGGACUGCCCAUUAGGAUACCUAUCGGCUGUUUCUGACUUUUCCAGGUAACUCAGUGACCUCCUACUCUUUCUUUUCGUUUAGCAGCACUCGAUCUUUCCACUCUACUUCAGUACUUUUAGAUCCGAUGAAAACCCACUCUAUACAUAUAAGGGGCUCGAGGUAACUCCACUAGACCAGAUCGAACUACGGUGCCGGACUGAAUUGGGAUGGCAGCGUGAGCAGACAGCGAGGGAGGUACUACGGGACCGGCCUCACCAAUCUCUUUCUAUUUAUCAGCACUUUUCUUUGGCAAAAAACACUCGGCUUCUGCUAAAACGAAAUGGAAUCCUAAAAAAACAUCUUUAUUAAGGCGAUGAUCCUCUUUAUGCUAGACGAACGACCCCUUCUCUCGGCGAAUCACACUGGUGGUAGGAAAACGGCAGGCACGACUCUCUUCGUGUGGAUCCAAGGCCUUCCUAGUCACAUACAUAUGGUAGGAUUCUAAGAGGUUCAUUACCUCCCAUUUAUGAGUUACACGCAGCCCUCCUACAGCAAGCAACCUAGAGCUUUAUAUAGCCGAUGAUCUUCUGCCUCAUGUUUCCGACUCCAUGAAUCAUCAGAGUCUCUUCUCUCGUCAAAAGGCCAUAUAAAGAAAGACAAAAGAAUCGAAUAAUGUUGAUGGAUGACACGAAGGUUCGAGGGAAGUAGUUAGCCUUCACCAGAAUAGACAGCGGCCUCUUGUGCUUCAUCUCACUUCAUCUAUUUACCUCGACUGCCAUCCGUGAAUGUGUUAAGUGCUUAGAGAGCCAUUUCUAUCCCAUAGCUACGUCGGCGCUCUACUGUCUCAUAGUUCCAAGUAUAGAAAACAAACCUUGUAGUCUUAGUUAUGGCCCAUGAUUACCCGUGGCCGAUCAGGAUCCCAAUCAUUUCGUCCUAAACUCCUUUGUCUUUAUUGGCCAGCUUCCCCGUAGUAUAAGCCUUUCCACUUCUAUCUCUGUCCGGUAAGCAUAGAACACUUAAGCCUACCCGCUGGCUAACAAAGCUGACGCUCACGCAUCUUACUACACGGUUGGUUGCUGACAAUAAUCAUUUAGAAUAGGUAGGUCAAAAAGAAAGCUAUUCCAGAGAUAGAUGGGCAGGAAUCCGGAGGAGUUGAAAUCAUCAUAUAUCUCUUUGCCUUUGAGGUCCCGGUAGUAUCAAGCCAUAAACCUUGUCUUUCACAGGCAAACUCACGUAAUCUAUAGUCUCUGGAACUCUAACCACCCUUGUUUGUUCUGUUGUUUGAUUCUUUGUAUCGCUGCUAUCUCAACGGAAUUGACUGCGGACCUCUCCCUUAUCCUGAUGGUCUGCUCCUAUACGAAUGCGGUCUAAAUCUGGGUUUGCAUAUCUUGAAGAAGGCGACACCUCCUCAUUGUCUUUGGUACCUUAAGCCUCGAUGGAAGACGAGGGCAAAACUCUUUGGAAGCGGAGACUGGGUCAAGAGAUAUAGCCCCAAUGAUGGAAACAGUGGGGUCCUGGAGGUUGGCAUCAUUGUUAUUCAUUGGACAGUGGCUGGCUUUCGAUCAUGGUCGUUGGGCUUCCUUUCUUGGCAUAUUGAAACUCACCCAUGGAAAUGAUUAGAUGAUGAUUAUGUAUAUUGGGCAUAUCCAUGAGACGUCCCAUGAUUAACCCUUCGAUGGUAUCUACACUAACGAUAACUCAACUCAACACCGGGGCAUCAUAUGAGAAUGAGUUUCUCGCGGAGUCAGUGUCCCCUUCGCCAGCAUCACAUCGAACCAUCUCUCCCUAUCUCUGAGAUAGAAAAUCCUAGUUGAGAUUAUUUCUGCCUAUUCAAUUCCUACAAUGCUUCUCUCUUUGUGCAGGUUUUGUAAACAGGGUUUCUUGCAAUUAUGGUUAUUAUUACCUAACUUCAGCGACAAAUCCGCCACUUGUCCAGAGGUAAGCAAAGUGAAUCCAAGCACGCACAGGGAAAACCUUUGAUCUCGCGAUCUAUUCUAAGUAGAACGCUCCCUCGACCUUGUCCUGGGUCCCUCUUCGCUAGCCUUAUUGCUGGCCGCCCACACCCUCUUUCUAAGAAUGAAGGAAUAGGUGAUUCCAAGCCAUAAACAUUGAUUUGAGAAAAGGACCCCUCUUCUCUUUUGGUAGCAUCUUGAUCUUUUCGCAUAGGACCAAAGGUCAUAUAAAGAAAGAAAGAAAGCUUAUUAUGGUGAAAGCUUAUUAUGGUACUAUUACCACUACGCUGGAAGGAAUGCCCUCAAAUAGCAAUCAGGCCUAGGAAAAUCUCUAUGGAAUGCCAUGAUUCCUUCUUAUAGUAUUUUGAUCUCUGAUUAUACUAUACUAAAGAGAAACUCCAAUGCAAGAGAAGGCGCUGCUAUGGAAUCAGGUCUUUCGGAAGAGAAUGCACAUUCAUAAAUGAUUGACUGCACCCUGUACUAAAGAAGGAGGCGCACCUCUAUCUCUAUCUACUUCAUUCUUUUUCCUUAGGCGCACCUCUUCAUUCAAGGAUUCUCUUCUUUUUCUUUAGGCGCACCUCUAUAUACUUCAUUCUCUUCUUUUUCCUUAGGUGCCCUUAGGGGAAUGGCAUAGCCUUCAAGUUCCGGGCGAGGCAUACGUUCUAUUUGCAUUUCGGGGCUUCUUGUCACUUUUUAGUACCAGCAGCCAUUUUCCUUUUGGGACCUUAAGAGACAGUGUUCAUUUCUCAAGAAUAUGGGAGUGAAGCUUAUCUUCGAAUUGGUGGAAAAGAAUCCCCUGUUUAUGUAUCCCAAUGGAGAUCUUCAUAUCCAAGAUCGGCGAGUUCUGUUCCAGCAGCUUGUCGAGCCAGUGCAAGAGACAGAAGAGAUAGAAUUGGUUUCUCUGAAUUGGCCUGUCCGUGGAAUAGGCGCUGGCCAGAGUACGCUUUAUAAGCAGCUUGAAUAGAAUUGCUUAAGUAAAGGCAACUUCUUUCUUCCCUUCCUAUUUGAUGGGGGUGCCUCCUCUUGCUCUAAAUUGUUCAAAAACGUCCCCUUGAAAAAAAGAGCUAAAUCACACAAUAGGACAGAAUACAAGUGUAAACUCACACCCAAGGCCCUUCCAGAACCUUUCCUUUACCUGUACUUAAGCAAGAGAUAUACUCUUAUAAGUCCAAUACAGAUCGAACGAAUAGAAUGAUUUAGCCGUUCUCGGGGGAAGCACUGAUUCAAAAGACUUCUCUUUCUUACUCCAUACUUUUCUUUAGAACAUUGCCUUCUCUUUCUUACCAAUUCUCUUUCUUACUAAUUCCUCUUUCUUACCAAUUCUCUUUCUUACAUUCGACUUAUCUUUCUUUUCUUACAUUCGAAUUAUCCUUCUGAAAAGGCCAGCCGCCAGAGUCACUUCCGAAGCGCGCACCCUCACAACAACUCCAAUUGUAAUAAGCAUCCAGUUUCACACGCUACGAACACUUCUAACACAGAACAUAAAAGAACCGUUAGGUAAUGAGGACCUCUUUCCCAGCCAGCUACAUUACCAGACUUGGAAGCCGCUCACUUUCAGCUACCCGUAUGAGUAGUUGUGGGAAGAUUCACUGUUUAGCCAAGGCCUUAAUGAAAGCCGAGCCCUUCUUUGUUCACCCGCAAGCCUGCUCCUUCGCAAACACUCGCAGUUCCUCUCGACGCCCCAGCUACGUUCAGUUUGAACUCACUUGCCCCAUACGUAAGGGAUACAAAUCUAUUUAGUUAUACUUCUUAGAACACGAAGACAUAUAUAUAUAUAUAUAUCUAUAUAGAGUAUCCAAUUUCAAUUGAAGGGCAAUUUCUUGCUCAGGUAUAAGGGGAAUCUAUGUAUGAACCCGGGGAGUUAACAUUUGAUAGACAAAAAGGGUGAAGUCAGCCAAUUCACCACUACUUUAUGAAAUGCUCAUCAUAACUAUAGAAUGAUGUUACCAAAUGAGAUUCUUUUCUUUUUGAUCGAGCUCCUACGAGAGAACGAACCCUAGGAAGAAAGGCGAGUCGAGCUCCUACUGGAUAUGAAGCGUAAUAGAUAGAUUCCAAUUGCGUCUCCCUGCCCUUGUGAUAUUGAACAUUCAAAUACGUUCCAAAUGUCAUGAGGCAGAUGGCUCUCUCCACUAAAGGCUUAUUCUGGGACUUUCUUCUUAAUGCUGCAACUCGGCCUGGCCCAACCAAGGCUUUUUGACCUCUUUGUAAGUAAAGUAGAAUAGGCUGUCUUUCUCUGUAAAAGACCAGGCUUUCAGCACCUUGCUUGAUGGCCCACAUCAGUGCCCCGGCUUGACCUACUCUAGAAUUGUACCCGUCUAAUGUUUCGCCUACUUUGUUAUGUGUUUGUAUCCGUGUCUUGGCGGGUAGGGGUGGUCUUCUUCUCCUUUACUAGUAUACGCUUGGCAGUUUACAUAGGUAGAUUAGAGCCCAGUUCCUGUUGCCCUUACUUAUAACGGUAGAAUCCCCAGUUCCAGUUAUAAAGUAGAGUUCCUGUUCCAGCUCCAGUUCUUGUUAGAAUUGAAUACCGACCCUGUUCUUAUGAUAGUCAUAAUCCCUUGGUUCAUCUGUAAUCCUAUGAGAAUUCUUGUUGGAAUGUUUUUCACAGUGUCGUACGGUACGAAGCCUUAGAAGCAGCAGUGCGUGUAGGGCAGUUUCGAGUCUCAAUUCCCAUUCUUAAAUAAGAUAAGAUAGGCUAAGCAACAGAGCCUCAUUCAGUUUAAAGUAGCCAGCAAGCUCAGAAGUAGGAAUGAAAGAAAUAGUUUACAGAGGAAGCAGAGCCAGAGCCAGAGAGUGCUAGUGGAAAGUCAGAAUGCAACUAAGAGGUAAGCUAGUAGGAAAGUCAGAUAGAGUUAGUGCGGGUAGGGCACUUAUAAGAGGCGAGUUCGGGUGCUCAAACUCUAGUAUAACACAACAUCCUUAUGCAUCCAUUGAACAUGUUAGGUCUAGCUCUGGUGUAUUCGGCGGCUCCCUAUUCAGUGCUAUGCAUGGUUCCUUGGUAACCUCUAGUUUGAUCAGGGAAACCACUGAAAACGAAUCUGCAUUAGCAGGUUACAGAUUCGGUCAAGAAGAAGGAAGAGACUUACAAUAGAGUAUUGUAGCUGCUCAUGGUUAUUUAAGCCGAUUGAUCCUCCAAUAUGCUAGUUUCAACAACUCUCGCUACUUCUUGACAUGGAUUCUUGGCAGCUUGGCCAGUUAUUGGUAUCUGGGUCACAGCUUUAGGUAUUAGCACCAUGGCUUUCAACCUCAAAUGCAAAAUAGGAAGUUGAUUGACUUAAGAAUUAUGGAAUAUUGAACUACUGUUGGAGUGUUAUUACUAUAUUAUGGAAUAUGAACGAUAGAUGAUUUUAAGUAUUCCUUGACUUAGCACUGUCCCUACUGGCGAUAGAAGUGGAAAGUUGAAAGAGUGAAGUAUUGUAUAGAAUCACAGGUAAUAUUCAAAACUUAUAUGCUAUUAGAGAUGGAUGCUAUGAAUACUAUACUUAAAACAGUCCAAACAACAAUGCUUGAGCAGUAUCAAGUAGAGUAGAAAGACAUUUGUACCUUGUAGAGUCGUAGACCAGCUCUAAGUGCAGUGUUCAAUUCCUAUACAUCUUACCUAUAUUAUAGAAGGAAGCAGUUAUAUGUUUUAGAGCCAGGGCUGCUUAGGUGGAGCCAACAGUCAGAACUCGCUUACCGGACAGAUACAAGACUUGAUACGAUAGCAUUGCUUUACUCAUUUCUCAUUUAGUGCUCUCCUCUUAUAGAAUAGAGUCAGAAAUGGGAGAGGAUAGUAAUGAAACAGAGAGUUAGUGUAACACAGAAAGAAUUGAAGUAACCCCACACAGCUUGAAGUUAAGUAAAGGGUUGAAGACAGCUUGUAGAGUAAGUCAAGGCAAAGGUCUAUGUUAUUAGGCUCAAAUUCACUAUAAGAUCUGAUAGGUUUCAUUUCAUAGGGAAUUUUCCAUUAGCUCUGUUUAACCUCCGUUCAAAUGUGUUUUUUCUGGGUUGGGUUUCUUACCUUGCGCGCCAAAGACAUCCUUCUUACUGUUAGCGCCCUAGAACCUUUGCUUUGCUUUGCUUCCCUUGCUCUAUGAGGAUAAACAGUAUAAGAAUCAAAAUACAGCAGUUAUGUUUUCGUCUUCAAGUGUAGAGUCAGGAUCAUGAGUUGAAUGCGCUGGUAAGAGAGCUGUUGGCGCAAGUUGACAGUAAAGUUUUCUCUGGUUAAGUCGAUGAGAUCAGUAGAGUGUUUUUCAUCCCGAGUUUCCAACUUCUUAUUUAGGGGUUUGCUGGGUCUGCAAGGGAAGCAGUUACGACUAAGUAAUAAUAGAAUAAGUCAGGGUGAACGGGUCUAUUCCAGUUCUGGACCAGUGCCCUUAUAAUUAAUGCACCAGUCUCAAGUCAAGUUUUCAAGGGGAAGAAGAAAGUGGAGUUUGGGCAAGCUUCAUUCUUCUCUUCCACUAAUUAAGUUAUGGCUCUGGACCACUACCUGGACUUACCGGUAUUCCACUAUCACUCUCCCAGGACCAGGGCAUUCUCAUUCUGCUGCUGAUAAAGAAACUAGAGCAGGCGAUUCUCCACUGUAAACUGGAACUGAAAGAGAAAGGUUCAAUUCCAACUUUGGAACAGAAAGAGACAACACUGCUUAACUGGCCCUUGCUUAAUAAGUAAACUCAUUACUAUAGAGUUCAAUUCUGUAUCUUAGUUGUAAAUGCGGAAGCCUAUGUAUUAUGGCCAAGCUCAAUAGAUAUACUUAGUGCGCUAGCAAUGUAGUAUAGGGCCUUCCUUCUAUUAUACUAUUUCUUAUCUGAGAACUUUACCUGGACUCGAUACCUGGACUCGAUACUAGAACUAUAUACUUGACUUCCUAACCUGUAGACUCAACUCCCACAGAUGCAACUGAUUGUCUUGGCCUACCUCUCCUCUGGUAAAGCACCGAACCAGUCUCUUUGGGUGCAAAUGAUUAGGCGUUGCUUGGCGGUUAUAACAAGUUCUAACAUAUCUGUAGAUCGAAUCAAGGGAAGAAACAUGUGUACGAUUGAAUGCUAGGGUUGCAAGUCAAGGUAGAAAGUGUCACGUUGAAAGAAAGGCCCAAGCAACGGGAUGAGCUACGUAGACAAAAUAGAAUAGUAGUGCUAAAGUUGUUACAAGUAGUGGUCCUGUUCUGGUGAUUGUUAGAGUGGAAGACCGAUCCUAUGAGAGUGUGAGUUGACAGUUCCAGCUGAGUAGUACUUGUUUUAUUCUUUAAUGCCAGUUGCAUCCCAGUAGUCGUAGCCCAGGUAGUCGUAGCCCAGGUAGUCGUAGCCCAGUUCUGGUUCUUGUUGAAUACCGAGUAGUAGAGUUCGGGGCGAUGUGACUCAAAUAGGCAUAUUUCCGAAUGUUACUAAUUUCUUUAGAUCAGAAGAAAACAGGAACUACUUGCUUGCCGUAGCGAAAACAGGAACUACUUGCUUGCCGGAGCAGUAAAGUCUCUCGGAGCAGGCGCUAGGUCAAGAUUCAAUGACUCUCUACUUUACCACUUGUAGGGCAUAUACUCUUUCUUAUGAGUGGAAUUCUGACCUUUCUACCACUGAGUGGAAUUCAUAGUUGAAGUUGAAUUCGAAAGAGAAGCUUCUUUUGAGGAGUAGUGAAAAAGAACACUUGUUAUCCGGUUUAUCCAGACCAGAUGAGUUGUCCCCUUGCCGAAACUGUAAAUAAGGGCCUCGUAUACAAGGUCAAGCGCCAAGAGCCUUUAGUCUGGAUUAAGCCAAGCCCAACUCACCAGGUAGUCAAUCUGACUCGCCGGGUAGUCAAUCUUACUCACCCACCGAGGUAGUCCACCAAUUACUUUGUUACUUUCACUCUAACUCCCCUAACUCCGACUCUUACCACCCUGUUGAUAAGCCUGCUCUACUUAGCUACUGCUUUAUCUCAUUAUGAAACUAACUGCUUUCAGUCUAUAACUCCUUUAUUGCAUUAUGUAUCUAACCUUUGAUUCUUUUAAUGCUUCCUUGCUUACCUACUUGUUAGUUAAAGAACCCGGGCCUACUCUAUUAGACUGUAGCUACUGUUUCCAAGACUUCAUCCAUAAAGCAACGAAUCUAACCACUGCUACCGAUGAGAAGCCAAUAGAAUCUAAUGAGAAUAGAAAUCCCCUCUACUUCAAUGAAAAGAAGAACAUAAAAGCCUUUUCCACUAUUUCCAAUAGGGCCGGGCGGUUUAUAACUCACUCUUCUUUCAGCAUCUUAUAGACUCUCCAUUAAAGGUAUAAUAAGUGCUAUUUUCUAUCGGGAGAGGAUCGGCGGAAGCUCGUGCAUUCCUUUCAUUCCCACCUUCAUAGGAAAGAUCUUACUGUUCCCUCCGAUCAAUGGUCGAAUAUGCUGCCGUUCCCCUAUCGGUCGAGAAGUCAACUCCUUGGGUGUGGACAGAAGCGUAUCUUAUCCCGAAACCAGAGAUACUUGAUUGAGGACUGAUUCGAGUGGAUCCUGUUGCCAGAAAGUGCUCUUUCCUAGUCGGGAAAAAAGGCUACCAAAUGAGAAAAUGGGUACUGAAUCUAUAGAAAACAAAAACUAUCGCAUGCUUAUGACCCAGUAACUAACUCGUUAUAGGCGGAGAAGGAAGUUUAGGGUGAGUUAUUCCUAUCUAUUCCUGCCCUUAUUAAGUAAAGUAACACGUAAAGGUCCGGGCUCAAUUCCACCCUUUUAUCACUUCCCAAUGGUUGGCCCCACUCCUCAGCUAAUCAAUGUCCCCUUCGAUUUUAUGGAAGAAAGGCUUGAAGCACCUUGAUGACGUGGAUGCUUCAUUCAGUAGUGUUGAUCUAUUUGGUUUAUCGAUUCUCUUUUGCUUAUCCGGAGGAAUCUUUACAUCAGAGAAGAGAUGUGGUGAUGCAACUCCAUACUGGGACUGGCUAACGCCUCUUACGGAUUAUCUACUGGCCUAUGGCACCCAAUAAUCUAAUGAGUUGAGCAAUGCAUUAUUUGCUUAUGGUCCUCCCUCCUGUUCAUGGCUCGGGUAGCAUUCCAAGGCUUUGGCAUAUUGCCAACAAGAACCUGUCCUAUAUACUGCUAAAUGAAAGGAAUUCCGCAUAUUAGCCCUAAGGAAUCGGUAGGUUAUAUAUAUAUAUAUUUGAAUAGCACUUAUCCUCUCCAUUUAGUAAUUGAGUUCUUUUUUCCUCUCCAUUCAUUUAGUAAUUGAGUUCUUUCCCUUUCCGUCGAGUGGUAAAGUCACACUCAUUCCCUCCCCGAAUCCAUCAGACAGAACCAAGCCAAAAGAUGAGAGAGAAGGGGGCUUUAGACCACUAUCCAUCUUAGAUCCUCCAUACAUGAAGCCUACCGUUGAUUUGCUUUCAUCCACCCUAAUCCGCAUCGCUAUAUCUUUAUAUUCUAGUAGAAUACUUUCUAUUCCAUUUCCAUACACCAGAUCAAGAUCAAUGCGCGAGAGACUUCAUUAUCCUUUGAGCGAUGCAUUCCAAUGCUCCAAACCGAGUAAAGUCACACUUACGGCAUAAGCGAUGUCCGGGCGAGUGCACGUCAUUGCAUACAUUAUUCAACCACAAAGGCAUCAGGGAAUUCCCCUACUCUUAUCUUUAUAUUCUGCAUCUUUUGGACACAUCUUUGAAGAGAGCCACAAGGAGAAAAAGGACUCAAAACCGCUUUAUGAUCAUACGCAUCAUGGUGAUUUAGAAGAGAAUCAAUAUCUCAGAUUGGAUGGAGAGCUUUAUGGUUUUCUUUCUUUUAUCUAUCCCCAAGAAUAAGGAUUCCUAGAAUAACAUGGGCUUCGAACCAUCUCCCCUUCUUUAGGAAAGAAAGAAAGUGCCUUCACCGCUCCGUGGACUCCUCAAUUUGUUUCCUUAUAAGAAAAUAGUCAAUGAGGGAAAAGACCUCAUGUCAAUAAAAAAGAAUCUAUGUUGGUUUUGGAUUUUCUAAGAAAGAUUUGAUAUAUGUCCAAUUUCUAGUGGUGGUGGGACCAACCAAGAUGUAUGUCGUCCGACCCGACCUCAGACUAUUUCUUCCUUCCACACCUAUUUGACUCUCUGGCCUUAUUCAGGUGGUAUCCCGAGAUUGAAGAGAUCGAAUUCCUCCCGGGAACACACAAAACAAAGAUAUGGAACUAGAGAAAUCGAAAUGGAAAAGAGAUGUUUCCAAUUCAUCCAAAUAAUAAGCUUUUUAUACAUCCAUAUGAUCCACUAAAGUUGAUCCCUAUUGCCCAAGAGAAUUCAAGCUGAUCUUGGUCCAUUGAGUCGAGUCCCAAGAAGAGAAGAACGAAAACCUGUCCGAUGCUUUUUAGGCCAAACCAAAUACUAUAUCCAAGUGGGACCUGCACUAUGAGAUCAAAGUCGGACCUGCACUAUGAGCAAGCUGUGCGAAAAACCGCUUCUUUUAUCCGGUUCCGCAACAACUUGGGCUAAUUCCAAUAUGGACUCCAACGAGAAAGAAGACCUAAAGUUCAUCACCACUACCGGGAAACCAUUGAUUUGAGAGUUUUCGCCAUUGGUUACUGGUCGAGCCACUGGAAUGGAAUGAGAUAAGAAUAUAUGGAGAUCCUUCCUCCCCACUUACUCGUAAAAGGCUUUCCCUCUGUAUAAGACUUGUUCCGAAUGGCAUAAUUGUCGUACACUUCUAGCCUCGAUCCUCAAAUAAGCCCUACUUGACUUUCAUGAAAGCUCCUACUACUCCGAACUUGAUCGAUAGUCCCAAUUAGCAUUAGUGCCAAUUAGCUGCCUUUUUGAAGGCGGUCAUGUGUGAUCGAGGAUGAAACGGUAGGCUUUAGUUCUAGCUCUACAUUAGGAGCACGGGGCUACAUCUAUCUAAAGAAGAUACAAGGACCCCCGAUACCGAUGCAGAACCGACGGGGCUCUGGCAAUCUCCGUACGAAUAAACUUGGUGCAAAGGUAGACACUCCCUUACCCCUUGGUGCAAAGGUAGAGACACUCCCUUACCCCGGCUUGAUUACUAAUAAUAGCAUGCAGGCUUUACUAGCUGACGAAUAAUAGCAUGAAGGCUUUAGGCGAAGAUCAUGGGGAGUCGAAGCCCUUAGGUUAGGACGUAAGCCAGCCGGAAACCGACUCAUCCACUUUGGAGUUUGGCAUUCAUGUGUCACAACUGUAUGGGCGGACUGAGAGAUCAAAGAUUAUAUGUAAACGGCUGUAAGCACUUGGUGACUGACUGCAUACGUCAAAAAAGAUCGAAGGAGCAUCUGAACAGCGUCACUGUUUUUCUUUGAUGCGCUUACGUUAGGUUUGGGCUCUUUCUUUCUUCUUUGAAGCUGUUGUUUGCUAGCAGGGGUAUGCUAAAAGUGUUUGAAGCUGUAGUUUGCUAGCAGGGUAUGCUCUUUCUUUGUAGUAUCAUUGUUGUUUGCUAGCAGGGCGCUGGUUUCUCUUCUGUUUUUCCGCUUCUGUUUGCUGGCUCUUACUUACAAGCUCAGCACUCUUACUUACAAGCUCAGCAUCCGAUUCCGUUUGCUCUGGAUGAACUUCUUAUAACGAACCUCGCUUUACUUUUGGAUCUAUUUGCUUAAGCUGCGUAAACUCCGAUCAGUUUCUGUUAAUAAAGCUGGCUAGAUCGUUCGCUCACUAAGCCAAGGGACUCACAACCAUUGCAAGCAACUUCUUCAGUCGAUAGGCAUAAGGAAGACCAGAAUGAAUACUACUUUUCCCAAUAGCCCGCUGAAAACAUCUACGAAGAAAGGACUUGGCCCUAGCAUCAAUACCACUAGCAUCGGACUUAGCAGGCACUGUUCCAUUCUUACCAGCAGUGAUUGAAGUCUUAGUUUCACUAGUAGCUUGGCCCUUGGUGGAAUUGUUAUAACGGGGGAACUAUAGUGGCUCUGCCGCUUGGAACUCGCUACCGCAGAUGUUUUCGGGAGUCUGAGCUAAAACGGUAGUGAGUUUUGACUACCUCGUUUAAGUCUUGUUAGGCAGUGUUUCCUUCUUGUUGGUGCACUGUUCAAUUCUGACUUUGUGAGUGGCUUGGCCUUGGACUCCUUAGCUUGACUCUUAGGCUCCCGACCUUCUAACUCCUAUGUUCACCUCAGAUUCUUCUACUAAUUCUGAGAAGUCUUUAGCGAGAGUGUGAGCCUGCUAAUCCUUGCCCUUAAGUCUGAGUUUCCUUAGUUGGAUUCUUGUACAACUUAGUUUCUAUUGAUAGGUGAAGUCGUUAGCAGCGGAGCCCCGCAUCCUUAUUUCCUUGCCAUAAAGUCUUAGACGAUUUGCCUUGCCAUAAAGUCUUAGACGAUGAGCUCACAGACUAGGAGUAUGAAGUGGGCGUAGUAAUAAAUUAGAAACAUAGGUAUAAUCCAACUCAAAACAAACCUGUAUCAGACUUCAAGUAAUAAGUAACAGAACGAGAAGCAUCGCACCAAGAGACAAAGGACCAGUUCAAACAAAGAACUCAACCUAGUAAUAUAAGCGAGAAUCCCUUUCCCGAACUCUCCUCAGGCAACUCAUCAUUACCCGGGCCAACCCUUGACUCUUUUCCUCUGGACUAGAGCAGCUCAUCUAACGAAAUUCUUAAUGAAAGCUGGCUGUUAUUAGAAAGAUGGAUCUCCUUCCUUCCAUCAGGCUAAUUAAUAAUAGAAAGAGGUUCCUGAAUAGACGUAAACAACAUUGCUUACUAGAAUCUUUGGAGCGAUAGCCGGAACUAGAGCAAAUUACUGGUAUUCGAAAGCGAAACCUAGGAUUCUACAUAGCCUUUAAGUUCACAAAGGAAGAAAUAAGGGAUUGCCCGGAUCUCGUAUUCCAUCUGCCAUAGACGCUUUCUUUCUUUUAACUAAGCAACCAAGCCGGGGAGUGAGGAAAGCGGAAGUGGGAAUAAACAGCAAGCAAGCCGGGGAGUGAGGAAAGCGGAAGUGGGAAUAAACCAGUAGCAAUCAAAAGGGUACCAAGCAUUACUGACAUUCCUAUUAUUAAAGGAAUCGGUGAGUGAAGGCAAGAUAAAGGAAUCGGUGAGUGAAGGCAAGAUCGGAUCUUUCAAGCGUUACGUGUUAAAGUCUUAGAAUAGAAUGACUUAUAAAAGAGCUCUUAGUGCACCCGGAAGAUGGAAUUGAUUAAGUCUUAGUAGCGGUCUCAUUCCUUUCAUUGUGGGGAAAAUGACCAUAAGUUGCUGUGUGUGUGUGGUACCCUAGUUGUUCAUGCGAUUGAGGAAGCUUUAUACUAGGUCUCUUAACCCCUUGGCAUUCUUCCGAUCGUACUCAAUUACUUAUGAAUUCUCAAUGGAGGCUAGCCCUUUUUGCUCAGAGACAGCUUACUACUUUACUUACUUUGGCACAGCUUCCUGCAGUGAACGAACUUCAUUUGUUAUAGCGCUAUAGAAUAAUAUCGUAAAACACACACUCUCCAGGCCAGGACAACCUCUUAGCCCUUAUUUUGUUGCGGCUUACGUGAGUUUUGAUCUUUCAUCAUGAAAUAAAGCCCCUAGACUCAUUAAUGAAUGCCUUUUCUUCUUGGUCUCUAUCACUUGUUUGCUUAAAGUUAGAGUGGUCUAGCUGUUUCCAAUAAUAUCUUGGGGGUUUAGAUGUUUCCAAUAAUAUGAAGAAUAGCAUAUGCGGGGCGUUAUCUUGGUAAUAAUAGCAUAUGCGGGGCGUUAUCUUGGAAUUCUCAUAUACCUUUCUAGACCCAACAAAGAGUAUUUUGCUUUAGGCGAGACUUCCGUUAUGCUUUGCUCUUGCUGAAAUACAUGACCCUGCACCCAUUUAUAGAUGCUGAUGUAAUUACAUCUGAGGAACCACAGCAUUUGUUGCAUCAAGAUUCCUGUCGUGUAACCUGCGCAGCCCUCCUUCAUUCUUUAGGCCGCUUACUUAUUAGAUGGCCUUAUUAGAUGGCCCUGCGCUUACUUAUUAGAUGGCCCUGCAAAUGUAAUGGAUCUUUUGACUUGCCUCCAAUUCAUCAACAAAACAACUGAAACCACACCUCUGGAAUAAUUGACCUAGGGAGGUGGAAAGCCGAAGCCCAAUGGGUCUGUAUAGAGAACACACUUGACCAUACCAGCUCAAGCCUCCCGUCGAAAGACAUAGCAAGUACUAUAUUCCUUCCCCAACUAAGAAGUAUUGAUCUUACUUUAGCAACCGCAUCAAAUUUAUGAAAGUGUUUGUGAAGGUGAGUCCGAGGUGGUAGGCUGCCUUCUUCGAUACCAAGUCUCUGACGGAUGGAGGCUUUACAAGUGCGCAGCCCGGUGAAAGUCAAGCUUACUCUUUUUUGUAUUGGCUGAUAGAGAGGCCAGAUAGAGCUUCGAACUGCUUCCAAACGGAUCCACACCACAGGACUGAAGAUAACCAACCCUUUAUAUAUAGAAUACCAGGAGUUCGUCAUCUAAAAUGCAAUUGGAAAUAUGGAUACUGAGACCAUAUUGAAUACUGCGGAAUACCACCCUGAUCAUCUUGAUUUUAAGAACCAUAAAUGCCAUAAUAUAAUAAUAGCGAUAUAUAGGGAAUAGCGAUAUAUAGGGCCAGGGGCUGGUGGGAUGGAUCAGAUCUCCCUGUCGCAGCCUUCUUUUAGAUUGGAAGAAUCCGACGGGAAACACCCGUUGACAAGGAUGGAAACCAUGGGGUCACCGAUGCAGGCCUUAAUCCACAAGAUCCUGGUUUCCAAAAGACACAUUUCUUGGUGUGAAAGAGAAAUUGCCGGUUCGAGACGCUGUCGUAGGCUUGGAAAAAUAGAGACUCGCCAGACAGAGGAAAGAUUAGAGUUCCCCGCUACGCUAAAAUCAUGUUGGCAGUGGUCCUGAAUGAUAAUGAUAAUGAGAAAACACUGAUUGGCUUCCGGAGAUAAUAGAAGGGAUUACACACCAGCAAGCGCAUAGUUAGGAUUGAGGAUAGAGAAAUUUCUAUUGUUAGUCAAGUUCAAAAGAGAAAGCCGUAGAAAAUGUGCCAAUGUUACUCAAGGAAGCCAGCCAUAUAACAGUAUUAGAUUCCUUUAAAGCAGUCUUGCUUGGGGAUUGAUUGAUUGGGAGUCAGAAUAGUAUGAUUAGCCUCCCACUUAAUAAGUCUUACUGAUCGAAAUACGUUUCUCCUGGCGGGACCACACACUGAAUCACAUCCUAAGACGUCUGGAAGAAGGCAGCGGGGAAUCUAUCUGGCCCGGGGGAUCCUCUUAAUUGGCCUAAGCUUCUUUAACUCGUAGCCUCAUCUGAAUUUCUCGAACUAGUGAGUCAAGAGCUAGCCGGAAGUCAGUCUUUUAUUGAAGUGAAGAAAAAAGAAAGGAAAGAAGGAAGAAUGGGUCUACUCGGAGAAGAAAGACAGAUAUACCGCACUACAAUUCAAGCGUAGACGUGUUAUACGCAGACAACAUACUUCUUUAAGCCUAAAUCAAAACGGAAAGAGAUUUCUCGUGGUCCCUCCCAACAAUACGUUUGCUCUGAGGUUGCGAAGCUCACUCUUGAUUUUAGGAAUGGACUUCUGAGGGACGGGCUUCAAUGGACCUUACUCGGAGAAACCUGUCCCCAGCUCUUCGGCCAGCACACCUACACACCCACCACCCUUAUGCCUAUGCAUGUCAUCUUUCUCUCGCUAGCGGGUCUUAAUCAAAUUAGUAUUACUCCCAUAAUGAAGUAGGAAUCUUAGUAUACUAUCAAUGGGAGGAAUCUUUCGGGGUGUGCCUCUGACGAUUGUUACGAAAGGAAGCCGAGCCGAGAGGAACCUGGCGAUUAUUUGAAAGAGUCCAAUCCGCUUCAAAAGCCCAUAGUGUUGUUGAAAUAGCUGUAUCAGUAGUUGUAGUUGUCUCAAUAGACCCCUUUGGAGCAAGCAAUAUGAACCUAAUCUCAUUAUAGGAUGAGAGGUCAAGGUCAAGGGCGGAUGAGAGGUCAAGGUCAAGGGCGGAGAGCUUCUCUAGGGUUGAUACCUUAUUGGGGUAGGCGCUUUCUAUGAAAUGUAGUUUUCCUUCUUUCUCUCUUAUGUUGGGCUUUCUAUGAGAUAUUCUCUAGGGUUUGACUCAUACCUUAUUGUUGGGCUUUCUAUAUAGUUUCUCUAGGUUUUUGUUCUCUCUUAUGUUGGGCUUUCUAUAGAGCUUAUCUAGGCGAGCCUCCAUCUGUUAUGCUUGUGAUCUAGUAUGAAGGUGAGCUUCUCCAGUUCCAAGCCAUACUAUAGGUAAAGAGAAGGGCUCAGGAAAGCAAGCAUACUAUAUAUGAUAUGGGAUAUGGGUAAGGAGAAGGGCUAAGUAAAGCAAGUAAUAAGAAAAGCUUGAUUCUAUUAUGCCCUUAAGCGCAAGCCAGUAAGAGGGCAAAGCAAAUACCCGUAUCAAAUGAGUUUCAGUGUGGGACCGUAGCAUUGGAAAGCGAAACCUCUGGAGUGAGUUUCCGUCUCUGCCAGUAUUUCAUUUGACUAUAAAGAAAGAGUAGUUGCACAGCCAAUUGGAGUCCGUCCUAAGUUCCGUAUUUCUCUAGUGCUUAUGUCUUUGAGUCAGUUGAAGGGCUAAGUGCUCUUUUUAGGAAGUGCUGAUCGCAUUCUUUUUGAGUGCCUGUUUGGAUCUCCUGUGUAAACCCUAAGUCCUGCUGCCCUUGAGUCUGCCUUUCCAAAUAUAGCAUAAAGGGGUGAUUCUUUCUAGUUUUGACUUCCGCUCCAUCCCGACCCCGACUAGUUCCAAUUGUUGCAGUGAUCACUUUCGCCAUUUGGAUGGAUUCCGUUCCUUUUGUUGGUGAUCCAUACGAAUCAAUAUGUAGGGGACGAAUCAAUAUGUAUGGGCGGAGGAUUUCCAUACUUGAAUAUAGAGUUCCCAGCCAGUGAUUUGCAUUUCUAUUAAGGUACAUAAUCGAAAGUGUGAGUUCCCGUUCCAGUUUGUCGUGCCAUGCAAGCUUCCUUAUCGUUGGCUUUACUUGGCGUUGGAUUUCUAGAGUCCGCCCCCUGGGGAUAUUUCUUUUUCUUCUCUCUAAUCGGGAGAAAUCGGGGGUCCCAAGCCACACAGAAGUCUUGCCAGAAUUGUAGUAACUCGUAUUAACUCCUAUUGUUUAGUAGCUUCUGGAAAAGGAAAUAAGGAAUUUACAGUUGAUCGAGCGCAGAAGAUGGCUUUAAGAGCAUCGGCAUACUAAUGAAGGUUAGCACAAGUAAAUAAGUCUAACGCACUACCAUCUGUUACUUUAAAGAAAGAAUCGAUCCCGCCGAUUCCUUGUAAAACUCAUGCUUUCAAUGCCCAUGUCCAAUUGUUAGUCUUACAAUACUGGCUUUUACCCUAGCACUCGUGCCUUCAACCACUAGCUCUCAAGCUAACACUGCCUCUUUUCAAUCUUGAGUUCGAGAUCUGGGCUUACCCUACUUUUUCGAAUUCUUCAAGUAAAUACUUUCCGGCUAUAACCACUUAUCCGGGUCCCCUAUUUCACCUGUUUGUUAGUAUACCUUUCCUAGUUAUCAAACUGACACCACUGCUUCUAAUACUGUCGCUACUGCCUAUGUGCCUAUGAGCAUGUAAUUACUUGUGUUCAACCUAAACGACUUCCCCUCCGAGACUGGCUUCCCUAACGACUAUUCUGACUACUUGGAGACUGGCUUCCCUAACGACUAUUCUGACUACCAUGUCGAUAAGUCUGUCCUAGUUUACUUCCAUUCCCCCCUCGAGUCUUAUUUGAUAGUUUGAGUAUCCGACACUGCCUUGUCUCGGUCUGCUACUACUCAAUCUCAUUCUUACUGUCCUUGUCUUCAAUCUAUAACUUAUGUCUUCAAUACUUUAUCCUCUAAGUCAGGAAUAGAACCUGGGCACACGAAAUUAGCACCCUUUCUGGCUUCUUUGUUUGAGCCUGGGCACACGAAACUAGCACCCUUUCUGGCUUCUUUGUUUGAGCCUGUCCCCACGGGGAAACCUAGAAGGAAUGGAAAUAAUUGACCUAACACACCCUAGUAUGGCAUACAAUAAACCACACGCAAGACGCAACCACAUCUAGAGCGGCACUCGGUCAGUCUUUUAACGGUAGUCAUUCACUCCCACUCAGUAAUUCUUUUCUCAUAUAAUAUUCAAGUCAUUCUUUUAUCGACCAUCAUAUAAUAUUCAAGUCAUUCUUUUAUCGACCAUGUAACCCACUCAUUCUUGGGGCUGACCUUGAUUGAUUGAAACCAAACCCGCGUACGUAGGGCACACAACAACUAUAGAUUGAAACCAUAGUAUGGCAUGGCACCAAUAAAGAUUGAACUCGACAAUCAACGUGCGGACAACCUCUUACCACCUAUCCUAAUGGUCCCCGUCCCCGGGCACUCGGUCUGUGAGCUACCAUUAAUUCCGUAAGUCUUCGGUCGGCAUCGCACCUAAGUCGACUAAAAAAGAACUUCCUAAGAAUUCUGAAUGGGGAUAUUAAUAAUGAAUAAGGCAUUGAACAGUAGUCAAAGAAAGGAAAGAAAUACUCGUAUAAGGGAAAGGCUGCCUUUGUCAGUAGUAGAUGCAUUCUUUAUGUCAUUGAUUUCUUUCUUUAUUCAAAGAGAAAGUAUUAGAAGCCAGAAGUUGAUUCUUUUUGGUAGCCAUAUCUGUUUAGGGGAGAGUCCUGACAGGCUUAGAAGCACUAGUAAGAGAAUGAGAUGAAGCAGUAGGAGUCCAAAGUGAAGAAAUCAGAAUGAAUGAAAAUCAGUAACUACAAUCAAGAUCAGCAGUACGAGAAUCCAAGAAGGGAGUGUUAGGUUUAAACCAAGGAGAUAGGUAAUGUAGCUAACAAGCGUAGGGCUGAGAGAGCGGGUAGCAAGACUUUCACUCGACACCCCUUAUUCUUAGUACGGAGCUCCUUGCUUUUAGGCCUAGACAACGAACCAGAAGACGCAGGUUACCUUGGUAUAGUCAGAAUAAUAGUUCUAAAUACAAACAAGAAGAAGUACGGACCAGCGGAACCAAACUCGGUAGCAUCGAAGGGUAUGAUCCAGCCCAGCGCAUCCCCAGUAUAGAGAGGGAAUCCAGCUCAUAAGUAAUCGAACGAAACUCGAACCCGGCUCUGCCUUAUCUCAACCUUACCUUCCCGACCAUUGGUCUUACUCUACAGCAUCUCUGGCUUUACCUUACUCCGUUUGAGUCUCGCUUACCCAAACAAACUCUCCUUUGAUUUGAUUUGAGACACUACCCCCUAAAGAUGGAACCCGUGUAGGCUAUACCAAUCAGUAAUAGGCUAAUAGGGGCAUAAGGAUGAGAAACACUACUCCGAUGGAUUGCACCCAAGAACCCAGGCUUCAUCAUUGGGGUAUGUUAUAGGGCUUCAACCCGAGCAUAAGGAUUAGACUAGCCAAAAGCUAUGGUGUCAGAGGCGCAAGUCACUACAAAUGUUAUUAUUUGGAUUAUUAUUAUUAUCUCAAUAUAAGUGAUGUUUUGUUUACAAGUUAUGUUUCUGCAAACUCAAAUGGCAAUAAGAAACAAAGCAUAUAGGCUAUUCAUACCAGGACCCCUAUUCUAUUGGCUCUACCUUACCUUUCAUUGCAACACAUGAGCACAAGCACCCUUCCUAGACCUUAACCCCUCAUUGCGUACACACAAGGCUAUUCCCUUACUUACUUUUAGCCUAUUUCUUCUUCAAUUCCCUUAGCAUAGGCUCGCAUUGUAACAUGUAUUGUCACAUUUCUCAUAUAAUAAUCACAGGCAAGCUGCAUGGACUCAAUUGUUUUCCUACUUAUGUGCUUACGAGAGUUUGGGCAAGUUCAAUUACUUGAGUUUCAAUUGCAGAAUUCUUAGUUUACUUGGCGCUCUCUAAAACAGUAGCUAAAGUUGGGGUAGUGCGUCAAUAGUUUCUAGUUCCAGUGAAGGAUCAGAAUACGGUAAAGUUGAGUCUACCAGAUGGAAUCGGGAGGCAGGAUUUGGAUCUCAACGCUGAUGCGUUUCUUGUUUCAGUUGCAAGUGGUGGUACAAGUGUUGUUCGAGCAUUGGUGGCGAGGUAAGUUAUGGGCUUGACCCUUUUUGCUUGUGUAUAAGUCUUCAAGUGGGGUUUAGGGGCGCUUAUGCUUAUGGGAGUUGCGGGGUACUAAAGGAAAGGAAGGCGGAGCUACCCAUAACGAGAAGUUUGGAAUGGGAGGAUGGCGGUGCGUGCAAGAGCAAGCGCUGUGAGAUUAGAGUCAGUAGCGGAGUUAUAGGCAUUAGGCGAUUGGGUCAAUUCUAUGACAGUACUGGUGUUGGCGAAAGUCACGUUCGAGCUUUGUAUCAGGUACUCUGCCUUUGAAGCGAGGUGAAGUGGAUAAUUGCCUAAUGACAUUAUUUGAAUGUUUGAGUAGAAUCAGUCUUUGUACCGAGAUCAUCUGCUAUAUUAAGAGAAGAAGCUAGUAAAGAAUGAGUUGAAAAAGAUAUGAAGCUGUGUUAUUACCGGAAGUUUGAGAUUUUGGGUGCAAGAGCUCCUCAAUGGAAAUGGAAAUAGUACUUUGGAGUUUAAGGUUAGGGAAGAAUAAAGUGCAGAAGCAAGUGAGCGAGAAAGAAAGAAAGAAAACAUCAUUAUAUAGAAGGUCUGGUGCCACCCGCUGCUAAGUACUUUAUACGAGUUCCUGUUCUUUUUGACUCUUAGCCCUAAGUCUAGAUGAAAUAGGUUUUAUACAACUUUUCAUCUGGCGUGAAGGGGCCUCAAUAAGGACUUUCCACUCGGAUGCUAAAGAUGGGAAAGCGAGAAUGAAAGCAAGGAUUAGAUAAAGGCCUAGAAGCAGGAAAGUCAAACUCUAAAGUCAGGAUCAAAGCCAGGAUGGGUAGACUUUAACAGGAGGAGGGGCAGCCUUACCAGGUAGUAGUGGAUUCUCAUAUUCCCCAGUACAAUUCCUUCUUUGAUGAGUUCGAGCCUUGCUACCGGCAGUUUGCUUCCUUACUAUAAGUUCAAGUUCUUUCUGUAGUGGUUCCAUUCUCUUGCUUUUGGAUUGGGAUCCUAUUACCGUUUUGUGCUGAUUAUUAUGACUACUAUUCUAUAUGCCUAUAACAAAGGAGUCAAAGAAGCAGAUAAAGCAAUAUUACUACUAUUCUAUAUGCCUAUAACAAAGGUACUACUAUUCUAUAUGCCUAUAACAAAGGAGUCAACCAAUACAUCGGCACAAACACACCUAACCUAGAGCUACCAUGAAACCACUAAUUAUUUCAAGUAAAACCAACUAUUCUGUGCUAUCGGGUCGAGGGGUCGGUCAACAAGAAAUGUUUGUUAGGGAACUUAGCCUCCCAGUAACGUAGCUCAGUCUGAAAGUAACAGAAAUCAAUAUCAGAUAUUAACAUAAGUCAGUCUGUGUCUAGUUGGCAUGGUCGGCGAACUAAUUCUUUUGUCUAGUCGAGGGGUGGACAUGGACCUUCUAAGCAUGGUCGAGGUACGUACCUUCGCUGAAUGAGAGAGAGCUACGUCGCCCGCUGUUUCAACCAAUGCAUGAAUGACUGCCCGAUCAAAGAAUAAGUGAUGUUGCCGAGCUUUCUUGUUGUUGCUCACGCCUUCUAAGCAUGGUCGCGAGGUACCUUCAGUGAAUGAAUUGCCCUACUAUUUACUAUGAAUGAGUGGGUGUAUCGGCGCUAUAAGACAGAGUGCAUUUUCGAUCCUGUUCGUUCAUAUGGUCUUUGACCGCUUCAAAGCCUUAAGAUACGCUUUUCCUUCAAGGAGAUGUGCCCCAUGCUAGUAAUUGAACCUUUUCUUUGGUUUCCACUUUAUCCUCUAGGGCAAGCUUACUACAUGAAUAGUUUGGUAACAGAUUAUGGGAUCCGAUCGAAAACACAAUUGUCAGAAAAGCCGAAAUGUAGUCUUUCUUGAAGACCGAUGUCACUUGUUUACUUGGGUCCAGUGCUCCCUACCACGGUGAAUGAUCGCUCACUAUUCGAUCUCGCUGGUUUGUUAUUGCCCGAGCAUUGUUAAUCACUGAAACCUUGUGGUGGAUGGCUAGAGUGGUGCAAUGGUUGUUAGGAUACAACUUCUCUAAAACAUAUUCUACAGGAUUCUCAUAAGUCACUUUCACCGGUCUUACAUUGCCCAAGAAGUAUUUGAUCGCUUCAGGUAAAUGGGUGUGCUGAGACCAGUAAAACAAGAACCAUCUUCUGCUGUCAUUGAAGAGAUUGUCGAUCAGUAAACAUGGUGACGAUCGCCGGACCAACCUCGGUGAUCUACAAGGGGGCCGGAUCUAGAAUCCCAGUAAGUAAGCGUGCCGUUGUAAUCGGCCAAUAGGCUACUUAAAUACUUCGCGGAUGCUCUAUGACAAAGCGAAGACAAGCGGAACUAUAAUACAUACCACGCACAAUCAUAAGAAGCUUGCUUGCUCCAAAUCACCUAACAAUGCUCUAUACUUAAGAAAGGAAUAUGCACCAACUACUUAUGUAAGAGAUUAACAUAACACUGUUGACUCUAUUAAAGCAAAGAAUAUACAUCGACUACUUAUGUAAGAGAUUAAGCGCUAACACUGACUUCCGGAGUGCCUCAAUCUAUUCUAUUUGCAGGAGCAGGAAGAAUAGGUGUUUUGUGAUGAAGUUAACUGACCUAGCAGGAAGAAUAGGUGUUUUGUGAUGAAGUUAACUGACCUAUAUAUAAGGUUUAAGGUGCAGUCAAUUCCAUGAAACAAGCAACAGCACAAGAGUAAGGCGGUACAAGAAAGGUAGUAAUUGUAAUAACUUCGUAAUGAAACUAGAAGAUCAGAAGCCGUUUAGUCGCCAGCUGCAAGCGAUUCUAGAGUUCCAGAAGGAGUUCGGGUCGUGGAAUAAUAUCUUACAGGGGAAGAAGUAAUAACGAGUUAUAAAGAGCUUAGAUGGGCACCCCGAGACUCACCUUAAGAACGAAUAGGCGCUGCGCACCCCUAACCUAAGGGGGACUAGGUCAUAACUCUACGGAGGACGAAAACAGGAACUCAACUACCGCUAGAAGCAAUGGAAUCAGAAAGCUAAAGCGAAAGAAAAAGUACUUUAUGAUUACCUAACCUCGACAUUAAGUUUGGAACCGCUACUCUGGUGGGCAUUAAUUCGCUAACUUCACUCCUGCCGCCAUGACGAAAAAGGACUUGGCGAGUGGAAUCGGGUGCUUGGCUUUACCUUUACCUUAGUUGUCGUAGAGUUCCUGUAGCUCUUUCCCUUGUCUUGUGCGCUGGGCAGUCAAGGUCAGUCCGUUUCUUUCGCCCUAGCAUUAGUGAGUUCUGAGUUGUGCUAACACUUAUUGGAGUUUCGAGUGUUUUGUUCCUCUAUUCUAUUCUCAUAGAGUAACAUGCCAUUCUUCAGACAGUAGCUGACAAGCGCCCAGCCAAAUUGAGUAGACUAAACUUGCACCCGAACUCUAGUCAAAGGUCAAGCCAAUACUCAUUUCCUGGCACUGCUGAUUCUAUUGAAACUGCUUCAGGAAAAUACUCCAUUCCUGGCACUGCUGAUUCUAUUGAAACUGCAAGAGGAAUUGGAUUUGCUUCCUCUUCUUCUAGAGUAGACAACACUGGAACUAGAAAACCAGUCAGAAGGUAAGGACUUAGCGUAGCGCGUGACAGACAAUCAGGCAAAGAAACUACACUUUAUGAUUCUGAACCGACCUAAACAAGAACUGAAAGAGACUCGUCAACAACACCAGGAUAUAACACUGCUUCCCCUCUCGAUGUUGCGGAUUCUCUUUCUGACCUUGCCCACCUCUUUUCCUUGGUUAAAGAUUAGACCUUGACUGCCCCCAGUACCUGGUUCUUUCUAUUCUGAGUAUAGUACCUGUUUGUUCUAACUGAGUCUGACUUUCAAAUGUUCUAUCGUUAGGGGAGCCUCUUGUUUCGGCAUCUAUCGGAUCUUGAAACUACUUCUUAUCCUGCGCCACCAGCACCUUACUUUAUCACUGGACCUCGAACUCAAGGAGACUUCGGGACAGAAGCGCUUUAUGGUUCCCUUGUGCUAACGUUUUAUGAGUUCCUGUUUUCAUCAGCUAGCGUAGGUGUUCAAAGAGCUUGACUUUAAGGCUUUGGGUAUACGGGAUUUCAAGUUCACUCGACUCUGACUAAUGAGGGUAGGGGUGGACGAAGUGAAGUUUAGUUUACGAAGGCUUGAAGCACCUUUCUUUCUCUGCUUAACGAAGGGACUGACCCUAAUGAGACUUUCUCCUUACGAGCGAAGGCUACUUAAAUGGAUUCAUAACCCAGAGCAGAACUUUGAAUGCUAGUACAAUGGUUAUCCCAGCAAUGACUAUAGUACGAAGCAGCCCUGUAAGCGGAUCCUCGAGUUCAUUUCAAUUGCAAGGAAGAAAACGAAGUCCUGGACUACUCGUAUACUUGUUGGGGCAUUGAACAGUACUGUAGUUGCUUGGCUCUUUGUUGAGUUGAGAGCCUACUCCUGUUCUGGUGAUUGUUGAAGACCGAGUUGCCAAAGAAGAUAGCUUGGGAGUUUACAGAGUUAGAUGAUAAGAGACAGAGGAGAGGCGGGUUCUGGUGUUGUGUUGGCGAUGAGUAAAAGAACUCGUAUACAUGUUAGCCCUAAGCAUCCCGAGUGGAAUCCUAUUAUAAUGCAAUUGAAAGCAGCUUUGGAAUACCGGCCAAUACACUACUAAUGUGUAGCGGCAGUCCCUUUAAUGCUUUCCUAUAUUUACCACCGACAAGCCUACCAGUUUGAGUAUUCUGCUUGCUUCUUGCAUUCCUAUUUAAAAGAACUACUUCUAAGUCGUUCUCCCGGACCAUAGGCUUCUACCAAUCUGUUAGAUUCUGCCCUACCUUAGCGAGAGUCCCUAACGAGUCAUACUUUGAUUGGAGUUUAUGGGACUAAUAGGAGUAAAGGGUUGGGUACACGAUCUAUCGCAUCUCGUACUAGACGAAUAGUUUGAUUGGUCAGAAUGAAGAAGCCAAACACUAGAUAAGGAACACGGGAAUGCCAUUGGAGAUGUAGAGCUUGGGAGAGCGGAGACACCCGGAAAGUACUCGAAAACUGAUGGGUAUCAGCACUAAAACAAUAGUAAGGGAGGAGUGGGUACCGAGAAGUGCGUGGAGAGAAGUUCACUCUAAAGUCAGGAUACCAGGCAAAGCAGACUAAUAAGAAUAUAGUGCGCCCUGCGUAAUAAGAAUUGAGGUUUAAGUGCUUAAGUCAUAUAAUUCCACUAUCAAGUCAGGACUACAGGAAUUAGUCCAUUAGUUAAAGCAUGUAAGUAAGAAAAGGUAGGCUCAUAUCGAGGGUGGGAAUGCAGAGUUCCCAACACAGUUUAAAGAAUCCAAAAUGGUAGAACGCCCACCCGGUUGAGGUUGAAAGUAGGGGCAGUAAGUCUGCUCACCAGUAGCCCUAUUAUAAGAAGUUCCAGUUCGAUUCCCUUUCUUGUGUGUAUUACUUGUUUUGAGUUGAGCUCUUCUCGGUAUGAGCUCAAUUCUUGGCAUCAGGAGCCGAAUUCCCAUUAUUCCGAGGUUGCAUUCCGACUUUCCUUAUUGUUUCGGUGUAUUAUAUGGAGUUAAGCCUGCUAACGAUUCAAAAGAUGUAAGUUCCAAAUUCUUAGCUCGACUACCGCGCAACAUUAGUAGUUGCUUGGUCACUUCUUUUUCAUUUAAUGGGAAAUCCAAGUAGUCAGUAUCAGAUUUGCACUAGUAAUAAUCAGAAUGGAAUUAAGGCGGAGCAAUAUGGGCAAGCCAACAAGCCGGGUAGGAUUUCAUUCACAGAAGUCAGAGUAGAAAUAAGAAGCAGAAGAUCCAAGUAGAAAACUCAGAAUCCAAUUCCCUAUAAGGAAUGACAGAAUGGGUUCUAAGCCGAACCCGGAUAGUGAUUGAACUACUCCCAUAAGAAUGCAAUUACCACUAUGAGAAUGACACUCAAAAACAGCAACUUCUUUUCUCCUUUUGUAUCAAACUAACUAUCCUGUCUUGGAGGCUUACCCAACCUAUUACUUUCUGGGGAUUCUACCCCACACGCCUACGUUGUAGUCUAUCUUUUAUUGGGUUUCUCUUUUAGUUGCCCCUUAUCAACUCCUUACUUUGACUCUGGAACUCCCGAUAUCCAAUCUGUAUUUGCCCCUUAUGGUCCUUACUUCAAUGUCUAUGCUCUAGGUUUUGUUAUUAGAGGGGUGUGUGUUUCGCUCCUGCCUUCAAUGCCUUUGACUCUCACUUUCCUUUCUUUAAGGUUGAGAUACUGGGCUAGAAGACUCAGAUGUGUUAGCGUAGAUGCUAAUACUAUAGGCAGUCCAAAAGACUAAUAGAGGAAUAAGGAGUUAUGAGCAAUUCCUUAGAGCACACUAAUGCACUUGUAUGAGAAGCACCAAUUCCAUUCGGAUAGUUAUGAGUUCGAUUCCGUUUUCAAGAAAGAGUAGCCUAGUAAAUUAGGUAGGGGCGUACAUCUGAUAUGAGGCACCUAUUACCAAUACCAAUGCUGUACUAGUUUGUUAAUAAUGAAAUAGACAAAUAAGAGAGUCAAGGAGUGAAAGAGUGCAGUUAGCGAGUAGGGCUUGGUUUCCGUUAAGUUCAUAGGUAUACUUCAUCUAAGAAAAGAAGCUAGGGUGCAAGUAACCAGUUGAGGAGUGAAAGUAGAAGCUACGAUACAGUGCUUAGAGACAAGAAAGGAAGGUUCAUACGCAUCAUAAAGAAUCUCAAAUAUAUAGCAACUAAAGAGUGAGUUCUUAGCAAAGAUCUUAACGGUAUUGUUUCUAGUCUUAUUAUAGUGGUAUCAGCUUGCUUGGCCCUUACUGCUUUCUUUAACUAAUAUGCCUAUGAGGGGCCUGUCCUUGCUGUCUUUGAUUUCUUGGUAUUAGUAGUUGGAUGCGCCUACAUCGUACCUAUGAGUUACAUGCCCAGUUACAAAAGUGAAAGUCUCUACUUACUUGGGUACAGUGAAAGCCUUAGAGGGGGUGAAGUCCUGUUAAGCCCUAGCUCAAUUCUAACUAGCAGAGGCAUCAGGUUGAGAUGCCAUGGUAUCAGUUUGAGAGCUGGCGGAUAAGGGUUGGUGGUCAGGGUAGUCAGAACCGGAGUGAGGCAGGUCAGCUUCAGGGUCAGCAGCCAAAUACUAGUUGUAGGCCAAAGUCCUGUUAUCAGUGGUGUAAUCCCCCGUCAUUAGUAGCAGAACGAGAAACAGGAAAGUAGUACUUAGGGAAAUAGGCAGUGAGCCUGGGAGACCAGAUUAGUAGAAUCAGAGUAGGUAGUGGCUUUGUCGUUACUCGUCUCUUCUACUAGCUCUAUUGGUAUGUAGUGUGGACUAGCAUCCUUACUUCUGUAUUUGUGUCCGCCAGGCCAAGAAAGAAGGCUGUUCCGUAGGGAGUUUCAUUCUGAAUUCCGAGUGUCAUUGCUAUACUACUUAGUGCAAUGCUUAUUAGGCGCAGUUCCAUUCUUAUAGUACAGAAUUCCGUAUUUGUGUAUGCAGAAGCACAGCACAGGGAAGGGGCAUCGAAUGAAGGACGGUAGCUGAAUUCCUCUCCAGUGUGUUGAUUCUUUUGAGUAGCGAUAUCAGUCUCAUCGGCGCUAGUAAUAUUCUUAUGAGCAACAGUAUCAGCUGGGGUGGGGGUAAAGAUCCGUAUGUGUAGUUCUAGUUUGAUAUCUAAGAAAGAAAUACUUUUUGUUUGGUGGGGCUAUUGGAGAAUGCGAACCCUGAGUUUGGAGAAGGCAGUGCCAAGCUAAGAUAAAGAAGUAGGAGAUUCAAAGUGGAGUUCAGGAGCCAUAGUUAGGUCUUAUCGAGUAGCUCAAUGUAAUCGACCCUUGUUAGUAGCAGUGAAAUCUGAGAAUUGGUUGUCAAUUCCUCCUUUUGAGUGGCUUGGCUCUGUCCACUUGUCUAGUACUGAAGUGACUUGCCUGCUUGGUUAGUAGUUACUCGGUGACUGAUCGGCAGGUUAAUAAGAAUCUUCUUUCUUUGUUGGGGGGUGGAUGUAGAAUCAAAUCAAGGAGAGUGAGUUUGCUGGUAAGGGAAGUAAGACCAAAAGCCAGUAGCGGUAGAACGAGAAACUGGAGUUUGAGUUUGAUAGCUAGUGAAGGUAGGCUUAGAGCCCGGUGGAAUAAAGAUGAGUAUCCAGUAGUUGUUGAUUUAAUGUCAGUCGCAUUUGCUUGUUAGGAAUAAGAUUUGAGGUCAGUAAAGCAAGUCUGAGGUCGAGUAAUAGCACAGUUUUCAAGUAAGUAGUGGCAGGCUUAGAUAAAGUAAGUCAAGGUUUAGAUCAGUAGCCAAAGCCUUAAAAGCUGUGUUGGGAUUCCCCAGUUAUGAGUAAAAGUAUUGUUGGCACCAGUGCAAUUCCUUAUUAUAUUAGUCAAAGGAUGAGACGCACCUCGGAGAGUAUAGUCUAGGUUUAGCUACUGUUCGAGUGUGAGACGCACUGUGGUUCAAUUCUUCCUACGAGUGAUUUGAGUUUAAGGAACAGUCAAGUCAGAUUGGGAUCCAAGAGCAGCAGACGGAAAGGCAUACCUUUAUUAUUCGACUACAUAAGUUGGUUUUCUCAUAGCACUGCUCGAUUCUUGUUAUCACCAUAGGUUGAUUCUCAUCUUUGUACGUGCUAGAUCAUAGGAGAAAUAUAAGUAUAAAUAAUACCAGUAAAAGAAUCCAAGCCGGGUCUAAAGUUUCAUUGGAAGCAGGGAGUGGAGAAUUGGACCUGUUUCCCUGGCGAGUUAGAGUGGAAAUCCUUAUAUAGAGUUCUCUAUACACGUAGCGGUUAAGGCAACGAAGACAUCUAUUGUAAUAACUUCUACAUAACUGGGAACUAUAGCGGCCCCAAAAUAGGAUGACAUUUCGGAAAGGGACUGCUUGAAUCUGUAUUAGUUGACUCCCCGGUAGAUGAGACGGGAGUUAUAGUAGCAUACCGAUCCUGUUCCUGUGAGAGUUAUAGUCUGCAUCCCGGUAGUACUAUGGCGUAAAGGUCUAGGUCAUCUGCUUGUGUUAAGCAAGUAGUCAAUCUAUCUCCUUUGUAGGCUUGUCCACUACUAAAUCACUACUAUUCUAUAUAUAGGAAACAAGAAUUGGCUGCUCCUGUUAUAACCAAGUCCUUUGUUCGGCUCAUCCAUUUCGGGUCCGUUAGCUUUGAAAAUGUCUUUGCUAUGUUUUUUCUCGGGAAAACGUAAAAGUAUCAUCGCCUAUGUCUUCCAAGCCUAGGAAGUAUAUAACUCUCUUCUGAAAGGCCGGAGCACUCGCAUUCAAAGAAAUAGUAGAAGCUGGAUAUAGCUCUUUUUCCUCUGAUACGGAUCUCUUGGCCCCUAUUCAUUUACUUACUCUACUUAUACUUACUAUACUAAUACAUAACUCUUUAACUCCUUUACUAGCUACAUAGUAUAAGAACAUUCGUACUGUAUCAAUUCUUAUCUCCUAAGUACUGAGUUUAGCCUAGUUGAUUAGUUUCUGUUUCCCCUGCAGAGUCUCGGUCAAGUCCUGUGCUCGUCGGGUUGAAGACCUUGAGUACAGCUCCUGGUGGUACUGCUCUUGUUCACGUUAAAGAGAGGAAGUCAGGUGCUCCAUAGGUUCAAUUCAAUGACUCUGGUAUUGAAGUUCAGAAUGCAAUUCGUUGACAUAGUAGUUUGCCGGAGGAGAGAUUGAGUUGCCAGCAGCCCCAGUUCCAGCUUGUUGAAUUCUGUAUUUUAUCCUUAUUUAAGAUUAUUUAUUUAUGACUUGGGAUUGGAUUCUGGCACGACCGGCCUCCCCACAAAUACGGAAUUUACAUCUCAUCUAGUAAAGCAAGCAUGUGGUAUAGACCCGUAAAGACACUACACAGCAGCAGACUUGAUCACUACACUUUCCGGUCUUGUAGCUUCCUUUCGCACUGCUUCUUUUUGAGUCAAUUACUUAACUGCUUCUUUCACUAUCAUUGGAUGGGAACUCCUCGUAUUCAUGGUCAAAAGGCGGAAUAAGGCUUAUUUCUCGUCUGUAAGGCAAGGUGUUCAAGCCGGAUUUAUAGUACUCGUGUUCAAGGGCUGGCUUCUCUUCUUUAACUCCACUUUCAACUGCUCUGCUCCAUCUUCUUAACCUUCUUAAGAUCUCUCUUCCUUUGCUUUUUCUUUUGUCGAACAAUACUCUCUCUUUUCUUGUCUACCGUACUCAACCUGCGAGCUACAUCGGUGACGACACUGCUUCUCAAUAUUAAUAGGAUUUAAACAAGAACAUAACUCGUAUGAGGGACAGAUGAAGUUGCCAGAUCGGAGGGAUAUGAUUUGCUUGUUUCGUCAGCUGCAAGUGAAGUUGAAGUGGGAAAUGAAUCAGAAAGUGGAGUCUCGGAGAGAGGUUUCCAAGUUGUCGGUGCUUGUGGAGUUACGCACUUUACUCGGCGCGUAAGGCGCCAAGCAACUACUAACGACCAAGCUUAGGCGCAAGACUAAGUGCGGUAGCCAAGGUAAUAGAUAUGACAAGUUAUUACAAUAGAUGCUUUUGGGGCCGCUCCACUCUUUUGGAGAAAAUGACUUAUUUAUUGCGCUAACAGGAGGGGCAAGUGAGGAUGAAGGCGAAACACUAAGUGCUAACAGGUAAGUUCAAUCUUUUACUGCUUCUCUUCUAGACUAACUUAUACGCUCAAUAUCAAUAGUAAUAUCUUCCAUUCCUUUUUUCUUUCCUUGGCGCAAGGCUCUUAGCACCUUGUUUGCGUCUUCAAGUAUAGAGUCGAGAUCGGGAUCAGGACCUUAAGUAGGGGAAGAUGAAGCAGCGGUGUCGAAGUAAGCUGUUAUCAAGUCAGGUUUUCUGUUUUCCUAGUUGACUCGGAUAAAGGGAAGGAAAGGGAGCAGCUGAAUUCCAACUUAUCUAUUUGAGAGCACUACACUAGGGGGGGUCGGUCAAUUCUGACUUCAUAGUGUGGAGUGCACGGUUCUCAAUAUAUCUAAUAGGGGAGCGGGUCACUCUAAUGAUUCUCCCACGGAGGGGAUACAGCUUAAUAUCUUUCUGCCACGGAUUAUCUCUCUCUAAGACACCUUACCUUGCCAAUUGCCUGUUUUUAUUGAAUCAUUGGGCACCACUCCAACAUCCCUACUACUUAUAAAUCCCAACCCAGUGCGGGCUCAACACCCGAUGAACUUAUUGCUUCGAAAGCAAAUCAAUCAUCUUAACCUUAUCCAGUAUAUGAUCUCUACUCCUUUCUUGAAACAGUAGAUUCUCUAUCUCCUACUAAAGAUACUUACUCCUUAUACAUCUUCGUAUCUGGCUCUCCAACUUAUCUAUCUCCGUAUCUGGGUCCAGCUCCAAACUAUCCUUACUUAGAGUCCACACCUGAACUAGCAGACCCGCCCGCCUGCUUCCUUAAGAAUACGCAAUACUUCACCCUAUUAAGAAGAAGAAAUAGGUGUUGUGUUUGGGCGAAUCAAGAUAAGUGUACGGAAAACGAUCUUAAGCAGGAACAGGAUAAACAUUAGAUGAAGGAAGGCUAUAUUCAUUUCUGAAUGAAAGUAAAGGAGCAAGCCAGAGGUAUAUUACCAUAAAGCAAAGCUGGAAGGGAAUCCUCCUUAUCUUCUCGCCAACCCAUGUGCUCUAAGGUCACUCACCCACCUAACGAAGGUAACUAUAAGAAGAUAACUAUAGAGAAGCGGGUUCACUAGAGGAAAGUAGAUCACUCGAGUAGCAGGAUUGAUCAGCGCACAAAGCCUUGUUCCAGAGAAAAGUAUGGUGAAGGUUUUGCGUACCUCCUGUAAUAAUUAGUUUCAGAAGUGAGUUACAGGCUCAUAAGCUGUGCUCGUUAAGUCUACAAGAGUGGAGGAAUAGAUAAGGAUGAGUAAUAAUAGUCUAAGAAUCCAAGUUGGGAGUGGAAGGCUAAUAGACAGGAGAGUCCGAAUGAAAGGACCAAGCGCGAAGGAGUGGGAAGUCACCUUGCAAGUAAGAAUGGAACUUGAUUGUUGAAGUUGAAGAAUGAUUUGUUGCCCUGCCAAGCCGGUAAGAUGACAAAAGAAAGGGAAGCAGUCUUGAGUAUAGAUUGAGGUAAGAUUACCUUAUCUACAGGGUCUCGAAAGAAUCAAUGAAUUCUGAAGCAGACAGUUGAGUCCGUAACAUUUAGUAUAGAAAAACUGUAAACAAACGGAAGAAGAAUAGAGGAUAGGGCAUCACUAUGUAAAUAAGUAAGUAAACUGCCUAUUCAGGACUAACCCCUUGGAUGAAAAUAUGGGAACACAUAUCAAUAGGAUGAGAAUGCCUUACCUCCGCCCUAGGUACCUUCUUUAUACAUUACCUAUGGACCUGAAACCCAUACUGGAAUUCCAUUCAUGAGCCCUUAUAUACUAUCUUAUUUAUUAUUUAUUUGACUAUCUUUUCCCUUAUAUACUAUCUGACGGAAUUCGCCCUUAUUGACUAUCUAUUCAUUCACGCUUAUCUACUAUCGGAAUUAACCCUUAUUGACUUUUCUGAUUUCUUAUUGAUUUGACUAUCUUUUCCCUUAUAUACUAUCUUAUUUAUUAUUUAUUUGACUAUCUUUUCCCUUAUAUACUAUCUGAUUUCCUUCUCAAUCCAUAGAAUCAAUGAAUAAUAGAAUUGUCUCUCUCUCCUCUCUCCUGAUAGGAUAUAGGACUGGACAAAGGCAAGGGAAAGAAUAAGAAGACGAGAAGGUUAGUUGCCGGAGUGGGCAAUAGGUCCUAAAGUGGAUUAUGGACAUACCAGUCUAGCUAUUAUCUAGUAAUAAGGACAGAAAUACAAGAAAAUCCGUUAAUGAACUACCCAGAGGUUUGUGUUAAUUAGUUCAGGACAGAGGCGGAGGACAACGUCUACAACCCUUACGUGGACAAUAGGCACCAACAAAUAAGGAAUCUAAUAUUUCCCUGGACACUGACUUACAUAAAUGAGCGUUCCUAAGAAUCUAUUUUUCAUACUAUGUUAUUUGCCUCUCAACUUUAAUGAAAUCCAAGUAGUCAACUAUUCCAUAAUUGAGUAUUAAGGUAAACACACUCCUUUAGUAUUGAUAUUAUUCUUGUAACCAAAGUCUGAGUUACAUAUUCUAUUUCUUUCGUUUUGUGAAAUCUUUCUAUCCUCCAUUCUAUUGAUUGAUAGGAAAUGCAAUGAUCUAUUUAGUGCUCCAAUCUUCAUUCCAAUAAUCUAGCAGUAAGGAGUGAGUUCUUAUAUACUUUCUUUGGUUGGAAAACCCAACGCCAAGUCUCUAGUUGUCUCCUUUCUCUUUUCGGGGGAGCAGAGCAGUCAAAGAAUGGAAAAGGAAAUGAUUCUUCAUUCAUUAUCAUGGCGAUUCCUCACAAUUGCUCCUUGUGAUGCUGCGGAACCCUGGCAAUUAGGAUCUCAAAAUGCAGCAACACCUAUUAUGCAAGGAAUCAUUUACUUACAUCAUGAUAUCUUUUUCUUCCUUAUUCUGAUUUUGGUUUUCGUAUCACGGAUCUUGGUUCGCGCCUUAUGGCAUUUCCACGAGCAAACUAAUCCUGUUCCGCAAAGGAUUGUUCAUGGAACUACUAUUGAGAUUAUUCGGACCAUAUUUCCAAGUAUCAUACCGAUGUUCAUUGCUAUACCAUCGUUUGCUCUAUUAUACUCAAUGGACGAGGUAGUUGUAGAUCCAGCCAUUACUAUUAAAGCUAUUGGACAUCAAUGGUAUUGGAGUGCGCCUCUUAACGAGGGUGAUUUAAGUGCUUAGAAAUGUACCGGUAGUUCGCGAAGCAUCUGGCUUACCAGUAAUCUCCCAUUCCCGGCGUCGAGAGACUAUAAGAACAAUAGCAUGCCAGAAACUGGGGAGUUUCAGUGGUUAGACCUAUACCCGGAAAUGCUCCCAGCAUAGGAGCCUAUGGUGCAAUUCCUUUUGUUGCUGGAGGUACACAUACCUCUUUUCUCGGUGUGGAAGUAAUAUACGAAAAAUAGAUGCUUAGGCAUGCAAUGUCCGAUAACAGCGCUGAAGUAGUUCAUCUAUCGGCACCACAGCACAGUGGCAUACAACUUUCUACCUAACGGCCGGCCCCGUCACCUUUCGGAAUGAGGGAUCCCCGUUGGCAACAACCACAGUAGUAGUAGCAGAACUACUGGGCCAAGACAAGAGAGCAAAACCGGUUCUUCCUUUUCCUCUUUCUUCGCUUCGGGGACGGAGGUCCUACAGUAGGUAACAGCAUGCACAAGCAACCGAAGGGGACCAGCGCUUCUACUACGGAACCGAGGAGCCGUUCGCAGCGAUAAGCAAGGGAUGUCGUGAACGGUUGGAAAAGGUCAAACAUAGAGAAUUCAACAAAGUGAUGUCGUAAACAGUAUAGUAGGGAGGUCAAAUAGAAUUUCCCUAAGCGAUUCGUGAACAGUAGGAGGUCAGUCAAACAUAGAGAAUUCCACUCAGCGAUGUCGUAAACAGUAUAGUAGGGAGGUUCAAUCUCAUUUACCUAUGAAUAGAGUCAUCCUAUUCUCUCUCAAUGGAUAUAAUUUCGAAUAUCUCUUUUGCUUAGUCAUCCUAUUCUCUCACUUUUGCUUAGUCAUCCUAUUCUCUCACAAUGGAGGAUCUAAUUUCGAAUAUCUCUUCUGUCCUAAAUUAGAUAAAGAUAUAAGGGUUACUCAAUCAAUUCAAUUACCCGCUGGCAUAAUGCAGGCUAGAAGUGGGAAUUCAAGGUCUCAUGAACGACUUUCUUUUAGUGGAAUCACUUUCUGGUCAGAGGCCUAUAGAUAGAUCCUUUUAGAUCUAAGGUCCGGCCAUUCACAUUCGCAUUGAGAAUCUAUACUCCUUACUGGAGAGGUUAGGAAUAACUCAGUAUCUUAUCUAUUGGGGCCUACAACUUAGCCGAGCCGACUAAGCAUCACUCUUUCUUUUCUUUUCGAACAAAGAAGACGAACUUCACUUACUAUAGGAUCGAAUUCGCUUUCCGGUAGUGAACAGGUCGUGUCGUCCCAUACCUUCUCUUCUGACUGUAAUAUUAGUGUUGAACUGAGUAGUGUUGAACUGAGUCCUUUUUGGUUCCAGCUUCACUUCAGUAGGUAGGGCUGGGCUCAAAAGGGUGGGUCUGCCUAUGAAUAAGUAAGCGGGCCUUCGAUUCCACCGGGGUCUUACGGUCUUUCUCUGAUAGGGGACUUAACUAACCAAAUAAUAAUAGUGCUUGCUUGCUCUCUUUAUAAGAGUAGGCAAAAUAAUAAUAAUAGUGCUUGCUGAGUUUAUAGGUUUUAGUAGGCUCAUCAUAGUGCUUGCUGAGUUUAUAGGUGUUCUAGUAGGCUAAAGAAGAAUAGUGCUCCGUAUCCGUUUAUAGGAGUAGGCGUGGAAAGCUUUUAGCAGGUAACCUUGCAAGUUCAGUUUGGGGGGAGGCGGGCGUCGACCCAACCUUAUGAGUAUUCGGACUAUAACAGUGGAGAUGAAGAGUCACUCACUUUUGACAGUUAUAUGAUUCCAGAAGAUGAUCUAGAAUUGGGUCAAUCACGUUUAUUAGAAGUUGACAAUAGAGUGGUUGUACCAGCCAAAACAAAUCUACGUAUGAUUGUAACACCUGCUGAUGUACCUCAUAGUUGGGCUGUACCUUCUUCAGGUGUCAAAUGUGAUGCUGUACCAGGUCGUUCAAAUAAUACCUCUAUUUUUAUACAACGAGAAGGAGUUUACUAUGGUCAGUGCAGUGAGAUUCGUGGAACUAAUCAUGCCUUUACGCGUGCGCCCGGAUACAUAGGCCGACAGCUGAGCCCACUCUGGCUUAGCCGCACCACCCGUGGUAGGGGUGCGAGCCACCCGAUAAGCAAGCUAUUACAGCGAGCCGCUUGAGCAGUAGGGAGCCGAGGAGCAAGGCAGUAGAUAAGAUCUAAUAUUGGGCCAGGCUCCCGGUAGAGCAGGGGAAACGGUUAGGAUAACCAACUUGAAACGCGGAGCCCGAGCGGCCGGCGAGCGAGUGGUUAGUGGCAAAUAGCGCCCUAGUUGAUGGCAUUCCUCUCUGCGGCUGGCACUAGAGGAACCACGGGACACUCCAUACAAAGGCAAACUCGUCUUAGGGAUGAGACGCCCGCGCAAGGACCUCAAUUCUCAUUAGGAGGUCGAACCAAGGAACUAUAGAAGUCGGGGAUACCCCGUCCCAUGGCAACGCAACAGUGUCCUGAGGAAGGAGUUUAGAGGCCUUAUAGUAGCACAGACCUUUAAUUCCAGGUCAUGCGAAGGGGGCCAGUCCAAGAUCUACAACUCUUCUUAUUAAAUGAAAAGACAAGAGACGCUCUCAACGGUUAGGCGCCACUCUAAGUUAUUCUCAAGCUUCCGAGAGGCGAAGGGAUUUCACCUAUGAUCUGAUUAGUAGGCAACCAACGUGUACUUUUCGUGUUGUUGACGUUGACUUUCAAGCUCAUUUGGAAGGAUUCUCGGAGCUACUCCCAGCUCAAACUAUGGUCGCAGAGGUCUCUUAGUUCAGAUCUAGGAGUGUGAGCAGUACGAGCGGAAAGGCUCUCAUACUGUUUUGAGGGAAGGGGGCUACGAUGCCAAACCUUACCCCUAUCCAUCGUCGUAGAAGCAGUUUCUUUGAAAGAUUAUGGUUCUCGGGUAUUCAAUCAAUUAAUCCUCCAAACCAACUAACCCGUGGAAGCGGAAGCAAUAGUAGGGUGAGGGAAGUGGGAAGCUCAAGGAAGGCUUCGCUCGCUCAAUUCGCUCGGUGGAGUGCAUAAGCCCUAUUUCUUUUAUUGAAGUAGUAGAGGCCUAACUACACGAGCUCGUAAGUCAGGAACGAGUCUUGUAUACGAACAGCUUCCCCUAGUCUUCUGUGCUUCUGGCGAAGCUUAACGCACUAUUCUAAUAUAGGCAUUAGAGGCUAACUCCUUUUAAGGCCGACCACUACAUAGGAGCGAUAGCGAAGCCAAGCCGUAUAAAGGCGAGCAGCCCUUAUAGCAAUAGCAAACGGCCUACUUAUAGCCCUAUUUCGUUUUAGCCUUUCCUUUCUUCAGGGACUUCAACUUACAAGCUCAUAAAUGUCAAUUCAUAAAUCCAGAGACCUGAGCUAGUGACCAAGAAAGACCCAAAUCCAAUAGAUCAAGAACGGCGAACCUACUUUCAUCAAAGAAUUCAUUGAAGACGUUAAUAAGGAUUUCGUGGAUGGAUAGAAGCACUAGCUACUCAAAUCGCUUCUAUAUACUUCUUUCUUAUUAAUGGCAGGAUAUCAAUCUAUCGAAUUCUAGGCCCAGAGCGAGCAGCAAUGGCAAAAGAUGGAGGAGAAUGUUGUGUUGUAUGGGAGGCAAGGCAGGAUAGGAUCUCUUUUAACAGCAAAAAGCUCGAAGCGAAAGAGGGCCGAUCCUACAUUCCAAAUAAUGAAGCGAAAGAGGGCCGAUCCUACAUUCCAAAUAAUAGCAUUCGCAGUGGGAAUCAAUAAGAGAGAGAGCUAUUUGCAUUCACAGACAGUAGGAAUCAAUAUUGGAAUUCGCGCCUCACCUUUCUUUCUUUGUGAAGAUUCGGGGUGGAGCCUUAGAACAGGCCAGGCCCCUUGGGACGGUUAGGAGCAUAAUGUCUUAACCACUAAUACCGCUUGGAGACAAACCAACCCAUAGGAAUCUGAUGCCUCUUUCAAUUGAUGCUCUUUAGUUCUGCUUUCUAUUCAUUCUCUUUUGUGCAAUUAUUCAGAAUGAUCGGCUAAUAGCAUAGCACUACGAUGAACUACGAGACGAGCAAAUAGCACUCUUCAUUAUAUACUUACUCGGAACUACGAGCAAAUUGCACUCCUCUUACGAGCCACUCCCUAAAGUAAUAGUAAUCUAAGCUCACUCCUCUUACGAGCCACUCCUCUUACGAGCAAAUAGCACUCCUCAUUAUAUACUUACUCGGAACUACGAGAAUAUUCCAUUCAUUCUAAAAACAUUUCUAGUAACUGACUGAAAAGGACUUAUGCAUCAGUCUUAUUCGCUCUGCUAGACAAAAAGCAGAAAUAUUACUAAAUCAAACGAGUCCUUCCUUAAAGAAUAAGGAUCCGGGGGUUUCCUAUUGGUCAAAUACUAGAGGCUGACUCGGGGAAUUAGGAUAACCCUCUUUGCUUUCGAUAAAGGGGCUUCUUUCUUUUCUUUCUCGAUCUUAUUACGCUUUCACAACGAAAGGAAAAGGAAGAGCACUAUGUCUUCAUUCUUCCAAUGCUCACCACUGAUAUGAUAUGCCCUGGAAAAAAGCUUGAUAGAAAGAUUCCAUUCUCGAUAGAGCAAGCUGAGGAACACCUGCACGUACGAAAGGAACCAAGACUCGGGUUUUCUUGUUUCAUAGCUAUAGAAUUCCAUUAAGGUUCUCGUUAGAUGGUCUAAUGGAUAGGACAGAGGUAUAAUAGUUCUUUGCUCUCUAUUCUUAGAAAGAAGGAGUUAUAGUUCCAGUUCAAGCACUCCAGAAAGAAGCAACGGAGAAAGAAGGAAGGAUACAUCGUGUCAACAAUCAGAAUUGCACUAAGUAGCAUGGGAAUCAAAGACAGUAAUUUCAGAGUGGAAACCCAGAGGAUAGGAAUGUAACCACUGCAGACUUUGACUAAUGUUUCCGAAACUUGAACUCGUAUUGGUAAGGCUUGAAUGGCUAACACCAAUGGAAAGAACCAAACUGGUAAGUAGGAGAAUGAAAUCACCACUAAUGAAUGAGAGAACUACUAAUAAGAGUGGAACAGGGGCAUGAAACCAAUGCAAGUAAGAGUCCAACAGCUAACGAUUAUCCUAGCACUACUAGCCUCGAACCUUGCUCUAAUAGCUUUAGUUCUUGAACCACUACCUUUGGAUCUUGCUCUGCUGACGCUGCCCUUGCUUUAUUGAAGUCCUCCGAUCCGCUCUUGAUGGCUGUUACUCUACCCUCAAUGCCUAUGUUCUAGGUUCCAACUGAACUGCCCUUUGAAUAAAUAAAAGAAUCAAGAAAGAAACUACCGAUAAAAAGAAUAACCUUCCUUCCUAUUGGUCAGUAUCCAUUGAUCCGGAUCCUUGCUUCCACAGAUCAGUACACCUAUAUCCCCUAACAAAGUCUACCGCUACUAUCUCUAAUACCUUAACAAGCAACAGGGAAUUCACCAGUGCCCAAUCAGACUGAAAUACAGAAUACACAGUAUACCAAUAUGAAACUACAAUAUCAAUAGUAGAAAUCGAUAAUGAAAUGGGUACUAUAAGCAUGGAGCAGUGUCUACAAGCUGUGAAACAAGAAAGAAGGGAAUUUCGCUACCGGUAUCGAGGUUCGAGCCCAUAAUAGAGAGAAUGAAAGGAGUUCGAAUUUAAAGAAUACAAAUAAGAAGUAAGGUACGCCCCAGUGCUUCUAGUAUGAAGGGAACAUUUAGGGUACGACCAGUGAGUGCAUAUAGAUUAAGCGGAAGUAGUAGAUCAUAGAAUCCAAACUCAAAAGUCAGGGCAGCAAAGCAGCUGGUGAGUAAUAAGGAAAGUCAGGUUCCAACUCAAAAGUCAUAAUAUGCUACACCCAUAAAACAGAACAUAGAUCACUAAGAAAUUCGACUAUAUGUCAAAAGGCAAAAUCGGAUAAAUGGAUGGGUUUGGUUUAGGUUCAGCAGCGAAAGUCCUAUUGGCAGUCUAGUCUUAGAAGCGCUAGGACAAGUCUGAGUUGUGUGGUUAAGUAUGCUAGGGCCGCUACACUCUUUUGGGGAUUUGGGUUUUCGCAGCCUUGGGAGCACUUAUGCAAUUCUAUAUUCUAAGAGAAAGUCUCAGUAGGCGCCAUUUGAGUUUGGAUGCAAUAGAUAGGGAGUUGAGAUCCGCAGCUACAGAACGAAAGCGAGGGGUACCGGCUUUGAAGCAGCGAGAGACAGCCCUGAUAAGAGAUAUCAGAUUUGAAGUAAGCCAGAGCAGACUCAUGUGCAAUGUCGCAAGGUUCUAGGUAAGUCAAGUAAAAGGAAGGUAAAAGAGUGAGAAACUCGCUUUAGUUGAGACAGUAGGAAAGCCUGGGUUCCACGUAUAGGUCUUGUUAGCAUUAGUUCAAAGAUGAUACUUACUACCUACCUACAUUAUGUAUUCUUGUAUCGAUUCCUAGAAGCUGGAGUUUAUAGGCCCUGUUGUCGUAGGUGUAUUCUAAUAUGGUAUCCCCCUCAUAGUAGCAUUUGAGAGCAAGUAAAGCAAGGCGUCGUGGGCAUUAGUCAAUUCUUGAUAGUUGCAGUAUCAUCCCUUCCAGCACUGAUUGAAUUCCCAGUUAAGUGGGUAAGUCCUAUAAGCACUAGUUUCUUUCUUAGUAGUUAGGGGUCCAGCCCAACUCUUCAUUAAAGUCAAGCAAGAUCCGAGUUAACAGUCAAAGAGUCAGAGAUAUGGUUGUAAGAGUGAAAGACAGGAUCGGUAGGCUAAGAAACAAGCAAACGAGGUUCGAGUUCGGUAAAGCAAGAUUAGAUGUAAGUAAGGGAGGUCUUAUUGCAGUUGAUUUCUUUCCAUCAGUAGGUCCAUUCUUUUUAGUAGUUCUAUCAGCUUUUCUCACAGUGGUUGGAUCCCCUGUUAGGGAAGAAUCCUUACUAAACGCCCUCCAAGGGAAGACUUAUGGGCCAGGCAUAUCAGAUUUUCAUCAAGUAAAGGCAGACUCACUGGCAUUAGUAUCCGGUUGGAACCCUGUGGUGUAAGAAUCAAACACUAAAGAAAGGUCUAAAGCAAGGGAAGGGAGCCUAUUAGUAAUAGCAGUGGUGUUCUCAUAGUGGUAAGGCGUUCUUUUAUAGUAGCUUGGAUUCCCGGGGUGGAGCUAUAUCCUUGUUAUAGCAUCAGCUCUAGUGUUUGAGGUUCUCUUCUUGCUAUCGGUAGUUGAUUCUCUAUUAUGAGACUAUGAAUGGGGAUCCCCGGUAGUAAGAGUGAGAAACAAGCCUUAAAGGCAGGAAAGGUGGACUAAGAGGAAGGAGUCACAGCCCUUCUAUUCGUAGUUGGACCCCAGAGGCCAAGGAGCCUAGUACCGAUAUACGGGAUAGUAAUAAUUUGAGUAAGUAGCAACAGCCCUAUAAUUCGUGGUAGAAGAAUCAAUACAGAGGGAAUAGAGUCUCAAAAACGAAUCUCUAUUCUAAGGUAGCUCUUUAUAAGUGUUGUAUUCGACUGUUGCUUUCGGCGGUAGUGUCUCUUGCUCUAUUGCUGAUGGGCACUUUCCCUUAAUCUGACUAUCCAUACCUCAAUUCUGUAGUUAAUGAUCUCAAAUCUGUACCCGCGCUACUGGUGCCUGUAAAGUGGGCAGUCGGAAUAAAACAUAGAAAUAAGAAAGAAACCCAGCAGCCCUUUGUUCUGUUCCCCUGAGGAUUAUAGCCUUACAAUCCCUUCUUUCAUCCUUUUAGUAGGUCAGUAAUUCGUUAUUAUAGGCUUAAUGAUGAGAAGCACUAAAAUAGUGUAGCAGCCCCACCAUAACUUAUACUUUGAUUCUAUAGCAGCUGAUUCGGAUCAUUGCUUUACUUGCUUCUAAACUAAACUAGUGCAAUACAAUACUUUAUACUAGAACUUGGAAUUGGGCUAACGUCAAUACCUUAACUCAAACCUAGGGAUCGAACCACUGAUCCGGAUCUCUACUUGCUAGCUCGGGUCUGCCUCUCUGGAAUCUCAAUCUUAUAUUCCCGCCUUUUAGGCUGCUGCUACUAAACUAGUAUAAGACUCACCUUUGCUGCUCAACUCCCUCUGCUUUUCCUAUACCUAAAUAUGACUUUCCUGUCUCUUAUAUAAGAAGAAAAGAACCACUUAAGGAUAUAAACCUUACUUUCCUUACUAUAUCCUUGUAGCAUUCUGACUUCACUUACCUUUCCACCAAUACACUGCCCGGAGUCUCAUACCUUAUCUUAUACAAUACAGAUUCGAACGACUAUCUAGAGUGCAUGCAACUACUAACUAUAAGUCAUAAUAAAAGAAUCCUGAGUUGAGGCACCCGACAAGGAAUACAUCUACAAGUGGAAAGGCUGAUACCACUGAAAACAAAGUGCGAACUAAUACUUAGCAUAUUGAGAAAAGAAUCCAGGAAUAUGAGAAUGCAUCUAAAACAAAUAGGGCUGAAAUCACUGCUUAUGGUAAUCGAACAAGGACAUAAGAAGUACAAUAUAGGCACACGCGAACAAGGAAAAGAGUCAAACAAGGAAUGCAAGGCAGUAUUAAAGCAAGUAAAGAAUCCAAAUCGACAAGCAACAUUAGUACACAAAACCGGACUUGAGCUGGAGAGCGCUAACAGCUAUUCUUAUUCUUGAUAAAUAGAAACGGAUCUCUAGCUUUACGCCCCUUAACCUCAAUUGACCUUCCUCGCUUGCAAUCUGUCCUUUCGCCCCAACUAUAUGGAAUUGACUUAAUGGAAUUUACCUAUAGGGUUUAGGCACGCAAAAAGGGAAGAAUCAACUUCAUGGGUAUAGUACUUUCCAGAGCAAAUACAGAAUUGACCUCCUAAGUGUAGUAAUCGUAGUGGCAAUAAGGAAUGGGGUAAGUAAGUAUAAGAAUGAGUUGGCGAUAAGAGGGUAAGAAGCUAAGCAGGGGCAAAGUCAUAAUGGAACUAUUGAAUCUAAUAAUGGAGCUCGAACUACUUUACUUUAACUCGAACACGGGAAUGCUAGUUAUGCCAAUAAGAAAUGAGCUAGGUUUGGGCAAGAAGGAACACUAGGCUUGCUUGGUUGAUUGGGCAAGAGGUAGAUCCAAUUCCGUAUUUCUAUUCUCAGUAUUGGAGCUAUGCCCGGUAUACUGUAUUACUAGAUGGAUUCCUGGGUUUUCGUUUACGUCUUCUACUUAGUAGUUAAAGCCCUGUUUCGAGUUAUAUUGUUAGAUGCACUGGCAAUGUAGUAUUAGGGCCUAAGAAAAAGAGUCAGUUAAGUAUCAGACCUUUCACUAGCAAAUAAGGAUCAAAGGUAUAAGUAGCGGAGUAGAGCUCAGGUCUAGUAAUAAAGAAAGUCAGGAAGGGAGGACCUGCACUGGAGCAUUGAAACCUUGGUCAUUAGAUUGCUUUUUGAAGCUAACUACUAUGGGUGGAAGGCUAAGGAGAAAGGUCAAAAGAUAGGUUUAGAGAUCAGAUGUGAAUAAAGCAAGGUAAGCCUGAUAGAAAGGAUAGCAAGUCUGGAUCUCGAAAUAAAGGAAUGGAAGGUUCAAAUGUAGGAUUUAGUGCUAAUAGUUAUAGUAGUCCGAGAAGACUAAUAGGUAGGUGAUAUAAUCUAGGGCAUCUAGUAAUGGACUAAGAGUGGUCAGCAUCUGAAUUGAACUCGUAAGUAGCCUAAGCUAGAGCAGUUAGUUUACUUAAACACAUAAGUCAAUGGAAUAAUUAAUAUACAUGCAAAGAAUCAUCAAUAAGAACAAAGAAUACAAGGGACAAAUACCGAUUUGGAUGUCAGGCAGUAACGAUGUUAGGCAGUGGAGGUAAACUCAAUCUAGCAAGUAAGGAUCAUAGACAGCAAAGUGAGACUACUAUGUUGGUGCUGAAGGGGACAAUAUGAGAAUGAUAGCCGGGAAGGGGAGAGUUCAAGUAACGAGUCAGGAUGCGAGGAAGUAGUCAAAGAGUCAAAGGGGGUCAAGUAAGCAUCAAAGACAGGGGAUAGAAGCUAAGAUAAGGUAAAGCCAUCCCUUGGACCCAGUAGGGCAGGCGGAGUUCCGAGCGAGUCACUACUACAGUUACGAGAAGUAGAGCGAAAGUAGAAGCAAGUAAUACUUAUAUUCUUUACUAUUGUAUUGGUUCCACUAGUUAUUAGCGUAAGAGUGUUCCCUGGUCAAGUAUUAUUUGAUAUGAUGAGUUAAUAUACAGUAAUUUCGGUUUGAGUUCCAUAGUGCCCUAACUUCGCUAAAGAGUUUAGGUAGCUUUGAGGUAGGUCGCUAAAGAAUGAGUUCCCAUAUAAUAUUUAUAAGUAGUAGUUGGCUCCCGAGUCAUGAGUUCAAGUAAUACCCCAGUUCCGAGGUUUGUUCUUGUUUAUGGUAGUUUGGCUCCCAGUUCCAAGUAGAAGUCCUGUUUUGAUUAGUUCGAGCCUUGUAUCGCGUCUCGGUUAUGUAGUUCACCCAUUUCGAUCUUAGGCUCCUUAACCCGAUUCUUUAGCUCUGGUUUUAUAGUAUGUCACUACCGUAUCCAAUUCUACUACUCUAUCUCUAUGGUUUCAUUUUACCUCACCUUAGCUCUGCCUUUCCUCGCUUCUCUAGUAUUACUUGCCUGUUGAUCACUCUUUGCAUUACUUGCUCUAAACUGAAAUGACUCAUAGCUAUCCUUUAGCUCGACUGUUAGGCUUACUUUCAAACCGCCAAGCACCUUAAUUCCUUAUUUAUGGAUUCAUUCUUUUACUCACUGCUUCGAUUCUUCUACUUAUUCUAGUUCCAUUCUAACUACUACCAAUAUAAGCCUUAGAUCUCAUAUAACAACAUAGGUGCCCGGGCCCGGUACCCUGACCUUCUUUCCUUUCUUCUUAGGUUGAUGCCACUGAGCUCAUUCUUAGGUUGAUGUCACUGAGUUGUUGUCCUGUGGUUAAGAGACAGUAAAGUCAGCUUGAUGGACCGGAGUGGAAGAAAGAGCGAGGGGUAGCUCAUAUGGAGAGUAACAAAAGUCAGGCCCGUGCUCUUGUUUCGGCAUUGCCAGUCGUAGUGGCAGAGCUAACCUAUAUGAUAUGGAUUCUUCAACUCAUGGGUAUGGUCUAGCGCACCUACUAGCGAUAGUCCACCAACUUAGGUUUACAAACCAAGUCAGAAUCAAAGUCAGUAACUACAGAAUAGGAGUAAGGAGAGACAUAGCUAUAACGAGGCCCAAAGCGAGGAGAUCCAUACUAAGAGUAAGUAGUUGGAAAGGGUGCACUAAGGCACAGUAUCCGUUUUCAAGCGCGGAGGAACAGGCUAACUCGUCUGGUUGGUAAGCAAGAAUGCAAGUAACCAGUAUAAGAGUGAACUGACGGAGUAAGAGAGGAGAGUUUCACUCGUAUUAGUACAAUCCAAACUGGGACUGUGGGUGCGCGCCUAUAAAGACUGAACCUCGUAGUGAAUAGGAAUUUCCCUAAUUGGGAUAAGAAUCUCGCCACUGAGGUGGACUUACACUAGUGUUUUUUAGAAUCCAACUCGCCUUAUAUACAAGUUCGCGGAAGAAACCUUAGUUUUAGAAGAAUCGAACUUGAGAAUAUAGCACCGACGCCCUGCCCUGUCUAUCAUACCCUUACUAUCGUUCUGCAUUGCACCUAUUAGUCUACCAUUUCUUGUUUCCAUCCUUUCCUUUGAAUCGCCCUCUUUCAUUAUUAUAUGGUUGAGUCCACACGCUUAGGUCUUUUUCUGGCCUUAGCACUAUACUUGGAAUUCUGACUAUCCCUAACACAAGCACUAUACUCGUUCUUGUAAUUCUUCUGAUCGUAGUCUUACUUGACUUACUCCAAGGCAGCCCCUCCCUUAUCUAAUUCAGUUAUUCCAGGGGACUUGAACCUAAAAGCGCAGCUGCCAAGACUUGGGCUACAGCCAAUAAGGAUGAAAACACCGCUAACAAUACUUACGCUAUCGCCUUGUUCUACUGGCUAUCACUCUUACUACCCUGGCUUUUAGUCUUUCACUCAUGCAGGUAAUACUAGAUCUUUGACAAAAGGAACUGAGCUACUGAUAACCAGGCUGAAAACAAUGACCAUUAGAAUACCGCUACUACAAUAGGAUUUGGACUACUCAUAAAAGCCUACCUUACCCCCUACUAUUAGAAGGCUAUUAGGUAUUAUAAUAAAGUAGUGCACUAACGAAUCGAACUAAUGCUUUUAACGAACCGAACUAAUGCUUUUAAGUCCGUAUGUAUCACCAACUCUCGGAGUAAAAGAAAGGGAUCUAAGAUUUUCAUAAAAGUAGGUCAGGCUCGGAUCAAGGCGGGGCGGACAAAAUCUACUAGUACGGAUGUGAGGUCAGUAAGGAAAGUCCUAUAUUCAGUGUUCGAUCUGAGAGUGAGUAGUGAAAGCUCGGGUUAUGAGGUGAAGUCUCUUAUUAGCUAUAGUUCAAGUAUGAGGUUGCUUCCCACACUAACACUAGUUCCAUUCGGAUACUAACAACUCUAUUCUUAUUGCCUCGGCGCAUACUUAUUCUAAUGGACUUCCGAGGGGAUUGGAGGCAGGUUUUGCUCGUAGGCAGCAAAGUCAGAAUCUAUAUUAAGUAGCUAAAGCCUAAUCAGCAAUAGUGCAAUCCUUACUGGUAUCGGUUUUACCUGGUUCAUUUCUUCCCUUACAGGACUUAUCGCUACUCUAGAUAAAACAACCACAAGUCGGGAGCGAAAGGCAGGAAAGCAAGAGUUAGCCCAAAGGGUCAAGAAAGAAAGUAAGUGGAGGCAUACUUAUAGGCGCUAGAGCAAGCCUCGUUCCCUGGAGGAGAAGCGCUAAUUUCCUUUUGCAUUCCUUCUGGUAUUGGUUCAAUUCUCGUAGUUGGCCCUUUAGUAUGAGAAGUACUGUUUCUUUGUUUCAGCCUAAUCGUAUAGCUAGUAAUUCUUUCCAGUAGCGGUGAAAGCCUUAUUAGUUUGUGUAGGGUAUCAGUAUUGUCAGCACCAGUUCGAUCCACAAGAAAUAUAUUAGUUAUUUGAACACUAGAACAGCAUUCAUUGGGUUUUAUAGGCUCGAACACUGCCUUAACAGACACCAAUGUGGAUAUGGAUUUACAGAGAAGAAUUGAGUCUUCUAUUCUUGGUCCACUACCUUCGCUUCGAGACGAACUGCUUCAAUUGGACGACAUUAGAGCCUGCAGUCAACAUCAAUAAAAACUUGAUCCGUUAGCGCUUUGCCCCAAUCAGUAAUUAGACUUCACCCUCACCAGAUUCAUUAUCCAGAUUCAUUAUUCUGGUCAACACCUUUUAUUGCUGCUUCAGAUCCUGAUCUAGCUUCGACUUAUUCUCGAGUCGAUGUAUACUUUCCUUCUUCCGCAUUUGACCUUGC